rnacentral:lncRNA from 1 species
UUUUUUUUUUUUUUUUUUUUAUUAUUUUGUUUAUUUUAUUUAUUUUUGCAUUAUAGUGUUUUCUGACAUUGGGGACAAUGUCAAGUUUAAGUGUGGGGGUAGAAAUCUCUAGAAUUUCAUUUGUUUCUGUGUUGUUGCUUUUUAUUUUUUUUUUUUUUUAGUUUUGUUUUUCUCUAUAAAAAAAAAAAAAAAAUCGGAAAAUUUAAAAAAUCCAAAAAUAUUGUCUUGUUUCCCUUAUUGUUUUGAAUUAGAUUUUUUGUUAGUUUCCCGACCCAAUGAUAUAAUUGGAUCAAAAAUUUGAACCAUGAUCAUCAAGAACUUAGUUAACAUGUGUUUGGUGAAAUUCCUAAUUCUCUUGUUAGUUUUGUACAUGUUUGACCAUCUUUGAAAAACCAAAUGCACAUAGCCUUGUUAAUGUGAAACUAAAGUAUGACUUAAAGCUUCAUAUGUGAAUUUAGUGACCAUAUACAUCAUAUGUGAGUUUUUGAGCCGAUUGAAAGUGUGUGCAUUUUUCAUACACUCCUAUUCUUUCAUGUGUGAUGAACUUAUGUGAGAUACAUCUCUAGAACUUGCGUAACGAUCUUUCGAAAUGUUUGUCAUUGAUUGCAUGAACUUGGAAAUGAUAGAGGCAUUAGGUUUACCACCAUGGCCCAAAUAACCAUGUUUCCCAAAGAAAAAUGAUAUCAUUAGAUUGCCAAUUUGAGCCGUGUAUAUUGAGCCUUUUAUUUCUUAUCACCAGAUAUGUCUACCCUUAUACCUGAAACAUUUUUCCUUACCCUUUCCAAGCGAGCAAUGCGAAAUUAUCUUAUGAGAAACGUUUGUGAAGUACUUUGAAGGUGUUUGGCAAAAAGAAUAAGUGUGGGGGUAUUUCAUGUUUGUAUUUAAAAAAAAAAAAAAGAGAAGAAAAGAAAAAGAAAAAGAAAAAUUGUACACAAAGAAAAUAAAAAGUUGUUCAAGUUUCAGUUUAAGGGUGUGAUUGGAGGUGCUAGAAGAAUUGCUGGAGAAUUGAGUUCUUAUAAAUCUAAAGAGAAAAAUUGCUUGCAAUGUAGCUUGGAAUUUGUGUGUCCUAUUCUUUCGUUUCAAUAACCCUAUCCCUAAGCCUCAUUACAUCCAAUAAAAGUCCUCUUGAUUUAAGUUUUGCAAUUAUGACUGUGGAGAAGUGAUCUUUAUGCAAGCUUAUGGUAGAAAUUUCACAUUUGAUUCUUUGAGCGAAACACAUUAAAACUAAACACAUGUGUGAUUGAGUGCAUAUCCCGUGAGAAUGUCGCUAGUUUGCAUAUGAUGAUUUUAAAAAUAUAAAAAUUUUGAAAUUGCAUUAGCAUGGCUAUCUCACACACUACACUUCAAGGAUGAUUCAAAGAUUACUGCUAAUAUUUGAAUAAGGAAAAUGAACUUGGAUUAGUUUGUUUGGUGCUAGCUAUGGUUCUUGAUGAUUUGUUUUCUUGAAUGAAAUUCUAUGAGGGUCACAUAGAGGGAAGCUAAUGUUUUUCAUGUUAGUACUUUUUCAUGUUUUCUUUGUUUUGCUCGAGGACUAGCAAAAGCUAAGUAUGGGGGUAUUUGAUCGGAUCAUAUUAUAUAUAUUUUUUACUUCAAAUUCACUCGUCUUUUCUUAGUUAGUUUCUUAUAUUUUUGAGCUAUUUACGUUAUUUUUGUGUUUAUAGGAUUUGUUUAUGCAAAGAAAAUAAAAAUAGAACAAGUGAAAUUUUAUGUAAUAAAUUCGUCAAAAACUGUCUGUGUAGAUCAGCUUUUAAAUUAAAUUAAAAAUUAUAUUUAAUAAUGAUAAGUCGUGAUGAUGUUUGAAACAUCAUCAUGAUGGUUUUGUUUUGUAGAAAAAAAAAAAGAAAGAAAACGGUGGAAAGAAAGAGUUGAACAAAGAAAGGAAAGAAUCCAAGGUGGAAACGUGAGGAGUGGAAGGCAGGAGUAUGCGGGAAAAGAGGGAAUAGAAAAACAGAAAACAAAAAGAAGCACGCGGGGAGAGAUAGAAGGAAAAGGGGGAGCUGCCCUUUGGGCAGCUCGAGAAGGGAGUCAGCGAGAGCUAGAGGGAGGACGGAGAGAAGUACAAAGCAAGGCUGCCAUUUGGCAGCUGAACCAAGAGGGACGCUGCCUUGUGCAGCCCGAGGCCAGAAGUCAGGAGGAGAGCUGCUUGGGCAGCUCGUGGAGAAGUCAGGAGAAAUAAGGUGCUGCCUUGGCAGCACGUGGCGCAGACUGGGGAACGAAGGAUUGAGAGAGGAAGGCUGCUGUGCAGUCUUGAGGACUGUCAAGCAGCUGGAGAGGUGAGGACCGAGAGACAGGGAGGUCAGAAAAAGCACGUGGCGCGAGGCACGGACAGACAGCAAACUCCCUUAUUUUUCGGUUUAAUCUUUCCAAACUUCUCUUUUAUUUAUGUUUUAAUAAUGUGUAAUUAAACUUAUUUUGGCUAGAGGUUAAUUCAAAGCCAUGAAUAUAUUUGUAAUAUGAAUUGAUUACCUUCGGUUGUGAUUUCAUAAGUUGUGAUUUCAAUUUACUUAUCCGUUCGUAUAAAAAACUGAUUUGUGUAUGUUGGUUGAGAGUGCACGCUUAAUUUACAUGCAUGAAUUUGAUGCUAGAAUAUAAGUGAAUUUCACCUAAUCGUUAUGAACUUAUUUUCACAAGUAGUAAAGGUUGCUAGUCACAAUCACGUUAAGUAAAUUCUUGGCAAGAGUAUCAUGCUUUUCAUAGUUACGAAUGCCUCGUCAAUGCUUAUAGUUUUCACAAAGUUUAAUGAUCUUUGAUUGUAUCUCUAUUGUGCUUUUCACGUAGGGGACUUUUGAAGAAUGUUUUUGAAUUGUUGUAUGCGUUUUUCCCGUCCAAUUCAAUAACUUAAGGAAAACUUGAAGAUUAAAAAAGUGCUGUUCACGGUUAAUCUGGAGUAUUGAGAUUCACAAUUUAUUGAAAGAACAACUGAAAAUCAAUUUAGGUUGCAUAUGUGUCAUGUGUGGAGAAGAACCCUCUAGCUAGUCCGUCAUUUAUCAUUUUACCUUAAUUUUAUGUUUUUAUCAAUUCUGUAAUUUAAUUAAGUUUAAUUUACUUUUCAUCAAAACCAAACACCAUCCAUUAUUAAAUUAUAUUAUUUAUUUAGUUUUCUUUAUUGUUAGUCUUUUAAUUUAAUUUCCGUCCAUUUCAGUUCCUAGUGUUUAAUUUAAUUGUUUUCAUUAUUUUGAGUCAUUUUAAGUGUGUUUCGAGUUAUUAGAGUUUUUAGCCUAGUUUUGUGUCCUUGAGUCUUAUUUAAUAUUUUUAAAUUAAUUUAGAAUAGAUUAGCAAUCCCUCCUAAUCCCCGGCCUAGAACGAUACCCUACUUACAUCCAUACUACAAUUGUCAAAAAGAGGGUUUAAUUUUGUGUGUUAACUUAUUUUACGCAUCACUUGACAUGGAUACAUUUUAAAAUCAAAGAAAAAAUAAUGUACCCAUAUAAGUUUAAAAAUGGAUUUGAAAAAAAAAAUUGAAUAUAUUUUAUAUAAAAAAAAAUGCUACAUUUUACAUAUAACAAAUUGGUAUAUUUAAUAAUGAGUACAUUUUAAUAUUAAAAAGUUUUACAUGAAUGGGUACAUAUAAUUAGCACGGGUACACUUAGCAAAAUAAAAAGUACAAAUAAAAAAAAUAUGGGUACAAAUACAAAUAAACUUUAAAAACAUAUGGGCAAAAAAGAAAUUAAAUAUAUGGGUACAAAUUAAAAUUGAAAAGAAAAUUGGUACAAAUUAAAAAAAAAAAUUACUAAUUAAAAAUGGGUACAAACUAAAACUAAAAAUAUAUGAUAAAAAAUUUAGUCAUAAAUAUAAAUAUACUAAUUGUAACAUUUUUAACAUUAAAUGAAUAUAUUUAUUUUAUUAUUAAAAAAUAAUUAAUGAUGUUAUUAAUACCCAAGGUGUGACAACCCGUUCUUAAUUUUAUGUUUUUAUUAAUUUUAAAAUUGUGAAUUUACAAAAAUGCCCUAGAGGCAAGGACUUUGACUUUUGUUUACCAUCGUCAAGAUGAACGUAUGACUUAUUCUUUUAGCGUAUCCUUGUCGUACUUGUUGGUGCGAACGCAUAGGCGAAAGCCGUUUGCAAGUCCGAAUGAAAACAAUAUAGUUACGGACUUUUGAAUUUAGUUAUUUAUAUUUCAGUUGUAAAUUAAUUUAACUCCUUCAAGGAAGUAGCCCAAUCAAAUUUUAGGCACAAAGGACCAAUCACAUAAAGGGAAGGAAAGCCUUCAGCCAAUCAGAAAAAAAAAAAAAAAAAGAGAAAGCUCCCAGCUUCCCUAUCACCCACACCUUCGCGACCUCCCCUUUUCCAAGGCCAAUUCUGGCCAACUUCUGUGGAGUUUUUCGACGCCACCACCACCAUCUUGAAGCUCUUAUUCCCCUCUACAAAACCCAACCAAUAAUCACCUUGAUUAACCACUGUAUGAGGUGGUUUGAGACCACGAAAGUCGACGAUUCUCGCUGUGCUCCGGCCACUAUUUUCAAUUUUUCGACGAAUUGGAAAAGCAAUGGUCGAUGCCACCACUGGGCUUUGUAGCCCAUCAUCCCAGGAGAAAAUCUCAACCAACCUUGACCCUAUUGGACCACCGUAGACGACGAAUUGACGUCGAGAAGCUUUAGGCACCCGCUGACUUUGUGGGAAAAAUUUACUAUCUUCCGUCCACUUUUGGACUUCGUGAUCGGUAUGAAAGUUGUUCCUCUCUUUGAGAUCUUCAUUUAUGUUAAUUUUGGUAAUUUUUAGAAAUAGUUGAAUUUUCCGGCAAGUCGGGGCCGCCAAUCGCCACCUGUGGCAGCGCGUGGGCUGAGGGAUCCCCUGACUUUCCUAGGCUAAAUUUGAAUACUUUGGUUCCGUUUGUGAAGUCCGAUUGACGAAAUUCAGUCGUUUGAACUUAGUCCCAUUAUGGUUCGCCACUUGAUUAUUACAGUAAUCGACGAUCCAACUGUUGGAUCAUCAUUAAAUUUUAAUACAUUAUAGUAUGUAAUAUGUGAGGCUAUUAGAAACUUACGGAUUGGGAAUCUGACGUACGGAUCUUCCCAAAUUGAAAUUGUAAGUUCGUAAAAUAAAACAUUGACCACCACUUGAAUUGGCAAUUGGAGGAGAUCCAACCGUUGGAUCGUAAUGAAACUUUGUAUGAUGUUUUAGAAGCACAAUUUGGACCUUUGGAAGUUACAAAUUGGAAAUCUGAGAUGCGGAUCUUUUGGAUCGAGUUACGUAGGGUUAUGGACCCUACCGUCAAUCUUUGAUCGACGAUCGACUUUUGGUCAAUUGGUCCCAAAUCAUUCUAGAAUGUCCUUGGGGAUAUGUUUUAUGUAAGUUACGUGUUUUAUCGAUGAGAACUCUGAGAUGUGAUUUGAUAAUUGUUGAAGGCCACGAUGGUUAAUGAUGUUUCGAUUUUCAUGCUAGGGAGUCGUAGCUCGGACCUCAGGUGAGUGGGUAUUUUCCUUUUAUCGUAUAUAGAUAUGACUGAUAAUUCCAAAUGCUUUUAAAUUGUUCUAUGCAUUUGAUGCCAUGUUAUAUAUAUAUAUAUGCAUAUUAUUGGCAUAUAAUUACUGUGAAUGCUUUAAAGUACUAAGUUGAACUACAAAUGGCUUGAUCCCGUUUGAGGGUACGUAGGCAGUCUAACAAGACUGUUAGAUGCAGACAUAAAACAAUCCAAAUUUAACAUGGUACUUGGUUUCUUUAAGGAAAGAAGUUAUGAUGGUUAACAAUGUAGAGAUUAACCAUGAUUUUAUUCUUGUCUAUCACUGGGUUUAGUUCUUAUUAAGAAUGUUGGGACGUUAAAGUGGUUAUGCCAAAUGACGUUGCAGAUGCCCCGGUAAGAUUCAGGUGAGUACAUGUUGAUGACAGUGAUUUCAAUGUGUAUGGUUAUGUUUUUAUGCAUUUAAUGCUCAUUAUCCUGCACCUUGGUGUUAGUGCUCCGCCCGAGGAUAAGGCCUAGCUUUCAUGUGAUCAUAGCACUUGAGCGUAUUUAUUUACACCCAGCCUGUCGUACAGACCACAUUAUGUGGUUCCGACUCGUGUGCAGGAAUUGGUAGAUGAGCUAUAUAGGCAACUCCGACAUAGUCGUACAGGUUGGAAUAAAUAGGCAACUCCGACACUGUCAUACAAGUUGCCUAUGAGUUGUACAGGUCACUAUAGGUGACUCCGACUUAUGUGCUAGCAUUGAUUGAUGAGAUAUAGAUGAGUCGUACAAGUCAUUAUAGGUGACUCCGACUUAUGUGCUAGCAUUGAUUGAUGAGAUAUGGGGGAGUCGUACAGAUAAUUAUAAGUGAGAUAUGAAUGAGUCGUACAUGUCACUAUAGGCAAGGUAUUAAAAAUCGAUGAUAUCGGAAAUAUCGGUAGUCUGAAAACACGGAAAUAUCGGGAUAAUAUUGAUAUCGAUAAAAAUAAUAUGGAAACCACGGAAAUUGUAAGAAAAACUUGGAAAUUUUUAUUGAAACUUUGCAGGAUGUUUAUUUAGUCAAUUAUCUAUUAGUUUAUCAUAAAAAAAAUGAAAGGAAAUGCAUUGCAUGAUGGAUUUAACAUUAUCAAGUUGAUUAUAUAGCAAGCUGGCAAACAUUGUGAGUGUAGAAAAUAUGUAGUAAUUAAUGAAAGAAGUUUAAACACACCAUAAUCAUUUAUAUAUAAUGAAUUAGUACAAUAUUUUACACUUUAUACAUUGCAUGGUAAGAUACAUGAGUGACUUAGUACCACAUAGAGUUCCUAUGAAUUCAUUUUCACUAUCUUCAUCAUCUCUAUGUGUAGAGUGGGUGUAUUGUGAAGAGUAGUUAUCAAAUGAUAAAUCCCCAAAAUAGUUUUGCAUGUAAUUGUUAACAUGCCACCCAUAUGGAUCCGAGAUUGGUUGACCUUGUCCAUAAGCAAAAUCAUUUGAAGAUUGAGUCUCGGAUUGUUUCCAUGAGUCGCUCGAUUCCAUCCCAACAGGAAUGGGAUAUGAAGGGUAGGGAAAUGGUUGGUUAUGAGUAUAACCAUAGUUACUACUUCCCACUCCAACAGAGUCCGAAGUUAUAGAUAACGAGUCAUCUUCUUGACUUGACAAAAUCCCUUUGCCUCUUUCUCUACGAAUAUAGUCCUUCCCUAUGGCACCAAUUCCUGGUCCUGCCCGCCUACUGCCAUGGUCCUCAUCCUGUGUUGCGUGCGUGAAGUUUGCCUCAGCAGUGAAGGGGCUCAUAAAUCCGGGAGGUGGUCCAACAUAGUUUCCAUAUCCACCACUACUGCCUCCAACUCCACUAUAUCCUUCAUCAUUCCCACCUCCGGUGGUAGGUGAGUCUCCUCCUGAUCUUGUAUUAGAGCUAUCAUUAGUAUCAGCACGAUGUUGUGGUUGUGUAGGAUUGGAAGAAGGUGGAAUUCCAGUGUUUCUUGGUCUUGGGCGCAAAAGUUCUUCCAAAGAGUUAGCGCUGCUAGAUCCCACCUCCUCCGCUAAUACUCUUUCUACAUUUAUCCCUUCAUUACGUGCUUCUUCAGCAACUUUGGGAGCUGGGUUGCCUUCAUCAUCAUCUAAAUAAAGAGGUCUAAUCCAUUGAUAAAGUUGGUUACCCUCUGUAUCAUCAUCUUCAGUAACAAUAUCAAACACAUCUAGUGGGUCACCACGGUCGACAUGAUCUAUUUCUGCUUCCUUAUCUCGAAUUUGAAGCUUCAUGUUGUAGUAGCAAUAAACUAAUUUUUCCAACUGACUAUGAGCCAACCUAUUUUUUUGCUUUGUGCGUAUGAGUGCAAAUGUGCUCCAAUUUCUUUCACAAGCAGAUGAAGAAGCUGUUUGUGAUAAUACUUUGAUUGCUAACUUUCUCAUAGUUGGUGCAUCAGUCCCAUACAUGAUCCACCAUUCAGCUACAAUGAAAAACAAUGUUGAUAAGCCUAAUAACUCCAACAAAUUCUAUUAUAAACUUAUCGUGAAAUAUGUUUACACUCACUAAGAGACAUUUUUGUUCGAGCAGCAACUGAUGUUGGUUCUCCAAAAGUUCUUCUUGCAUCUUUAAACCAUGUUAGCUGAAUUCAAUAAAUCGUGUUAGUUUAAUCCAACAAAGUAAUUAUUAUAAUUUAAGUAAUUGUGUACCUCAUUUCCAAAUUGGCCAACUGCUGGUGAUGCAGGGUCUAAUUUAGAGUAUACAUUAUGUACAGCACGUAUAAGGGUACCAUCAUCUCCAACACCGGGUCUGGAUUGGUAUCGAGGAUUCAAAUAAUAUGCUGUUCAAAGAAACACAUACUCUAAUAAGAGAAAUAAUACUUAUGCAAUUAAAGAAAUGAAUUGCAAAUUAUGACAUAAUUUAUACCUGCUGCAUGCAAAUCGUGGUAUAAUGUUUUAUACCAUCGGUCUUCAAUUAUCUUUAUGACCCACCUUGCACCAUGUUUUCUUUCCAAUUCAUCCUUCACUACACGCAUCAACUCAUAUAUUGCCCCUAUAGUAGGAUACACUUCUGUGUCAACGAUCCGUAAAACUUUGUAAAAAGAUUCAAACACUUGGCACACAUGUUCUGAUUGUGUCCAAAAAGCAUGAUCAAGCACUAUACUUUCCACCAUACGACCUGCAUUUGAGCGGCUCAAAUUGUGGUUGGCCUAAUCGUCACUAGUGAAUAGUUGCUUCAACCCUGCUUUCUUCUUAAGUAGGCUGUCUAAUGCAAUAUAGUUGGUGGCGAAUCGAGUGGUAGCUGGACGAAUAAUGUCUCAUUUGCAAAAUUCACGCAUCUUUGCCAACAACCAACCAUGAUUGUAAAUAUAAUUUGUGAUUGUUCUAACUCUUUUUACCACAGUAGCAACAUUCUCUCUCUUCCUCAUUGCCUCAAACAUGAGAUCAAUACAAUGUGCUGCACAUGAUGUACAAAACACAUUAUGAUGCUUCAUUAACUUUUUUUCAGCUUUGACAAAUGCAGAACCGUUGUCGGUCACGACGUGGACAACAUUAUGCUCUCCCGCCUCCAUGAUUACAUCCCUCAAUAAUUUGUAAAUAUACUUGUUGUGGAGCCAAAAAUAAUCACAAGGCGACACGUGGUUUUUGGGGUAAAAGAGGACAAAAAUACCCUUGAGGUAUAACAGGAUUCCUAUGCGCAAGUAGCGGGCAAUCAUCCUUAACCAAGUUAAAAAUGCUCCAAAAAGGUAACCAAUUCCAAAUUAUCUCAUCCAUCCUCAUUUAAGGUAAUUCCCGAAACCUAAUUUAUUUCAUUUAGCUAAUCAAUUAGCUAAAUAAUAUAUUUUUUCAUAUUUCCUAAAAUCUUCGUUUAAAAUCAUAAUAAUUGACUAAUUAAGGAAUUAAUUCCUAAUCAAUUCCUUAAUUGUCAAUUAAAACAUCCAUUCAACCCCAAAAACAAGUGAAGGGCUGGCCACCUAUUGUUAGAAAAGGAAUUGGCCAUGUUUUAUUUAUCUCUUGAUAUUUGCCCAUUUCAUCCCAUUAAUUAGCUAAUUCAUUUGGUAAUAAUUUUAUUUUGCCAAAUUAAUUAGUCAAUUAAUCACAUAACUCCCAAAAUCAUCUUAAAUCAUGAACAAAACCCACAAACAAGGCUAUGUGGCCGAUCCUUUCUCACCCUAAGAGGCCGGCCACUCCUCUAUAAAAAGCCCCACAUUUCUCACCAAAACCUGGUUGCAACUCUUGCUAAAAUUCUCUAUAAUUCUCAAACACUUUUUCUCUCUAAAUUCUAACUUUGGCAUCGGAGGUUCUUCGGCCAAAGCCCCUCCCAUUUAUCGUGAGCGCGUGAGGCUCUUAGCCUUGACCUAAGGUGUUAAUUGUUUUGUAGGUGCAAUUUUGUCCAAGAUCAAGGAGGAAGAAAUUUGCAUCCACAAAUUGGUGCUUUCAUUGAGAGUUGAAAUCCACACUCUAGAAGACUCUCGCACAAAAGGUUUUUUUCUUUAUUUUCUAGUCCAUUUGAAUAUUUUUCAUACAUUUUUAUUAUUAGAAUUUUUUUACUUGCAAAGGUUCCUUGAUAAAAUGUAUAAGCAAAAUAUAAUGGCUAGAAAUUUAGAAAAUUCCACAAGUGAAAAUUUUAAUAUUCAAGAAAUGGGAUUGCGGAGAUCCGUGAGGCUAAAUGCGACAAUAAGUAGAGCGGCACCACCACCAUGAGUUUCCACCACAUGAACCACCACGGUGGCGAGGUCCAUGGUGCCUUCACCACGGCCUGAGCCGUGCCAUCCAAGGCUCACGGCACCAAGGCCAUGACCCAAGCCAUGUCACUCCAAGCCCAAUGCGAACUCAACACGUUGCCAAGCCAAGCCAAGCCCAAGCCUCGCACCUAUGUGCAUCACACUCCAAGCAGCCUGCUCCCACCAAGCAACCUGCUCUCGAGGCCCAGCCUGCUCCUUCCAAACAGCCUGCUUUCGUGACCCAGCAUGCUCCCGACGAACAGCCCACUCCCGUGGUCCAGCCUACUCCUGCCGAACAACCCACUCCCAUGGCCCAGCCUGCUCCCGCCAAGCAACCUGCUCUUGUGGCCCAGCCUGCUUCCGCCAAGCAAUCUGCUCUCGCGGCCCAGCAUGUUCCUGCUGAGCAGCUUGCUCUCAUGACCUAGCAUGCUCCCGACGAGCAGCCCACUCCCGUGGUCCAGCCUGCUUCCGUCGAGCAGCCCACUCCUAUGGCCCAGCCUGCUCCCUUCGAGCAACCUACUCGCAUGGCCCAACCUACUCCUGCCGAGCAGCCUGCUCUCGUGAUCCAACUUGCUCCCGACGAGCAGCCCACUCUUGUGGCCCAGCCAGCUCCAGUCGAGCAGCCCACUUUCACGGCCCAGCCUGCUCAUGUGGCUUCCCAAGCAGCCCAAGUCGGCCCAAGACUAUUUCAACCAUCCGGACCUACCAUCGAGCCGGGGGCAUUCUCACUAUAUUUUUUCACGGAUUUGACAUUUCCCAACUCAAAUCUCAUGCUCGAAGUCUACCACCCUUCCACUGCCCAAGGAGACGCAUUCCUUCCAAGCUCUUCCAAUCCAAAUGGCGAACAACACUUGUCUCGACAAGUCAUAGAGUUGACGAGCGCCCUUGCACAACAGACAACCUUGAUGAAUCAACUUUUGCAACGCAUCGAGAUCCAACGUCCCCCUAACGAGGUAUCCCGAAGUAGGACAAGGGCAGAUGAACCUUUCAAGCAGCGUCCUGGUAAGCAGCCACUCGACCAGCCACGAAUCAAACGUUCGGGCAGUGUACAUUCCCGAUUGGGCCCCCGAGAUAGCGUAUACUCCAGUCUUAGCGCGCGGAGGAGCGUGCACUCUUGACUAGGCCCACGGAUGAGCAUACAUUCACGGUUAGGGUCACAUUCUGAUAGUCAACAUGAGCAACAUUCUGGGCAAAGUGUUCAUUCGCGGCUAAGCCCGCAAGGAGCAUCAUCCACCUCACAUCAGAGUAGGCAGCACGACGGACGGAGAUAAGCAGUCAUUCAAACCGGCUUAAGUUCGACCAGCAGUCUGCGAAGAACUCGCUCGCCUGCUAAGAAUGCACCACAUGCACUGCAUCCGCGGCAUAGACGAGCCAAACACAUGGAAGAGCAGCCUAGACCAGCAAGUCAUGGCUGGGGGCAGCUGAGAACUCCGCUACCCCAACAAAGGCAAAUUCAGGAAGAAGUAGAGAGACUCUUGACCAAGCAAUUGCAUGAUUUCCAAUGCAACGAGGUCACCGACGAGGCACUACGACGGAACAUAACCAACAUAAGCAGGUCACCCUUCACGGACGAGAUCGAGCAGGCAGAGCCUCCACGCGAGUUCAGCAUGCCACAUUUCACAUCUUUCAAAGGGGAUGAAGACCCGAAAAGACACUUAAAGCGCUACCGAAGCGCAAUGAUCCUUUAUCGAAACAACGAUGAUCUUAUAUGCAAGAUAUUCGCCACCACUCUACAAGGCGAGGCGCAAGAUUGGUUCUACACCCUGCCGCCACAAUCCAUCCGAAAUUUCUACGAACUUUCUUUGGUUUUCACCAAAGAAUAUUCAUCCUAUCGCUCAAUCAAAAAGAAGUCUGACCAUUUGUUCGACGUCAAGAAGAACCCAAAGAAGUCGCUUCGCGACUAUGUGAGGAGGUUCAAAGUAGAGAAGGCAAAAAGAGUUAGAUGCAACGACUCGAUAGCUAAAGCAGCCUUCCAAAAAUGACUUCCAGCAGACCACCCAUUGUUCGGAAAAUUGAUAAUGAAAGAAGAUCUAACUCUGGCAGACUCUUUCGCUAUGGCAGAGAAGCAUGCACUUUGGGACGAAGUUCGCCGAUGCCCAUUUAAGGCAAAUCCAAGCGAUCUUGAAUAUGAAGUUCCCCACUACUCUGAAAGAGAUUCAAAGUCUGACUGGACGAGUAGUCGCAUCUGAAGCAGAAAUAAGCUCUACCAUCAUACGAGAAGAGCUGGGGGCCCGAUUACCUAUAUUCCAUAGUUUAAAAGCUUUCCUUGAUGCUAUCAGUUGUAUUCCACAGUUUAAAAGCUCUAAUUGAUGUUAUCAGAAAUUUAAAAGCUAACUUCGACGAUAGUUGUUGUAACCUAAAAGCUCAAGUUUUACCUUCAAACGCACACAGUCAUCAUCAUGAUGCACUAUUCCAUCGAAUCCUGACGAACGCAACAACUAGGCCUAAAAGACAUGCCAAAGGUAGACGAACACUAGAAGGAACACUCAAAAGCAAGUUUUGUCCUCAUCACCCCAGAAGAUUCUACGUAAGAGCAACAUGUAUUGGCAGUCGAACACUACCUCCUGCUGCGCGUCACACGGCCUAGCCGACCCUUGCUCCAUUAUUCAGCUCUAGAGUGGCUUAAUACCAAAAGUUAAGCAUCUUCUGCUACAUGUAACAUGGCCCUAGCUCCACAGCUCCCUACCGCGCCUUCAAGCAUAGCCUUGACAAUGCAACAUAGCAGCCCAACGACGUCCCGAAGGCAGCCGAGCACAUUACCUGCUCCCUCAAUGGAGAUUUCUGGCAUUUGCAUGUCGACGGCGCAUGAAUUCAUCGGUCCUUCUCUCGAUAACACUACUACAGGAAUGAUGAUUCUCAUCAUCAAGGAAUUGGCCAAAUUAAUUUAAAUUCUAUGCAGGUAACCGUGAAAUUGAUAGAAAUGCUUUGACAGAAAUGUCUUCUAAACAAUUUUUGUAACCCAAUAAUACUUAGCAAAUAUUAUAUUUACCUUCAUUGGUAACAGUUAAAAAUAUCGUAUGUAAACUAUUAUUUCAAUUAUUGGAAUGGUAUAAGGACUUAAAAAAUUAAAAUAUGGAAAUGUAUGAUAAUGUACCUAUAACAGUGUUUAAUUGUCAAAAAAAAAAUUAUGACAAUUUUUUUUUAAAUUUUCAAGUUGUUAAAAAACAUCUAGACGGGUGAAAAAAGGGUAAUGGUAAAAAAAAAAAAGAUAAACGGGUUAAAAAGGAUAAAUGGGUAAACGGGUAUUAAACGGUUACGGUUAAAUGGGUAUGCGGUUAUGGGUAUGGUUAACCGUUUAUAAAUGGUUAUGGGUAUGGGUAUAACCGUUUAGGCAAUUACCCAAUGGGUAAACGAUUAUGCGGGUAUGAGCAUAAAUGGUUAUGGGUAAAUUAACCGCGGUUACCCGCUCGCAUAACCAUUGCCCAUCCCUACACACAGGUCAGGUUAGAUUCGAUUCUUAUAUUAAAUUUCUAUAACCUAGCCUGGCUCUCUCCAUUUUAUUUUCAAAAGGAUGCAGUCCAAUCUUUUCAAUUUUAGGCCCGGUUCGGCUUAUGCCCAUCCCUAUAUUCCAGUUAGGGAUGGGCAAUAGUUAUGGUGGACGGGUAACCGCGGUUAUUUUGCCCAUAACCGUUUAUGCUCAUACUCGUAUAACCGUUUACCCAUUGGGUAAUUCCCUAAACAGUUAUACCCAUACCCAUAACUGUUUAUAAACGGUUAACCAUACCCAUAACCGCAUACUCAUUUAACUAUAACCGUUUAAUACCCGUUUACCCAUUUACCCAUUUACCCUUUUUAACCCGUUUAUCAUUUUUUUUUACCAUUACCCAUUUUUCACCCGUCUACAUGUUUUUUUUAACAACUUGAAAAUUAAAAAAAAAUUGUCAUAAUUUUUUUUUUUGGACAAUUAAACACUGUUAUAAGUACAUUCAUCAUACAUUUCCGUAUUUUAAUUUUUUAAAUUCUUAUAUCAUUCCAAUAAUUGAAAUAAUAGUUUACAGAAGAUAUUUUUAAUUGUUACCAAUGAAGGUAAAUAUAGAGAUAUUAUAUUCACACACCCCAAAUUACUUCUCCCACACCCUUUUAAUUUUUUAAUAUUUUUUUAUCAAGUGUUAGUGGUGUGUAAAAAAUAUUAAAAAAAUUAGAAAGGUGUGAGAGAAGUAAUUUGAGGUGUGUGAAUAUAAUCUCUCUAAAUAUAAUAUUUGCUAACUACUAUUGGGUUACAAAAAUUGUUUAGAAAACAUUUCUGUCAAUUUCACGGUUACCCGCAAAGAAUUUAAAUUAAUUUGAUGAAUUACUUGAUGAUGAGAAUCAUUAUUCUUGUAGCAGUGUUAUUGAAAGAAGGACCAAUGAAUUCCUUGCUAAUUUAUUGGGUGCUAAGUAUUAUUAAAUCAAGAACAUGAUUUGUGUUAGUUUUACAUAUAUAAAAUAAAUGGGUAAACGGUUAUCACUUUAUAACCGCGGUUAAUACCCAUAAUCGCCCAUUUAAAUUUCACAAGUAAACGGUUAUAUCCAUAACCAUUUAUUUAUCUAAACGGUUACCCAUAACUAUAAUCAUUUAAUUUAAAUGGACGGAUAACUGCGGUUACCCAUAACCAAUGAAUAUUUGACCAUCUUUAAUUCCAGUGUAUCUGUAGGCAGAGACUACAAAGAAUUACCCAUCAAGUACACCUAAAGAACCAAAGGCACAACCUAAUCUUGGGCACGCAAAACUACAAAACGCUGACAAAAUAGAAGCGAUAUUCAACCCAACGGUCUCUAACACAGCCACAGGUAGGUUCCCUCGAAAGCCUUAUCUGCUUCUCCUCCUCAAGCUCCGGCCAUGGCGUCACUGAUACUCGGAGCUCCCCCAGCCCCCUCUCAGUCGCAUGCUUUCAACUCCCGCAUUUCGUUCUCUCGCUCCGAAACCCUUGCCAUUUCUCUCCCCUCCUCCACUGCUUCGCUCUCGCUCUCCACAGCUUCUUCUCCGCCAGUUCCUUCAGGUAUACGCAAAUUCCAAAUCCUCUUUCUCUCUGUGUAACUUGCGCUAAUUUUGUUUUGUGCUUCUGCAGUAUACUGCGGCAGAGGCGAUAAGAAAACCGAAAGGGGAAAGCGCUUCAAUCACUCUUUUGGAAAUGUAAGUCAAAUUUCGAAAUUUUCACCGUUUCACAUAAAAAAGCUCAUGAAUUUCAUUGAAGUGAUGAUUUUGUUCUUUUAAAGUUUGAAAUUUUUCUGAGAAAGAUCGAACAUUGAACUGUAGGCGCGGCCGCGGAACAAGAACAAGGGCAGAGGACCACCUAGGGUUCCGGUGCCGCCGGCGCCCCCAAAGAAAGAUAAGUUUGAGGACAAUACGAUUGUCAAAGUUGAAAUUGAUGAGUCCUUGUCUUAGUUAAUUAAUGGAUCCUCCAAUUUGUUUAAUUUCUGUUUUUUAAUUGUAAGUUAUGUAUCUUGAGUUUAUGUUAUGAGGAUUUUGAUCAAAUACUUUUCUUGUUCUUGCUUGAAAUUAAUGAGUCAAAGCUUUAAAUUUCAAUUUCCAUUAAUUAAUUAAUUAAUUUGUAGUUUUCCUUAUAGUUUGGGAGGACAAUUACCCAGAUAUGCCUGGGUAGUUCUGUUUCACUUGUUUGUGUUACUGUCUUGUCUUUUUGGACACAAAAUCUUCUUGGAAAGAUAUGGAAGGAAAAACAAAUGUUUUCAUAUCGCCGGCUUUCGACAUUCUUUAUAGUUUAUAAGGGAGUUCAUCGCCGGCUUAGUCCCAUCUGUUGGUGUUUUCCUGCCCUAUUCUGCUUCUUCUUCAUAAAUCUGCACCUUGUCUGUUCCUUUUGUACAAUCCUAGUACCCUGGAUCUUUAGGAUUAGGAUGAGUUUGUCGGAAAUAACCGAAGAGAAGGAUGAUGAUGAGAUCGGGUUUUUGGCUGAUCCAGAAGCUCAGAAGGAGAGGAUAAGGCAGAUUAUAGAGUAUCAGAAGUCGCUUCAUCAGUCUUCAUCUUCUUUGUCUUCCUUGUCUUCCUCUUCUGCUUCCUGGUCGUCAUUUUCUUCAGCUCGAAGAAGUAGCAGUUUGUUAGGUUUGAUGAAAGUAGGAAACACAUCUUUGAGGAUAUUGUUUGACAUGGAGCAUCCGACUUUGGGGAACCAUUUCGAGGAUUUCAGUGGAUCCUCGAUAGUUAAGCCUAUCCUUCUAUGGGCAGUGAUACAGAUGAUGAGAACGAAACCCGUGACCCCUGGGAAUCCAUCAAACAGCUUAGACCAAUAGAGGGUUCUAGGAUUGAUGAUGGACAGGAUAAAUUUGCUUCAGAUGGUAGCUUCUUGGGUGGAGAUUAUGGCUUUCAGGAUAGAGAUGUAAGAAUCGGCGCCCGCAGAUUGACUAGGACAAAGUCGUUUAGAAGAUUGCCAGGAUUUGGAUUAUGGAGAUGCAAAGGAUUUAGAUUUAGAUUGAGAUUAAGGCGGCUUACGAUCGCUUUUAGUAGAAGAAAAUGUUGAUAUUAGCUGCAUACUUGUAAUACAAACCACAUAUAUUUAUAUAUAAAUGAAAAGGUUAACUUCGAUUAACAUAUUGAAACUGGGAACUUCUUAACUUGUUUACAGAAUCUGAGAUUUACAAAUUAUAUUCAAACAAUGAUCUUAAUUAUAGUGGGGCUAAAAACUCAAAAUAAAAAACGAAGUUUGUGUGAUCGGAAAAAAAAAAUGAAUGAAAAAACCGAAAGACUAAUUUCCGGUCUGCCACUUUGUCGCAGAUUGAAGAUGCUUCACCAUUUAUUUGAUUAAAAUUCUUGAAGAACUGUAUAUGUCGUUGCAAAUGAUACAGCGAUCGGAGAUCAAUCUCUGCAUAAUGCUUCCUUCUUCAACUACUUCUCUGCUGCUUUGCUUGUUCCAUAGGUGUACUCCGUAAGUCUCCCCGUUAAGCUGAAGCAGCUUUUCUCUUAUCCAUCGAGAAUGAGCCGGACUUCCUGGCUUCUUAAACAAUCCUCCGAUCCUACUCCAAUCGACGGGGUAAAAGGCGAGAGGGGGUAGAAUCGUGAAGUUAUAACCGGGUCGGUUUUGCACCCUCAGGACCACUCUGGAAACAAGGUAGGGACCAUUAUGCCCCCAUUUAUUCCCAUCAAAAGUGAGGGCAAAUUCCUCCAUGAAUUUGUACAGAAGGGGAUGAUUCAUAUCAAAGAUCAGAACUGCAUUGUUUAAUCUGGUCCAGUUCUUCGAAACCACAUCCACACUUUGUGCACCGAUCGAGUUUCUCAAUCCGAAGAACGAUUUCAAGACGAUGAAGUCUGUGUCUAAAUAAACACCUCCAUACUUAUACAGAACUGCGAGUCUUAUCAAAUUAGACAGGUUCUGGGCUAAUGGAAUCUCACCAGGGUCUCUCUUGCCUCUCUUCAUCUCAGCAAACCAGGAUUCUGCCGGCGUGUUUUUCAACAGAAAUGACAAGUCAGGUGUCACAGCAUGAACUUUGAACCCGCUAUCCUUCAGCGGUUUCAGAAUUCUGUAACCGCACUUGGAGUCCAUAGUUCUCGAUAGAAUCAUCAAACAUCCGCGAGGGUGGGCUUUGAAGAGACUCUCCAUUGUCAAGAACUCUCUGCUCCCAAAAGACCUCGCCGGCGAAAUCCAUGUCAUAAAGAACUGACCCUCACACUCCUUGUUAAAGAAUUCCAGAACACGGCCAUGGAAUUGCUUUGCAGACUUGUCUGACUUGAAAAUGUGAAAUUCCGACAGCAUGCUUCGGAACCAAGCAAUUCUUUCUUCUUCUGUGACAUUUAAAGGAGGAACAAGAGGCCUUGUGUUUUCUUUACCAACUUCAAUGGUCUCCUCCUGCAUGGAACGCAGAACUAAGUGACUUACAUCAGACUUGAUCAAUCCGCCUGCAGAAUUAUGAUGAUAACUCUGCAGCAACGGAGAAAUCGCCUCGUUCUUUGACGCCACUGACUGUUCCGAGUCACCAUAGAUAAUACUAUCGGCAUAGACGAGGACGAUGAUUGCAACAAUUAAAUGAGUACAGAAGAUGGGAAAUUUGGCAAGGCUAAGGCGGCGGCUGUCGAUUCGAGUCAUGGUCAUUGUCAGAGGAGCGGCAGCGUAGGGAAAGAAGUGAAGUUGAAGAGAUAUAGCUCGAGAGGAACUUUCAUGGCGAAUAGACCAAAGUAUGACGACAGACACGCUUAUACAAAAGAAAUGUUGGUUGCAGGCUUUAUAUAGUUCAAUGUUUGAGUUUGAACAUUCAAUAAUUUGACUUUUUAGUAAAAGUCAAAUGUACCUGCCUCUAAAACUAUGCUCUCAGCAUUGUGUGGAUACCUUGAUACAUAAUUGGCAUCGUAAAUGAUUAGUUAGUACUAAUCUGGUACUGAGUUGCUUUUAUAAAAACUGGGUAUUAAAAAAAGUUGAGCUCAAAAAGGUGUUUAGUAAACACUUAAAAACAACUUAUUUUCACAGUUUUGGGUGAAAAAAAGCUAAAAACGUGAAACAGCAAAAAUGAACUUAUUCUCACAGCACAACAAAAAUGAGCUUAUUCUCAUAGCACAGCAAUACCAAAACAGUCCUUAGUCUAUCAAUACUUUGUUUUAUUUAGGUGGAAGAUAUCUCAAAUUUCAUUCACAUGUAUGUAAGGUUGAUAUAUUGUUAGUGUAGGAGAAUCCGUUCAGGAUUCUGUUGGGCUAUGUAUUGUAAAUCCCCAUGAAUUUAGGAUUACUUGUAUCUCAAGUCAAUUGACUAAUAUAUAUUUGUAAUAUUGCGUUACGAUGACAUCAAGGAAUUACAAUUCGACAUAGUAUUACUAGCUUAGGUUCCCUUUUCCUAGUAAAGCCCUAGUCUUCUUCCCCUUUCUUCUACCUUUUGCCGUCGCCCUUAGGUCAAUUUUCUCCAAAUUUUUGCUUUUUGCCGUGCCACCUACUCCCUAUUCCCCUUGACUACGCAAGCCUCUUCAAGUCUUCAUCCUCUACUCUAGGUGGAUCCCCUCUCAAGUCAAUUGACUAGUAUAUAUUUGUAACAUUGCAUUACCAAUGAAAUCAAGGAAUUACAAUUCUGCAUAGUAUCACUAGCUUUAGGUUCCCUUUACUAGUUAAACCCUAGUCUCCUUCCCCUUUCUUCAACCUUUUGCCGUCCCCCUCGGUCAAUUUUCUCCAAACUUUUGCUUUUUGCCGUGCAACCUAUUCCCUAUUCCCCUUGACUACGCAAGCCUCUUCCUCUCUCCGGUUUUAACGUUGCUCAUUUUCUGAAACUCACAGAUUCCAACUAUCUCCUUUCGCUUAGUCAGAUGAAGCCAUUUCUUCUUGGUCACAAUUCUACAUAUAUAGUGGAGAAGCAGGUCAAAUGUUUGAGUUACAUGCGAGGUUUAUAUAUAUAUAUAUAUAUAUAGAGUGAGUGAUAUUUUUUUUUUUAACAAACGAUAUUAUCUACACUAAGGGAAUGUAGGUUUAGCCUCACAAUGGACUAGCAAUAAUGUGGUUCAAAUUCACAUUUGACGAAAACCGAACCUAAAACCUCUCACUUACAAGUGAAGAAGAAUAUAUACUACUAGACCGUAGUACUAAGUGACUACAGUGAGUGAUAUUUAGACAUACAUAAUUGACACACUCCAAUAUAAAUAAAUUCCACAAACAACAGUAAGAUCUGUGUCUAUUAGACAAUGUGUCAAAAAAUGAGUUAAUUUUGUAUGUCUAUGUAUAAUUAUCGUCUAAACAAAUUAUAUGUGGCUCAUUAUGACUUGUGAAAGGAUAUUUGUAUCUCCUAAAAUGAAUAAUAAAUAUUGAGGGUCCAUGAGAUGAGAUUAUCAAUAAUUAAAAGAUGGUGAUGGAAACAUGUUUUGCGAUUAUUUAUUGAUUAGGCAAUUGCCCCAUUGCUUUAUUUUUCAAUGAGUUACAAAGAUAGCAAGACCUACCAUGGUAUUUGUGACCAACCCAUACAUUAGAAUUAAAAUUGUAAUCUCAUCAAAGCACAAAGGAAGACCAUUCCUUGAAAUUAAAUUGUUUACCUUAGAAAAAGGGGUAACCAAAAUUAUUGGAUUAUUUAACUUAGCCAUGUUCUUGGUGUAUUUCCCUCCUUAUACGUCCAUUUUUUCUGUAGACCUAGAGAGGGGGAUAUAUUACAUACGGUUUAUAAAACAAUGGAUUUAUACAAUUGUCUUGUGUCUCAUUCCUUAUUCUUUUGUUGCCACCCUUUUAUAUUGGGAUUGAGAAAUUAUUUAUUCCUGGCAGACAGACAUAAAUUUUCUUCAUCCACAAUGAAAUCUUUUGUGUAGAAAUUCUUACACACAAUCCGAAAUAUUUUUUCUUAGUUACAAAAAACGAAACAUGCCAGUAAAGUUUUCCUUUCGUGUUAUACAGCAUCUCUUGUAGACUUGAUACGAUCAAAUCCAUUUCGAGGUGUAAAGAAAUUCUUACAUACAAUUAAGAAUAAUACUAUUUUGAUUUACAUUUCUCAUCACGUGACACAUAAUACAAUAGUUAGGUGGCGGAUGUAUAUGGGGACCAGCGUGGUCUAACGACCACCCUGAGUCUGGGAAAAUAUACGUGUGAAGGUCUUUUGAGGAUUCUUUGAAUGUUUGGUAUGGUCCUCUUUGUGCUCACCAAGUAUUUGAUAUAAUAUAUGCUAGGUAUAUCUCGAUAGCACUUGAUAAGUUGAGUCGAGAGCACUCGGCAAAUUCUCUCGAUAACAUUCAUUAGGUUGCUUCGACAUAUAUUGAUAUUUGUUAACAUGUGCAUAACAUGGUUUGGUUGACGACAACAAACCUACCAAAUGUUCAACGAAAUACCUCAAUAAAUAAACUAAAUUUUUUCUUACGCGCAUCGCACUCUGUUUCUAUUAAAAUAAAAACAGAAAAUCACAACUCAUUGUAAAUCACACCUCGGUGAAUACACUAGAUUUUUCUUACGCGCAUCGCACUCUGUUGCUUAUAAAUACAAGUGCACAUAAGAAUAAUGUUUAACAAUACUAUUUUUAAGAUGGUGACUGAUGUUUCAAUUAUUAGGUAAAUCACAACUCAUUGUAAAUCAUAUAUGAUUUUUUUUGUCUACCAUUUUCCGAAUGAGAAAGUAUGUUGAAGGGCUUUUUACUAUUACUGAUAUCAAAACUACAAUAAAUAACGUGUGCACAUAAUUACAAUAUAGUUUGUUAGCUAAUUAAUAUGAUCCACGCAGACCUAUUUGUCAACUAUUGUGAUUUUCUCGCUAAUUAGUGCAGUAUAUAUUUUUUUUCAUUUAAUUUAGGAAGUUUUAACGUAAUACUUAUGGUACUGUUCACUUUUAACGAAAAUGAUAUUUUUACUUUAAAAAAUCACUUCUGACACUAUUCACUUACAACACAUUUUUGUUAUUUUAAUUAAAAUUCAAAAUUUUCAAAUUAUUUUCAUUAGUUGUUCUUUUAAUUUAUCGAUCAAGAGAGGUCGCAUCCGACUUUUGGAACAUGCAGCAAAAUUAUUCAAGUCUUAUUUUUAAGCAACGUACGUCCUCGCCUCUAAUUACAAUUAUGUAGUGCCAUCAGAAAAAUACGUAUAUGAUUCGAUUCAAGGGGUUGCGUCUCUGCAUGCAACUUGUGACUUCUUUUUGCAUUGGGCAUUAAAUUAAUCCUUAUGCAAUUAUUCGGCUAUUACUUGGCUGAUUCACGUUAUUCAAUCUUAAAAUUUUAUGUUAUAUGGCAGAUAAAAUGUCCUUAUUAAUGAAAUUAUUUUCUUCCAUUCAUGAUACAUAAAUACUGUAUAAGAAAAGGUAUAAACCAGAUAGGAUGGGGUCUUGGAAGGCCCCAAAAAAACACAUUGCUAGAACGUAGGAAACCAGCAUGGUCAGGAAAAUUCCAAGGUUGCAUUGCGAUAUGUAGUGAUCAGGAAGCUCGUCAAAACUUAAGCGCGGGAACGGCUCCCCAGUUUUGAUUAUUAUGCUGAGAACCGUCCACUCACAUGUAAGCGAUUGUAAGUGAGAGGAUUUAUGCUCGAUUUUCACCAAAGUGAAUUUGAACAACAUUGUUGCUAGUAAAGAAAGUUGUGGUUCUACUUUAAAACCAAUUGACAAUAUGAGAAGUAAUUCAACCUCUUAUAAGUCUAUGCAAGGUCCAUCAUCUCAUCAAUGUGAGACUCAUUCUCAAUAGCUAGUCUAUUGUGAGGUUAAGGGCCCACCUCUUAUCCCCUUUAGUAUAGAUAAUAUUAUUUAUUUAAAAUAUAACUGAAUAACGAACUAGUAAAUAACCAAAAGUCAAUUUCAGUAGAAACAUCUAUUUUGUGUAUACAUGAUCACUAAUAAUAAGACAUAACUCCCUAAUUAUUGUUUAAUAUGACCAAAUAACUGAACUAUCAGAUGUGGAAAAGUUGAACAAACCAGAAAUGGUCCUUAUUAAGAAAAACACUUGGCUCCUUAGAUUGAGGAGAAAUUUCUCCUUAAAGUACUUCGUUGCGUAUUCAAAGAAUAUCGUGCUUAUGAUAAGAACGGUUCAUAUUAUAUAUACGUCACUCUGUAAACAUCAACUCCACAAAAAAAAUAAUAAUAAAACUAAAAUUGUUGAGUAAUUGAAUUGUAUAAAAAUAUAUGGAUAGAUUUGGUAAAUGCAUUACGAACCGUUCUUUUACUACAAUUGAUUGACUAAACUUAAGUAUUUUGAGGAGGACCUCCUCCUCAACCUUAAGGAGCCAAGCUCUUCUCCGUUUUUAAUAUUGAGAGUUUAUAUACAUAACCUCCUCCUCAACCUUAAGGAGCCAAGCUCUUCUUUGUUUUUAAUAUUGAGAGUUUACAUACAUAUAUAUAUAUAUAUAUAUAUAUAUAUAUAUAUAUAUUAACCUAUUGACAAUAUAUGAGAGCUUAAAUUGAUAGCUAGGAAGGGUUUCAAUUAUAUAAAGAACAAAAACAACUGCCAAAUGAAAAGAAGCUUACGAUCAUGGAAGAAAAUGCCGAUAAUAUCGGCGAAAUAUCGCCGAUAUUAUCGGUUUUUCGGGUGAUGGAUAUUCUAAGUGGUAUCCGAAUGGUUUUCGGCCAAAUAUUGCGAUAUUUUGGAAAUAUCGGCGAAAUUUUUUUGAGUUUGGUGCAAUCGGACUCCGAGGCGACGUCGGAGAAGAACGCCGGAGACGGUGUGCCUAUUCCCGGGCCGAUUUCGUCCCAAAAACCUUGCAAAAACACGAAUUUUAACAUCAAUUUCACAUAUAAACUUCAGAUUUCACGCAUGCAUAAACGAUUCAACAUAUGUGAAGUCGGUUUAGGGUUUAGGGUUUCAAUGGAAUCUCACCUGACGAAGACGAAGACGAACCAGAUGACUGAACGUGAUCCUUGCUCAGCGGCGCACCGCCAGAGACGACUGAGCCAACUCUGACUUCGCCAGAGCCACGAUCAACGGCGAAGGGAGAAGAGAGAUCGAGAGAUCUGUGUGUGUGUGUGUGUGUUUGGGAGAAGAGAGAUCGGAGAUCUCUCUUUGUAUGUGGGUGUUUGGGAGAAGAGAGAUCGGAGAAGGGAGAAGAGAGAUCGGAGAAUGGAGAAGAGAGAUCACCAAUCUCUGUGUGUGUGUGUGUGUGUUUGGGAGAAGAGAGAUCUCCGAUCUCUGUAGAUGGAGGGUGUGUGCGUGUGUGUGUGUGUGGAAUGAGGGAGAAGUGUGUGUGUGUUAUCCGAGAGAAAGAAAAAAAUACAUUGAGGGUGUGUGUGUGUGUGUGUUUGUGGCACACGGUUUGACACAUGGUUUUGUAUAAAACCAUGGUUUUGUGUGUGUGUGUGUGUUCACGUGUAUGGUUAUGUGUGUGUGUGUGUUAUCCGAGAGAGUUUUGGCACAUGGUUUUGUAUAAAACCAUGGUUUUGUGUGUGUGUGUGUGUGUGUGUGUGUGUGUAUGGUUAUGUAUGUGUGUGUUAUUCGAGAGAAAAAGAAAAAAACUUUGAGGAUGUGUGUGUGUGGCACACGGUUUUGUAUGAAAGAAUUGGAAGUGACUUUGCUCAGAAGAACCAAAUAUUCUGUCAGAGAAGAACCAAAAAAUCUGCUUACUUUAUCUUCUUCUCCACGUGAAGACCAAAUUCUGUCAGAGAAGAACCAAAAAUGCAAUGUAUAAAGUGUAAAAUAUUGUACUAAUUCAUUAUAUAUAAAUGAUUAUGGUGUGUUUAGACUUCUUUCAUUAAUUACUACAUAUUUUCUACACUCACAAUGUUUGUCAGCUCGCUAUAUAAUCAACUUGAUAAUGUUAAAUCCAUCAUGCAAUGCAUUUCCUUCCAAUUUUUUGUGAUAAACUAAUAGAUAAUUGACUAAAUAAACAUCCUGCAAAGUUUCAAUAAAAAUUUCCAAGUUUUUCUUACAAUUUCCGUGGUUUCCAUGUAAUUUUUAUCGAUAUCGAUAUUAUCCCGAUAUUUCCAUCGAUAUUUCCGUGUUUUCGGACUACCGAUAUUUCCGAUAUUACCGAUAUUUUCUUCCUUGCUUACGAUAACAUAGAGAGCGCCUAAUUUAUUUUUCCAAGACAAUUAUUAUAAUAUUAUAUAUUAGAUAAUUGAUACUCUUCCUAUCGACACCUUUAACAUGUCACCCUCAGUACUAGCCAAAUAAUUGCGUUAAAUAUAUAAAUUUUGGUUAAUAGUGGGUGGACAUUUAUUACAAAACCAAACAAAAAAGGCAUGGACUAUCUUGUAGUUUUUAGCAUCUUAAUGUGUAAUUGCCUUGUAUUUAAUCCUUUUCAAAAAUAAGAAUUUAGCUCGAGGAGAUUGUAUACUGAUGCAAAAACUUUACCUUUAUUUCAAAAACCCUGCAUGAAAACGGAUAUAUAUAUGUGUGUGUAUUUAUAUAUAUAUAGAUAUCCAGGUGUAUGCCAGAAUCUGGAGUAAUAUGAUAGUAAGACAAAGGUUUUGUGAAUUUAUUUGAUUCAAUUUUGCAAGCUGAAUGUGAAAAGACUCCUCCCAGUAUUAGCUGACAAUGCGCUUAGAUGUAAGAUCUAUUCUGUGUACAGAAAUUAUAAAACUGUUAGCAAAAUGGUAGCCUCUUAUGAGCUGCAAAUAUCUUGGCCAUGUUAAUUAUUUGAGACAGGCUGAUGUCAACUCAAACCCUAAAUAAACUGGUCCACAUAGUAAAGCGCCUUAUCAUUCUAACGCUUCUUCAAACAAAUACAGUAGAUGAUAAUAUAAAAUAAGUUUGUGAUGCAAAACUAAACGGACUAGGAUCCUCUCCUGAGCUAAGGAUGAGGAUCCUACUGAUCAAAGAGUGUGAGUCGUUGGAUGAUCCAACGGUUACAAACAGGAUGUCCCUUUAGAAUUAUAAUAAUUAUAACCGUUGGAUUUCCAACGGUCCACACUCCUUGAUCAAGAGGAUCCUCAUCCUUAGCUUAGGAGAGGUUCCCGGUCCAAAACUCAGAUUAGGCCUUAAUAUUUCCAAACUCGUCUUAAUCGAUCUUUGGCGUGCUUCCCCACUUCCAAUUAACAACUCUAAUCUCCAUAUGGUGAAAUUAACAAUCUGGCCCUAGUGAUCAAUGGAGUGAUGCUUGGGUACAGACGGCCGUCCAGGACACCAAAAGUAACCAAGCACAAAGGGAUGGGAUCAAGAUACAAGUGGGGAUGUUUCGGAGGGCAGUCGGAUUACGGCCGCGUUGUUUGGAUAUCCGCAUUUAAGAAUUUCUCCGGUUGAUGGGGCUGCUGAUAGGAAACAAAUAAAAUAACAACAAAGUCUUAUCCCACUAAGUGAGAUCAACUAUAUAUAUAUGAAUCUUGGCUGCUGUUUUGUGCCAUGUUUCCCCUUAGAUUCAAGUAGUUCAAGUCUUUUUUUUAGAAUUUUUUCCCAAGUCUUCCUAUACCUCUUUGACAGUGAGGCUAUGUCUCGUAAUCGCAUCUCCUCACUGAAUGAAGACAAAUCCACUACAAUAUUAACCCAAUAAUGAAGAAUCAGAGUCCUCUUUUCGAACACUGCAUUCAACAAAAUCACAAUUAAAAAAAAGCAAAAUGAAAUCUGUAAUCAGAUUUGCAACAAAAUGGAGCUUUCGUAUACUUGCUGCAUGAAACUUCUGUUUAAAUUCCUUCCCGGGUUCUUUCUCUUAUGCAUGAUCACGUGCCCGGAAUUCGUCUUUGGAAACGAAUCUGACCGCCUCGCUCUGCUGGACUUGAAGAGAAGAAUAACAAAUGAUCCUCUCCAUAUCAUGAACUCGUGGAAUGAUUCGACAGAUUUGUGCAGUUGGAUUGGCGUUACAUGCAACGUUUCAAACAAAAGAGUCGUGAUCUUGAACUUGGAAGCUCAAAAACUGGUAGGCUCCAUACCACCUUCUAUCGGAAACCUUACUUAUCUUACUGGAAUCAACUUCAUAGACAACAAUUUUUAUGGUGAAAUUCCUCAAGAAUGGGACGUCUAGCAAGCCUGAAAUACCUCAACCUGUCUUCGAAUUCCUUGGGCGGGAAAAUUCCAACUAAUAUAUCUCGCUGCACGCAGCUGAGAAUGUUUGAUGUUGGUGCAAAUAAGCUUAUUGGGUCAAUUCCGGACCAACUCAGUUCGUUGUUGAAUUUAACUCAUUUUUGGGUUGAUGACAACAAUCUCAUUGGAGCAAUUCCGGAUUGGAUAGGAAACUUUUCUUCCCGGUACGCAAUCUCUCUUGCUUACAACAAUUUUAAGGAAGCAUACCAAAUGCUCUCGGGCGGUUGACAAGCUUGGGAAGAUUCAUAAUUCCAUCAAACAAACUUUCCGGUACGGUUCCUUCUUCAAUCUAUAAUAUAUCGUUGAUAUACUAUAUUACAGUUACUCAGAACCAGCUGCAUGGAGAGCUCCCACAGAAUGUGGGGACUACUCUUCCUAAUCUUGAGAUAUUUGCUGGCGGUAUCAACAAAUUCACCGGAAGUAUUCCUGUUUCGUUGUCAAAUGCUUCUAAACUUCUAUUUCUUGAUUUUGCCGAAAAUGGCCUCACGGGAAAACUCCCUGCUGAAAAUUUUGGAAGUUUGAGAAGCUUGUUGAGACUAAACUUUGACGACAAUAGGCUUGGAAGUGGGAAAACAGGUGACCUGAAUUCUCUCAGUUUCCUGGCGAAUUGUACUAAUCUUGAGGUGUUGAGUUUUAGUCGUAAUCGUUUUGGAGGAGAAUUGCCAGAAUCCAUAGCCAACCUUUCGACGAAACUGAGAAUUUUUACAAUGGGUGGGAAUUUAAUACAUGGAAGCAUCCCUUUCGGCAUUGUGAAUCUUGUAAACUUGACCAGUCUAGGAAUGGAACAAAACUCUCUUGGUGGUACUGUCCCUGAUGCAAUCGGAAAGCUUCAGAAGUUGCAGGGGAUGUAUUUAUAUCUUAACCAAUUUUCCGGGACAAUCCCAUCGACGCUAGGCAACUUGACUUCGGUCACAAGGCUCUUCAUGGAGGGGAAUAGGUUUGAGGGAAGCAUACCUCCAAGUCUUGGGAGCUGCCAAAACUUGUUGAUGCUUAACCUUUCUAGUAAUCAGCUAAGUGGCACCAUACCUAAAGAGGUUAUCGAGCUUUCAUCCCUUUCAAUUUCUUUGUCCAUAUCGAACAGUUCUUUGACUCGUUCUCUACCAUCUGAAGUGGGCGAGUUGGUACAUCUCUCGGAGCUAGAUGUAUCAGGAAACAAGUUAUCAGGUGAAAUCCCCAAAACCCUUGGCAGCUGUGCUAGUUUGGUGCGUCCAUAUUUGGAAGGUAACGAAUUUGAAAGAACAAUUCCUCAAUCUCUGGCCAAGUUAAGAGGCUUGGAAGAACUUGAUAUUUCAUGCAAUAAUUUAUCUGGCCAGAUUCCUGACUUUUUGGGUAAGCUUGGAUCUCUACAGCAACUCAAUGUUUCACAUAAUCAAUUUUAGGAUGAAUUGCCCUCGGAAGGGAUAUUUUCAAAUGCGAGUGGUUUCUCGAUUCUUAGAAAUAAUAAGCUCUGUGGUGGCAUCCGAGAAUUACUUCUACCUGUAUGCACCAGCAAAAAAUCUAAAUCAUCUCGAGGACUACUUUCCCCAAAAGUAAUAAUCCCUCUAACUUGCGCACUUGCAUUAAUAAUUACUCUCAUGUUUCAUUGCUGCUUGUGCAAAGGUGAAAAGUCAAGAAGUUGACCUUUAACUUCACGCACCGAUGAGGACUCGAAAUCAUGUGUCUCUUAUUUACAACUCUUUGAAUCAACCAACGGGUUUUCAAAGGAAAAUCUCAUUGGUUCGGGAAGUUUUGGUUCCAUAUACAGAGGAGUACUUUCUAGUGAUGGCGGUAGUAGCUGUUAAGGUGUUAAACCUUCAACAAGAAGGAGCUUCCAGGAGUUUCAUUGAUGAAUGCAAAACUUUAAGAAGUAUAAGGCACUGCAAUCUUCUCAAGAUCAUUACUGCAUGCUGUAUUUUUCAGUUAAAAACUAAGUUGCAAAACAUUACGAAGGGAACAUAUUCAGUUUCAACAUAUUUGCAACGAAUUAAAGAUGUGAGGGAUCAUCUUUCUGCAGCUGGUGUAACAUUUGGAGAUGAUGAUAUUGUGAAAUUGGCACUGAAAGGUUUGCCUUCUGAAAUAUAAUACCUUCAGGACAGUUAUAAGAGGCAAGGAAAAUGUGAUCACUCUUAAGGAGUUUCGAUCCCAAUUGUUAGCUGAGGAAGCAACUACUAAGCAACAUUCAGUUUCUGAGUCUUUUGUUACUGCAAUGGUUGCACAAGAAACAUCAGGCAAAGGCAAAGCUCUUAUGUUAGGAGAAGAGCCUUCCAGUGGUUCCUCACAGUCACAGGCUUAUAGUGGUGGUUCAACUAAUGGUGGCUACAAUAAUCAUUCCUCUAACUACAAUGGAGACUAUAUUUCGAAUGGUUUUCAAGGAAGAGGUAAGGGCAGGAUCAAUUUUCACUCCAAUUCAAGGUAUAAUGCAAGAUCUUCUAAUCCAAGUACUAGAAUUCUUGGAACUACCAAACCUCAUGUUUCCACUUGUCCCGAGUAUGGUUAUGAAGUUCCUACAUGUCAAAUAUACAACAAAAAGGGUCACAUUGAUGUAGAUUGUUUUUAGAGACAUUCCUCUACAACUUCAACACCAUCCAAAGUUCAAUGCCAAAUUUGCUGGAAGUUUGGGCACACUGCAGUUCAAUGUUAUCACAGGGGAAACUUCACUUAUCAAGGCAGAUCACCAUCUUCCAAUCUCUCUGCAAUGCACAUUGCAUUUUCUCUUUCUGCACCACAAGAAACAAUUCUGGGUUGUUGAUACUAGGGCUACUUCUCAUAUAACCUCGGAUCUCUCCAAUCUUAAUCUAGCAACACCAUUUUCAUUUUCUCGCAAUGAUACAGUAACAACUACAAGUGGCUCAGGUUUGCCAAUCUCUAAUACAGGCUAUACUACUCUUCAUAAUCCUAAGUAUGCUUUCGAGUUAAAGAAAAUAUUAUCACAACAUUUUUUAUUUAUAUAUCGACUAUGUAAAGAUAACAAAUGUCGAUUCAUUUGUGAUGAGUUUUGUUUCUGGAUCCAGGACAAGAUCACAAGGAAAAUCCUCCUUCAGGGACUGUGUAGAGAAGGUCUCUAUCCUAUACCCUUUCACAUUCCAUAGCAUCUCAUCACUCAAGCACAAAAAUACAAUGCAUCCUUUCAGCAACAAACAUGUUAUCUUGGCAGUCAAGUCAAAAUAAAUUUGGGGCACCAAAGACAAGGACAUCCUUCCAACAUUGUUACUUCUGCAAUGUUAAAACAAUCCAACAUUCAUACAUCUUUAGAUCAUGUGUCUUCAAUUUGUAAAUCUUUUUUGGAAGGCAAGUUUGCCAAGCUUCCAUUUGUGUUACAACCUCUAGAGAUCAUAUAUAGUGAUGUUUGAGGUCCUUCAUCCAUUGUUUCCAUUGAAGGUUAUAGAUUCUAUGUAAGUUUUGUGGAUGAAUGUACCAAGUUUACUUGGAUUUUCCCCUUAGUAAAUAAAACUGAAGUUUUUGGUGUAUUUGUCAACCUUCACAGUUUUUUGGUUACUCAAUUUUCUACAAAUGUGAAAGUAUCUCAAAGUGAUGGUGGGGGUGAAUACUCCAAUCACAAAUUCAAACAAUACCUACUAAAAAAAUGUAUAAUUCAUCAGAAGUCAAGUCCAUAUGCCCCUAAACAAAACGGUCUAGCUGAAAGGAAGCAUAGACACAUACUUGAAACAGCCAUUACUCUACUUCAAACAGCAAAGUUACCACCUAAAUUUUGGUUUCAUGCUUGUGUCAUUUUUGUUUAUCUCAUAAAUAGAAUGGUAUGUCAAACUCUUCAUAUGUCAUCUCCCUUUCAAUGCUUGUUUGGAACCCCACCCUCUAUAUCUCAUCUUAAAGUCUUUGGCUAUGCUUGUUUCCCACUUUUAAAAUAGUUGAACUCUAGUAAGUUGCAACCUAAAACCUCACAAUGCAUAUUCAUAGGCUAUGCAUGCCAGUAUAAAGGUUAUCUUUGUCUCUUAUAAACAAAAUAUAUGUCUCAAGACAUGUUUUGUUUGAUGAGACAAACUUUCCUUAUUCAUCCAUCAUUACCUCCAACCAUGCAUCACCACUCACUACAUACACAUCAUCAUAAUUACAACCAACAAUUCCUUCUUCACUAGUCAAUUCACAUAACAAUAUCAUUUCAACUGCUACUACCACUAAUGCCUUAGAGUGUUCCAUGUCCAUACUUGUUAAUACUUUGGGAUCUAUGGAAUCUCUCCCUCAUCAUUCAUCAUUUGCUUCAUCAAUUGCAGAUACUACACAGUCCCCAAUCCCUGUUGAUCUUAAUUUUCAACUUGAAAAUCUGUCAGUUGUCCUUCUCAUACCCUCGGUGAGUUUGCACCCUAUGCAAACUCGAUCUAAAAGUAGCAUAUCCAAGAAGAAGGUGUUCUCAGCUACAGUUAAGUCAUCUACACAAGUUUGAAAACCUGCAACUUUUAAGUCUACUAGUAAAAUACCAGAAUGGAUUGCUGCUAUGGAAGAUAAGAUCACUGCCUUGAAAUCUCAAAAUACUUGGUCUAUAGUUCCAUUGCAUCUAACAAAAACUUAGUACGCUGUAAGUGGGUCUAUCGUAUCAAAACCAAUCAUGAUGGUUCAAUGGCAAGAUAUAAAGCAAGCUAAUUGCAAAAGACUAUAACCAAGAGGAGCGAGUUGAUUACAAUGAGACUUUUAGUCCUGUAGUGAAACCUACCACAGUUAGGUUAAUUUUGGCAUUAGCAUCUUAGUUUAAAUGGUCCUUAAGGCAAAUGGAUGUGAAGAAUGCAUUUCUUCAUGGUGAUCUGCAUGAAGUGGUGUAUAUGUAAGAUCCCAAGAACUUAUUAUUGAAGAAGAGAAAUAUUUGAAAAAAAAAAUAUAUUGUGCUUAUUUAUUGAGAAGAUGGUGAACGUCAUUACGAGUUUGUAACAUCUUUCGGAUUACUUUUAGGAACUUGAAUGAAUUUUUAAGAUAAUUUCAUGUUGUACCAAUGUGUCGAUGACGCAAGACAGCUUACAAGUGAUGGAAUUAGCCACGUGGAGAUCAAUUAGACGGCCACCUUCCGCAAGAGAACCUAGUAGCUUAUUCAUGGUUAUAUAUUGAUAAGCUCCACCAUGCUGCUAAUUUAUAAGAAUUAUCAAGAAGCCUUGUUGUCAACUUUGGAUUGGCAUACAAGGAUGACUAUUGGAAGUUACAGGUUGGACGUGGCAUUAAGUAGUUCUAUGAGCAUCUACAGUGAUUUUAAACCAAGUAUUUGAGCUGCUUGUAAGUAGCCUUGCAGCUGAAGGUGGCAAGAGCGGUGUCAAUGCUUUUAUCAUGCAAUUGACACCACUUGCAUGUAGACUUUCUUUGCCUCUAUGUCAACCAAUGACAAGCUAAUUGGAGCAACCAUUUCCCUAUAAAUAGGGACUUCAUUCUUUUGGUUUUGGUUACCAACUAGUGCACGGGUUGGACGCUGUAGUGAGAUAUAUGGCUACAUGCAAGCAUGCAUGUUAAGCCUUUGUAGAGAAGAAUUUUUUUUGUUAAUCUUUCGAAAUUCGUAACUUUCAAUCCAAAAUUUCGAUUGAGGAAUAGUUUUCGUCUACAUGUUCAGUGAAUCGAGCUCAACAUUCUAAGGUAAAUUUUGAGGAAUUAUUAUUUAGGUUUGAAUAAUUCGUUCAAAUUGGGUUUAUGACUAAUUAGGCUUAAAUCUUCGAUUCAAGCUUGUUCUUGCAUAAUUUGAGGGCUUUGAAGCCUAUUUGAUGACUGGACAACGAUUUCUCAGACAUUAAGGUAAAGAUUUACAUAUGAUCAGAUUUUUGGGAUUUUUGUACAAGUUUCAUAUGGAUGAGAUUUAGAAAAAAAAUUGAUGUUUGACUCGAAAUUCAUCAAAUUUAGUCCUUAAAGGACGUUUGUAUGGAAGAAGUGAGUUGUACUAUUGAUGGAUUGUGUUUUGGCUUGAAAGAUAUGUUGAAUUUCUGGGAAAAUAGACCUCAAAGCCACUGGUUUCAUACCAGGGACUGAACUACAAAAAUAGUUUUAGUUUUGGGGUAAUUGUGUAAAUUACUAAAAGUUUGGGGUCCAAAGUGCAAUUAUCAAAAAUUUUGGGAUCUAUUUGAAAUAAUAAAAAGUUCAAAUACAUAAUUUUUAUUCUGGUUAAGUGAAGGUCCCUAUUGGAUAUAGUUGUUGUUAUGGGAAUAAAGUUUAGUCAUUAUAUAUGGACAUAUAGUGGCAUAUUGUAAUUGUUGAACUAGGGACUCCAAUUACUCGUAGUGCUUGCGUUUAAUCGAGGUAUUGGUGAGGAAUAUUGCUUGCUUGGCUUGGAGACCAGGUAGGAGAAUCCUCACUUACCCUAGUUAUGGAAUUUUGUGCAUGUAUGUAUAUGUAAAUAUACGAAUGCCUAUGAAAGCUACAUAGAUUUUGUUGUGAUAGAACCAUAAGGAAAAAUGGUUUUGUUUUAUAUCAUGAUAUACAUGUUGUUUUAUGCUACAAAUUAAAGUGAUGACUUGAGAGUGAAGGGGGCAUAGCGACCGCCUUGGGUUUCGAUCCCCUAAACCUCCGGAGGGGAUACUACAAAGGGAUUAGUAUCGCUACCUUUCUAGGAGAGGUACUAGGACAUCUAAGGGUAGAGCAUUAAGGGACACUCUCGCUACAACUUACCAUAAGUAUAUUCGUUCGGAGUUGGUCCAGGUAAGCGAGUAGUUGGUCAUUAGACUGGUCAUCAGGCAUGUAGCAAUUUAUUGGGAUCCCUAUUGUUUUUUUAAAGGAAAUUGUGUGAGCAUAUAACCUAUUUUCAAAACUAAACAAAGCUUUUGUUGUGCAUCAAUCAUUUUCCUAUAGUAUAUAUAGUGUCGUAUACUAUUUUCAAACCUAGCUGGGGUGGAUUCCCUGAGGGGGAACGAUGAACGUUUGUGAUGCUUACCAUUACUUUAUUACAGGUCUGGUGCACCUAUAAGUAGACGAACUGGACAAAAGUCGGGACUAGCGUUGUUUGUUACUUGUCAACUUCUCAGUUGUUCAUAGCCUCAUCGUCUUGAAGGGAUUUUUGUAGCCAAACUCAACGUUUUGCAUUUUCAAAUCGUACUAAAGAGUUGGUUUAGUAUGAUAAUUACCUUAAACUCUUUGGUUUUGUUGUAGAUUGUGAAAUUCUUUUCCUAUGUAAAAAUUUUAUCCAAAUUCAGUUGCCCUUUUAUUCUUCGUUUUACCAAUAUAAUUUCCGCUUCCGUACUGCUCAAAAAUAAAUUAUUUUAUUCCCCUCAAAUAGCCUUACGUUCUAUUAGGAAUGUAGUGCUAUAGUGUUAGAUUUUAACACUAUAGUAUUAAGUUACUAAUAGAGCAUGGCAUUAUUACGUGCCUCUUUUUGGGGCGUGACAGUAUAUGUCUCAACCACAAGGCUUUGAAAGUUCAAUUCAUCCCUCUCAUUAUGUUUGCAAACUUAGGGAGUCACUUUAUGGUUUGAAACAAGCUCCCCGAGCCUGAAAUGAAAAAUUUACAAGCUUUUUACCAUGGUUGGGAUUUAAGGCUUCUCUUGCAGACCCAUCAUUGUUUUGUGCAACACACUCAUCUUGGUACUAUUGUUCUCAUUUUAUAUGUGGAUGAUAUCAUCCUAACUGGCAGUUUAUCUCAGUUGAUUGAUAAAGUUGUUUAAGCAUUAACUAAGGAGUUUGACAUGAAGGACUUGGGUCAAUUACACUAUUUCUUGGGGAUACAGAUAACAUAUCAGUCUCAUGGUCUCUUUGUUUCCCAAACUAAGUACAAAAAGGACUUGUUCAAAAAGGUUGGUUUGCAAGAUUCAAAACCUAGUGCCACACCAUGUUUGCCUUAUCACAGGUUAUCUAAAACUGAGGGCACUCCUUAUCACAGUCCACAACAGUAUCGAAGCAUUAUGGGAGCCUUGCAAUACUUAACCUUUACAAGGCCUGAUAUUGCCUUCUCUGUUAAUCAAUAUUGUCAGUUCAUGCAUAACUAUAACAACCCGUCUCGGAUAUUUAGGAACAUAUGGGUAUUGUGGUAAAUUCAAUUGGGUUAUGGGAUAUUUGUUUAAAAUAUAUUAUUUUUGGGUCUUCUUUGGUAUGCCCAAGUGGGGCCCACCAUUAGUUUUUGUCCCCCAGCCCAACUCCUCAUUUGUUCCCCUUCCCGUGCACACCUUCACUCUCUCUCUCCCUCAGCUCUCUUUUCCCCCGAGCACCUACACACAUACACUAACUCUCUCUGGGACCUCCCUCACCUUUCUUGUCCAUCUCCCUCCUCUGUGUGUGACAACUCCAGAAUUUGGACACCCCAAGAAUUGGUACAAAUGCAUGAAGUAGCUCCAGCGGGUCUCCAUUACCCUCUACAUAGGUAGGUCUCGAAAAACACUCCAAAGAUUUCCUUUUUGGUUCCCAUAUUUCACUUCUAAUCAUAUAUGUGUAUUGUGGGCGUUGAAACAUCGAGAAAUCGCCUCGGACGAGCUAAACUUUAGUUUUCGGCAUGUACCCGUGGCUUCUAUGGCGUUUUUAGGCCAACUCCAGCCACCACACGCCUUGAAAUUAGUACGAAUCUCUUCCUUGUUCCUUGGGCUUCAUUUUGGUAUAUUGUAUGACCUGUUUUGGUCAUGUUUUGGGGUUGAACGGAGCUUGGAAAGCUUCGACUUUCCUCUUCCUUAAAAACAAGCACACACCCCGGCCAGAAACUGGGUCAAACCCAACCCAAGAGCACUAGGUCGGCCCAAAGAAUUGGGCCAUGGAAGCUAACCCAAGUAACCCAACCUAGUCCUAAGCUAACCAAACCCAAUUCAAAGUUGGCCCAAACCCAUGGGCCUUGUAACCCGACCUAAACCCAGGCCCAAUCUCUAAACCUAUUAACCCAUUAAACCCCAAACCCCUUUGGACCCAGACCUUGGGCCUUCGGCCCAGUAGCCCCAAACCGUGACUUGGCCCGUUGAUCGGCCUUUGACCCGACCUAUUUGACCGUUGAUCGUUGACCUGUCAACAUUGACUCUUUGUUGACUUUUUUUCGGGUUUCGGUCGGGACCCCUCCUAGACUAAUUUCGACGUCCUAAAUCCGCUUAUGAAGUCCAUUUUCCAAAAUUCAAUCGUUAUGAUAGAGUUUUAUUAAUUAGACCCUUUAUGUGCUUAGGUGCGAUUAUUAGCGACGAUUACGUCAUAGCUCUUCAACGAUGAAGUAUCUGUGAGUGGACCCUUUCUAAAAUGCAUGUUUUAAUAGUAGAAAUGCAUACAUGAAAAGCAUGAUUUAAUGGUUACAUUUUAUGAAACGUUUUAUGAGUAAAUUAGAUUUACGCUUUAUGAUUAUCAUGCUUUAUGAAGAAUAUUUUGAAAUACCAUACUUUAUCGAAUUUAUGUUCUUUGUAGUAUAUAUGAUGGAUGACUAUAUACUAUUUAUGAACAUGUUUUUAAACUCUUUGUAGUAUUUAUGAUGAAUGACUAUAUACUAUUUAUGAACAUGUUUUUACACUCUUUGUAGUAUAUAUGAUGGAUGACUAUAUAUACUAUGAAGAUGUUUUAAGAUAUAUGUACUUAUGUUGGAAAGAUUAUAUUCAAUGUUUUUGUGCGUAUCUGGUGGUCACUGUCUUGCCUACGGGCGUAUGUUCUGCUUACGAGCGAUUGUCCUCCUAUGGGUGUAUGUUCUACCUACUGGCAUAUGUUCUACCUACGGGUGCGUAACGGUCCUGUCUACGAGCGUAUGUUCUGCCUACAGGGCGUAUGUCCUGCCUACAGGCGCGCGAUGGAGAGCCUUCGGGCGAUUUGAUACCACUAGUUAGCACACUAUAUAUGAUAUAUAUGUUUUAGGAAAUGUUUUAUGGCAUGCUAAGGUUUUCGGAAAAACCUAUUACCUAUUAUGUUAUACGAAUUUUCUAAACCUGGGGGUUAGUACGUUGUUGAUUAACUAUUUUAUUACUACUUAUAUAUCAACUUGGUCCACUCAUAUUUUGUUUUGCUCCCCCUCAGGACUUAGAAUCGAGGCGUACAAUCCCGGCGUCAAGGCACUCCCGCAUCGGCGUCUUUGAGUCCUUUCAGUGUAGGACCCAUCCUUUUGUUCAUUCAAUUUUAUAUUAUUCCUUUUUAGUGUCUAUGAUUAGUUAUAUGCUCUGAACACAUUCCAUAAUUGCAUAAUCAUUGUAUUUGAAUUUAUAAGUAUUGUUUAUAUUUAUUUGUUCUCAUGCAUCCUAAUAUGUCUUUGUCACCUUCGGGUGUCAACCAGCAAGUGCCUACCCUGAUGUUUGGAGAACAUCAGGGUCAGGGUGUGUCAAUAACCCUAUGGCCUCCCAUGUUGUAGCUAUCAAAUGCAUCCUACGAUAUCUUAGUGGUAUUUUGGAUUAUGGUCUUCAAUUUCGAACAAGCAAGUUACAAUGACAAGCUUAUAGUGAUGCUGAUUGGGCAGGUGACCAAAAUGAUAGAAGAUCCACUUUUGGUCACAUUGUAUAUCUUGGUUCAAGUCCUAUAUCUUGGGCAUCUAAGAAGCAACAUAAUGUUUCUAGAUCAUCUACAGAAGCAAAAUAUAGGGCAUUGGCAAUUACAGCUGAUGAGUUAGCAUGGAUAAGGCAGUUAUGAUGUGAUAUGUGUGUACCAAUUUACACUGCACCAAUGAUCUAUUGUGACAACAUCUCAGCAAUUGCAUUAUGCUAUAAUCCUAUUUUUCAUUCUCGAGUGAAACAUAUCAAAAUAAAUUAUCAUUUUGUGUGCUGGAACAAGUCAUUCGAGGUGAUCUCCAUGUUGAUCAUGUGUCAUCAAAAGAACAAUUCAUAGAUAUAUUAACAAAGGGACUGUCUGCACCCUUAUUUCAGCUUCAUUGUUCCAAUCUUAUGCUUGGUUUCUCCAAGCAUAUGAUCGAGGGGGGUGUAAAGAUAUAGAAUCGUCGGAUCAUGACAAGUGUUAAUAGAUGAAUGAAUAAGCUUGUUAUGGUAGUUAAAUUAGAUAGUAGAAGAUUACUUAGUGUGUAAGGAAAGUCAGGCAUAUAUAUAAUUAUGUACUAUAAGAUUCAUUCAUUGAAUACAAAAAGGAUAAUUUAGUUGUGAUUCUCCCUCUCUCUCUCUCUCUCUCUCUCUCUCUCUCUCUCUCUCUCUCUGAGACUACACAGAAAACUCCAUCAAUGUUCUUCAUAAGUUAAAGAUUAACACAAACCACCUUAACCGAUUUUCUAUCAUCUAUCUAUCUAUCUAUAUAUAUAAAGGGAGAAGGCCAAAUAGGUGAAGCAUUUCAAAAUGCCAACACAGCCCCUUUGUUUUCUUCACAACCAAACCCAAAACAUUUCAAAAAAUGAGGAUAAACUAGUAAAAAAAACAUAAGAGUAUAAAAUUGUCUUAAAAAAAAAAAGCACAAGCAAAUUAAAAAAACGCCCAUCUUAACUAUAACAAUUGACAACUGCCAGAUGAAAAUACUUGCACUUCAAAUUCAUUUUGACCCUUGGAUUAAUCCUCCCACAAAUACUGCAUUGUGUCCUAUCUUUCCGAGAGAGAGGAAAAAGAGUAGACCUCUCGAACACCACAUCUAACCGCAAUGAUGAGAUGAAACUAUGGUCUAAAAUAUCCAUAAUAUCCCGAUAUUUUCAUCGAAAUUUUCGUGUUUUUGGACUAUCGAUAUUUUUUUGAACUACCGAUAUUUUCGACCUUGCUAAGUCACUCAUGUAUCUUACCAUGCAAUGUAUAAAGUAUAAAAUAUUAUACUAAUUCAUUAUAUAUAUAAAUGAUUAUGAUGUGUUUAAACUUUUUUCAUUAAUUACUACAUAUUUUCUACACUCACAAUGUUUGUCAGCUCGCUAUAUAAUCAACUUAAAUCAGUUAUAUCUAUCAUGCAAUGCAUUUCCUUCUAAUUUUUUGUGAUAAACUAAUAGAUAAUUGACUAAAUAAACAUCUUGCAAAGUUUCAAUAAAAAUUUUCAAGUUUUUCUUAUAAUUUCCGUGGUUUUUAUUCAAUUUUUAUCGAUAUCGAUAAUAUCUCAAUAUUUUCAUCGAAAUUUCCAUAUAUUUCCGAUAUCAUCGAUAUUUUAUAGCUCGGAUGAAACCGCCAUCUACUACAUGUUCUACAGAAACAACAGGUCAAACAUCGGAAAAAAUGAACCCACUUUCGUCUUCCGCACAGACCCCUCUUCUUCGUGUUUUUUCGAAGUUCCUUUGAAAUCCACACUCGAUUUAGACAAGAUUUCAGGUGAUUUUUCGUAAAUUCCUUCACUUUUUGUCUUUACAAUCAAUUUCGAUUGGAUUAUUAUUGUUGGGUUUUCAAUUAGAAAAAACCUCAAAUGAAGUAUGAGAUUUCAAAUUCCGAGGCUUUUGCGAUUCUUCGUCCUAAUAAACGACUUGGGUUUUGCAUAGUGUGAUUCUUCUGUUAUUAGAGAUUCCAAAUUUUUUGAAAACAGGGUUUUUUAAAUCCUCUCAAAGUAGUAGGAUAUGGAAAUGAACUCUACUGGAGAAGUAAUUCAUUGUGUUCAAAUUUCACUGGGUAAGUUUACUUUCAUAUUAAUUUUGGCAAUUUAUUUGUAGUCGUGCAGAAAUCAAGGAGAAGACAACGAGAGGGAGGGAGAAACUGACAGAUAGAUAUAUUAACAAAGACUCUUCCUCUACAUCAACUGAUUCUUAUCACAGGUAACUUUCAAUCUCGGAUUCUCCGUGAUCUCUGCAUUCUUUUCCAACAGUUGUCCACCAUUAACCAAAUUCAUUUUUCCUUCUAUUUUCAUGUAUGAUUGUUGGUUAUUUUCUUUUGAGUGAAAAACUUGGAUUUGUUUCUUCUCCAUGUAAGUGUCUUUAUGUUUCCCUCUGCAUUCGUUACAUUCCAAUGAAGCCCGUUGGUGAGGUUCUUAUGCUUACAAGGAAACUCUUGGCUCUGGGGAGUUUUUGUUUAUAUUAAUCCAUUUUCCAAUUAUUUGUCGUGCUUUUUCCAUUAGGUUUCAAAUCAUUUGUAUCGGUGCAGGCGGUGGAGAUAAAUGUGAUGUGUGUUGUCUGGGCGAGACUCGCCCAAUAUUGUAGUUUAGUAGUAUGAAAAUUUUCUUCUACAUUUGAUUUUGCUUUCAAUUCUUCUUUUUAUUUUCAUGAAAUUUCUAAUCUUCCUUUAGUCAUGAGUACCUAAUCGAUUUCCCUUUCUAUUUUUUAUCCGCCAUUUUCUCUAAUUUUUGUCAAGAUGUGGUCUGCAUUUUCUCUUUUCCAGUGUAUUUGAAAUUCACUAAUUCAACCUCAAAUGUUUGUCGUAUUCAUCUCACAGAUAUAAGCAAUGUGUAGAGCCUCGACUGAAGAGUUUGAUAACGACUGCUGUAUAGGAUAAAUAUGCAAGUCGGUCAUGGAAUUUCUUCUACUUUUGAUUCAUUUUGGUUUUUUUUCCUAACCACUAUUCAUAAGUGGAAUUUCUUCUCUUCAUUUUUCCAGUUUUGUUGAAUUUAUUUUCUGUUCACAUCUUUCCUUUCGUUCACAAGUUGAUGCGUGAAACAAUUAAUUGCCAGAGUGCAUCAUUUGGUUUCUAUUUCUGUUGGGUUCUUAAUAUGGAUGAGUUGGUUGUGCUUAUAACAUAUUAGCCAAAAUGUUUAAUGUAAUAUGAAGUUAUUGUGGUUUUGGCAUUCUUUAAUUCCCUCCAAAUGGAGUUGAUUUCAAUUAUACUGCACAUUUGAGGUUUUUUUCUUAUUACAACAAUGUCUGCUUAAUUUCAACGUGGUUUCUUAAAUUUUUUGGCAAUUGGCAUUUGUACGUUACUUUAGGGUUGAUCAAGUGCACAGCGAUUGCUUAAUUUCAAUUUGAUUUUUUUUUUAGUGUGAUUUCUUUUGGCUUCUGUUUUCUCUUGGUUGUUUUUACUGCACAUUUGGGUUUUUCAAUUGCAUGAUCAUCCACUUUUAGCUUCUGUUUUUUUUUUUCUUUCGGUUAAUUGAGUUUUAUUCCUCCUCCAUAGUUCUCAAUUAUUAAACUUUUGUAUUUUGUUCUCUAUCACAUUGCUCCUUAUUCCUUAAUGUCAAUCUUCUCAUGCAUUUUCACAUAAUUAUUAAAUUGAAGUUCUACAAAUCAGUUUCUGGAAUUUACUAAUCGUGGAACAAACAAGUAACGAGGUCUGAAAUUUGUUUUCUUUGUAAUUGAUACUGGCAUUCUGUUUUUGGCUUGAGGAGGCUUUGGCAAUGGUUAAGUUUUUGUUUUUGGUUUCGGUUUUGUUUGAGGAGGCUUUGACAAAUUUGCAGAAGGAAAACCCAAAGGAGCAUUGCUUGUUUUGCACCUUAAUCCAUCCACCUUCUUUACAGGUAUGCCACGUUUCUUCAAUUUCUGAAUUUUAUCUCUACAAUUCGAAUUAAAAUAUUGGACAAUAUUUGAAGAUGAACAGUUGGCUAAUUAUCUUCCUAUUUGGAAAAAAAAAAAAAAGAUAAUUAUCCUCCUAAACUGAGCGGUUAUAAUUUAAACAUGUUGACAAAAAAAGUGGCGUUUGAUGGUCAUAUGAGAAAUGUUUCAUUUGAUGCCAACAUUGUAGUUCCUCCAACCUUAACAUAUUUCCAAAUGCUAUUCAUCCAAUAGUUCUGGAAGCCAUUUUUACAUCCCCUUAACCCAUUGUUUGUUUUGUUUGGUUAUUACUUUGGUCAUGGUAUCAAUUAAUGAACGAAUCUCCUUGCAAGUUGUGCAAUACAAGCAUACUUUUGGAAAAAAAUAUAGUUGAGCCAAAAAAUAACAAAAGGAAAAACAAAUAGAGGACAUCAUUUAGUCGACAUAUAGAAAAAGAUUGCCCAUUCAUAUACUCUUAAGGGUCUUCUUCCUUUUAUUAUUUCCAUUUGGUAGAUACCAUAUCAUGCUUUAGAAUUUGAAAAAACAGAGUAAAGAUUAUGUACAUUUGAGAACUCUUUUUUAUUUAUUGUAACACAAAUAGAUUUUCUUCUAAUGAGGAAAGGGGAUCGUAUAACUUGUAAGGAUUGCAAAGUUAUACCAGGAGAGAGCGUGGCUAAUCAACAUCGCUUGUUGGUGAUGGAUGUACAUAUCAAAAGAGGGGAAACAAAAGAACAAGACUUGGAAGUGCCCAAGGACUAGAUNNNNNNNNNNNNNNNNNNNNNNNNNNNNNNNNNNNNNNNNNNNNNNNNNNNNNNNNNNNNNNNNNNNNNNNNNNNNNNNNNNNNNNNNNNNNNNNNNNNNNNNNNNNNNNNNNNNNNNNNNNNNNNNNNNNNNNNNNNNNNNNNNNNNNNNNNNNNNNNNNNNNNNNNNNNNNNNNNNNNNNNNNNNNNNNNNNNNNNNNNNNNNNNNNNNNNNNNNNNNNNNNNNNNNNNNNNNNNNNNNNNNNNNNNNNNNNNNNNNNNNNNNNNNNNNNNNNNNNNNNNNNNNNNNNNNNNNNNNNNNNNNNNNNNNNNNNNNNNNNNNNNNNNNNNNNNNNNNNNNNNNNNNNNNNNNNNNNNNNNNNNNNNNNNNNNNNNNNNNNNNNNNNNNNNNNNNNNNNNNNNNNNNNNNNNNNNNNNNNNNNNNNNNNNNNNNNNNNNNNNNNNNNNNNNNNNNNNNNNNNNNNNNNNNNNNNNNNNNNNNNNNNNNNNNNNNNNNNNNNGUGUAACAUCUUCACCAUAAACUCCUCAUUUGACUAAGCAAAUCAAAUAGCCUAACUAGACAUGCAAAGAAAGCUUCAUUUUCACCCAUUCUAGUAUAUUCAAAAUCACAGCGUAAGCCUUGGAGUUUUACAGCUCUUAUCUGUUUAUCUCCCAUAAAUUCUUGCUUCAGGACAUUCCAAGCUGCGUGUGCAGUCUCUUGGAUGGUGAUUCUCAGAAAUAUCUGAACGGAAACCGCCCCUUGGAUGAUUCCAAGUGCCUUUGCAUCUUUGACUAUGUUUUCCCUCACCAACUUGCUCUCAACUUCAGUGAGUUCUUCAUCUUUCUUCGCCGGAGUAGCGAAACCCUUCUCGACAACAUCCCAUAGUUCAUAAGAUCAGAAUAUGGUCUUCAUCCGAAUCUGCCAGAAAUUGAAGUUGUCUCCAUUGAAUAUCGGUGCUCGAAGAUCAGCACCACUUGACCCAGCCAUAUGAGAUAUUCGAUUCAAGAUCACUGAGAUUUCUUCUCUGAAUUUUCCUUCAGCAACAAAGCUCGACGAUUAGUUCGAGUUCUUCACUGUGCUCUUCACAUAUUCACGCCCAGUUGCAGAUGAUGCAACCUGGCUUUGAGGCCAUGUUAGAUGUGUGAUUUUUGUACUGUGAUUCAAUGGAUCUAAGAAAGAUUUCUGGAAGAAGGAUUGAAUAAUUUCAGAGAGCUUCACAAUGAUGGAAGCCUCACACACAUUUCAUUGAAUGGCUCACUCUCUCUCUCUUACAUUGCAAAACGAAUAUUACCGUUGCACUAAGGAGGGAAUAUCGCCCUUCUCUCUCCUCUAACAGAAUGAAAACAAUCUCAUCCAUUCAUAUCAUCUAUCCUAUGCGAUAGUUACAUGUGUCACUCAACAUCACGUACUCUAACUUAAUCUAGAGCAUCCACUUGGAAUGUAAUCCAAUGUCUCUGAUUAAAACAAGUAAAACAUAAAUUUAUUUCAGCUAAAAUCACUUAAAUACUAACAAAAUCAUGCUUGGAUCUAAAAUGCUUUCAAUAACAAUAGUUUGUGAAUUAAUUCUGUAUAUCAUUUGAGAUAUUUAAUAUUGGUACGUACUGCAUUCAGGGUUAUUAUGCAUCAUACACAGCAGGCAUGGCAGGACUUCCGUUAGUUAUUAUGGCAGAGGUAGCUAACGUCGUGUGCUUGACCUUCAUGUGCUUUCACUAAUUUAUUACUGCAAGUUCAGCGGUGCAAUAAACUUCUGUUACAAAGAACGGAUGAUUUCAAUUUCAGAUAUUUCCAAUAAACGUCAAGGGCACUGCCGGAAGCCUGGUGACUCUGGCGAAUACGGGCACUGGUUCGAUUGUUACAUACACCUUCAACUUUGUGAUGGAAUGGACCUCAUCAGGUAUCUCAGCAACCAACUCCCCUACUUUUCUUUGUAUCUCUUUUUUUCAUUUCUUCCCCUGCGUUCUCGUAAUCGGUCAUAUGAUUUCAGGAACAUUUUUCAUCUUUGCGGCCAUUUGCGGUUUAACUGUUGUGUUCGUUGAGAAGCUAGUGCCGGAGACCAAGGGGCGAACGCUCGAAGAACUACAAGCAUCAAUUGCACAUUUUAUCUAAUAAGAUGAACUAUGAAGCCAUGCUAGUACAGCAGAGGCUGUAUUUAGAGCCCAAAGCCUGGCUUUCUCGUGUCAUAUAUAAGUUUGUAAUUUGUGAUUCCCGCUCUUCUCCACAACUGCCCAGUUCGAAUUCCCAUCGAACUCUGCAGCGGAUAGAGCAGAAGCAAAGUCCUACUCCAUCCACAACUCUCCCAGCCGCGGAAUGCCAUAAUUAACUGACUAGAAAUAAAUCUAUACUGUAACAAAUUAUAAGUCGUGGGUAUAUAUAUUUUAAAUGAUUUUGUCUUGUGUAUAUAUAUUUUAAAUGAUUUUGAAAUGAUUUGUCUUGGGCAUAUAUAUUUUAAAUGAUUUUUGUAAUUAUAGAAAUAAAUCUUUACUGUAACAAAUUAUAAGUGGUGGAAGCCUUGUUAGUGUGUAAGUUGUUGAGCAGAUUAGAAAACAUUACAAGGUUGUUAUGUGUGUUAUGUUUCAGCUCAUAGGCUGAGUUAUUGUGUAAAAAUGUAAUGUGUUGAUUAAGUCUCAUAGGGCUUAUCAUUUGACAAGUGUCUUGAUCUUAAGAUAGGUUGUUAUGGUUGGUUGAGAUUGAAUUGAGGUUAUGUCUCUCUCUCUCUCCAACGUCGGUUAAGUGUCUUUUCAUGCUCAUAUGCUCAGUAAGAAAUACAAUGAUAGAACUUCAAUAGUUGUGCUCUGUGUGUGUGUGUUCUUCUUUCGAAUUCAUCUUCUAAAUCUUUCGGAGUAUCCAUCUCAAAUACUGUUAGAUCUAUUGUGUAGUUGGGUUGCUAUAUUCUAAUAUGGCCUCAGAGCCUAGUUCGAUCUAAACUUCUAGGCGUCAUUUCUACGAGGGGGUGAGCUCGGAUUCACAGCAAAAGAUUAUUGCAGUGAUUCGAGUGUCUAACAUGGCUGGAUCUAGAGGAGGAGAACUCCGAGCGCCAAUCUUCAAUGGCGAGAAUUUUGAUUUCUGGCAAAUCAAAAUGAAGACCAUCUUUCGCUCGUAUGAACUGUGGAAUAUGGUGGAGAGUGGGUACAGAGCUCCGGUGAAGGAGGAGGAACUCACAGAGGCGGAGAGGAGGAGCUGCUGCGUGAAAAUGUGGUCAAGGAUGCUAGAGCACUGGGUAUUAUUCAAGGUGUCGUUUCAGAUCAAAUUUUCCUGAGGAUCGCAAACUCAGGAAAGUGCGAAGGCUACGUGGGACAUCCUGAAACAAGAGUUCGUUGGUGAUAAGCAAGUAAGAUAUGUGAAACUUCAAGGUCUUAAGCGAGAUUUUGAAUAGACUCGCAUGAAUGAUAGUGAAUCUCUUUAUGUGUAUAUUGCAAAAUUGUUUGAUCUGAUUAAUCAAAUGAAGAGCUAUGGUGAAAAUCUGAGUAAUCAAAGAAUUGUUCAGAAAUUGUUAAUCAGUUUACCUAAGUCCUAUGAUAGUAUUGCAGCUGUGAUAGAGAAUACUAAGGAUUUAGACACCAUAGAUGCACAUGAUGUUGUAGCUAUCUUGAAGGGGUAUGAACAAAGGUUGGAUAGACAUGGAGAGAGUAGUAUGGAGAAAGCAUUUGCUAGUUUGAAAUUUACCCCUAAGUCCAAUAAGUUUAAUGGCCAGCCAAACAGUAGCAAAUAUCACAAGAAUUUUAAGCCAAAAGAGAAACAAUGGAGUACCAAGGGUGAUUGGAGUAAUAAGGUUGGAUUCACUGUGAGAAUGAGGCAAAAAACACUGGGGAUAAGUGUAAAUUCUGUGAUAGACAUUAUGGAGAGUGUUGGGUUAAAAACAAGGUCAAGUGUCACAAGUGCAACAAAAUUGGGCAUAUUGCAAGGUAUUGUAAUGCGAACAAGACUGUGCAAAAGGUGAACUUUGCUAAUCAGGUUGAUGAAACUGGAAAUCUGUUUUAUGCAAAUCAUUCUGGAGAAGUGAAGAAGAUAAGUGAUGAAUGGUACAUAGAUAGUGGAUGUAGUAACCAUAUGACAUCCAGAGAAGACUUACUUGUUGAUAUUGACAGAGGAGUGAAAGCCAAGGUCCAAGUUGGCACUGGAGUCUUGGUUGAAGUUGAAGGGAAGGGAACACUGAUCAUUGAAACAAUAAAGGGUCGAAGAUAUAUAAAGGAAGUUAUGCUUGUACCUGGUCUUGCAGAAAAUUUGCUAAGUGUGGGACAGAUGACUGAGCAUGGUUACUUUCUUUUAUUUGGAGAUUAUAAAGUGGAUGUGUUCGAUGAUAGAUCCUUACAAAACUUGGUGGUCAGUGUGAAGCAGAAAGGAAAUAGAUGUUUUCAUUUAAUUCUCAACACAAAUAAGGAGCUUGCAUUGAGGACAAAUGUGCAGGAGUGUGUUAGGAUAUGGCACAAGAGGUUUGGUCACCUCAAUUUCAGCAGUCUCAAAUUAUUACAAAGUCAAGGGAUGGUUUUGGGACUGCCUGAAAUCCAAGCCAGUGAAAUUGUAUGUCAAAGUUGUGCACUGGGGAAGAAUCACAGGGAACCAUUUCCCAAAGAAUCAUUGUGGAGAGCAAGGGAACCACUUGAAUUAAUACACUCAGAUAUGUGUGGUCCCAUGAAAACAUCAAGUCUAAGUGGAAAUCGAUACUUUAUUACCUUUAUAGAUGAUUAUUCAAGAAUGUGCUGGGUAUAUUUCUUGAGAAACAAAUCAGAGGCCUUCUAUGUGUUUAAGAAAUUUAAAGCCAUGGUUGAGCUUCAAAGUGGAUACCAUGUAAAGAAACUGAGAGCGGAUAGAGGAGGAGAGUUCAACUCAAAUGAUUUUGGAAAGUUUUGUGAAGAUUUGGGGAUAGAAAGACAGCUCACAACUGCAUACUCUCCACAGCAAAAUAGAGUAGCAGAAAGGAAAAACAGGACAAUUGUGGAGAUGGAAAAAUGCAUGAUUCAUGAGAAAGAACUUCCAUAUAAUCUCUGGUGUGAAGCAGUAAACACAUCUGUGUAUCUGCUAAACAGAAGUCCUACAAAGGCAGUGAAGAACACUACACCUUUUGAGAAAUUCAGUGGAAGAAAACCUGGGGUUAAACACUUAAAAGUGUUUGGUUUAGUAUGUUAUUCUCUUAUUCCAGGGAAUCUAAGGCACAAAUUAGAAGAAGAAACAAGUGUCAUGGGUGUUUUCAUUGGAUAUGGUACUUGUGAAAAGGGGUAUAGGGUACUGAAUCCUUUAACUCAAAAGGUCUUGUUAUCCAGAGAUGUAAUUUUUGAUGAAAAUGGUAGAUGGGACUGGGAGAAACACAAAGUCAAGGAAGUUUGUAUUCCUUUAUCUGCAGUUGAAUUUUCAGAUUUUUGAUAAAAAUUUAUGAGAUGUCUGGAUCUUAUGAACAAAGAAGGAUUUUGAUGGGUCUCAAAUUCAAGCUGGAAAUUCUCCAGUCACUGCUAUUGGUGAAUCAAGUAGCUCACUGGUCUCACCUCAGUAUGAUAAUACUCCACUGAGGUAUAGGAACCUGAGUGAGAUCUAUGAGAGAUGCCAUCUAUGUAUUGUUGAACCUGAGUCCUUUGAUGAAGUUGCACAGGAUGAAGCAUGGAAAAAGGCAAUGAUGGAUGAAAUGAAUAUGAUUGAGAAAAAAUUAGACAUGGGAGUUGGUGAGAAGACCUUCAAAUAAGCCUGUGAUUGGAGUAAAAUGGGUGUAUAAAACAAAGUUGAAUUUGGAUGGGACAGUUGAAAAGAACAAAGCUAGACUUGUUGCAAAAGGCUAUGCACAAAAGCCCGGAAUUGAUUUUAACGAGACCUUUUGCACCUGUUGCAAGGUUAGACAUAGUUAGAACUCUAAUUGCACUGGCAGCAAAGAAUAAAUGGAAGUUAUUUCAACUAGAUGUGAAAUCAGCUUUUCUGGAUGGUGUAUUAGAAGAUGGGGUAUAUGUUGAACAGUCAGAUGGGUUUGUUGUGCAAGGAGAGGAAGAAAAGGUUCACAAACUACAUAAAGCUUUGUAUGGUCUAAAACAUGCGGGCCUGGUAUGGUGAAAUAGACUCAUACCUUAUGCUUUGUGGGUUUAAGAAAAGCAUCAGUGAGGCAACUCUGUAUACCAAGUGCAAGGGAAGACACAGAAUUGAUCAUAGUAUCCAUUUAUGUUGAUGAUAUUAUAUAUACUGGAAAUUGUCAAGAGUUAAUGGAUGUUUUCAAAACUGAGAUGAUGCAUAAGUAUGAGAUGACAUAUCUUGGUCUUUUACACCAUUUUCUUCGUAUGGGAGUGAUACAAACUGAGGAGUGUAUUUUCAUUCAUCAAAGAAACUAUGCUUUAUCUCUAUUGAAGAAAUUUGGACUUCAGAAUUGCAAAUUUGUGAGUACUCCUUUGGUUCUAAGUGAUAAACUGAGAAAAGAAGAUGGAAGUGGAGCUGCAGAUGAAGCUCAGUAUAGACAGAUUGUAGGUAGUUUGUUGUAUCUCACAGCAACUAGACCUGAUAUAAUGUAUGCUGCUUGUCUAUUAUCUCGGUUUAUGCAUUGUCCCACUAACAAGCACUAUGGAACAGCAAAGAGAGUAUUGAGAUAUGUUCAAGGAACUCUUGAUUUUGGUUUGGAAUACAAGAAAGGUGAAGGAACACUCUUAAUGGGAUACUGUGACAGUGAUUGGAGUGGCUCGGAGGAUGAUAUGAAAAGCACAUCCGGGUAUGCUUUUACCUUUGGCAACGGGAUUUUCUCUUGGUCUUCAGUCAAGCAACAAUGUGUUGCAUUAUCCACAGCCGAAGCAAAGUAUAUCAAUGCUUCUGAAGCAACAGCACAAGCUACUUGGUUGAGAUUCGUUCUAGAGGAUUUUGGUGAAAUGCAAACAGUUGCAACACCAAUGAAUUGUGACAAUAAAUCAGCCAUAGCCAUCACUAAGAAUCCUAUCUUUCAUCAGAAGACCAAGCAUAUAAACAGAAGAUACCACUUCAUAAAGGAAGCAUUGCAGCAAGGAGUAAUUGAUUUGAUUUACUGUCCUACUAAGGAGCAAUAGCAGAUUUUUACAAAAGCAUUGACAAGGGAGCAGUUCACUUACUUGAGAGAUCUUCUUGGAGUGAAAUCAGUUCACAACUUAAAGGGGAGUGUACUGUCCCUGAUGCAAUCGGAAAGCUUCAGAAGUUGCAGGGGAUGUAUUUAUAUCUUAACCAAUUUUCCGGGACAAUCCCAUCGACGCUAGGCAACUUGACUUCGGUCACAAGGCUCUUCAUGGAGGGGAAUAGGUUUGAGGGAAGCAUACCUCCAAGUCUUGGGAGCUGCCAAAACUUGUUGAUGCUUAACCUUUCUAGUAAUCAGCUAAGUGGCACCAUACCUAAAGAGGUUAUCGAGCUUUCAUCCCUUUCAAUUUCUUUGUCCAUAUCGAACAGUUCUUUGACUCGUUCUCUACCAUCUGAAGUGGGCGAGUUGGUACAUCUCUCGGAGCUAGAUGUAUCAGGAAACAAGUUAUCAGGUGAAAUCCCCAAAAACCCUUGGCAGCUGUGCUAGUUUGGUGCGUCCAUAUUUGGAAGGUAACGAAUUUGAAAGAACAAUUCCUCAAUCUCUGGCCAAGUUAAGAGGCUUGGAAGAACUUGAUAUUUCAUGCAAUAAUUUAUCUGGCCAGAUUCCUGACUUUUUGGGUAAGCUUGGAUCUCUACAGCAACUCAAUGUUUCACAUAAUCAAUUUUAGGAUGAAUUGCCCUCGGAAGGGAUAUUUUCAAAUGCGAGUGGUUUCUCGAUUCUUAGAAAUAAUAAGCUCUGUGGUGGCAUCCGAGAAUUACUUCUACCUGUAUGCACCAGCAAAAAAUCUAAAUCAUCUCGAGGACUACUUUCCCCAAAAGUAAUAAUCCCUCUAACUUGCGCACUUGCAUUAAUAAUUACUCUCAUGUUUCAUUGCUGCUUGUGCAAAGGUGAAAAGUCAAGAAGUUGACCUUUAACUUCACGCACCGAUGAGGACUCGAAAUCAUGUGUCUCUUAUUUACAACUCUUUGAAUCAACCAACGGGUUUUCAAAGGAAAAUCUCAUUGGUUCGGGAAGUUUUGGUUCCAUAUACAGAGGAGUACUUUCUAGUGAUGGCGGUAGUAGCUGUUAAGGUGUUAAACCUUCAACAAGAAGGAGCUUCCAGGAGUUUCAUUGAUGAAUGCAAAACUUUAAGAAGUAUAAGGCACUGCAAUCUUCUCAAGAUCAUUACUGCAUGCUGUAUUUUUCAGUUAAAAACUAAGUUGCAAAACAUUACGAAGGGAACAUAUUCAGUUUCAACAUAUUUGCAACGAAUUAAAGAUGUGAGGGAUCAUCUUUCUGCAGCUGGUGUAACAUUUGGAGAUGAUGAUAUUGUGAAAUUGGCACUGAAAGGUUUGCCUUCUGAAUAUAAUACCUUCAGGACAGUUAUAAGAGGCAAGGAAAAUGUGAUCACUCUUAAGGAGUUUCGAUCCCAAUUGUUAGCUGAGGAAGCAACUACUAAGCAACAUUCAGUUUCUGAGUCUUUUGUUACUGCAAUGGUUGCACAAGAAACAUCAGGCAAAGGCAAAGCUCUUAUGUUAGGAGAAGAGCCUUCCAGUGGUUCCUCACAGUCACAGGCUUAUAGUGGUGGUUCAACUAAUGGUGGCUACAAUAAUCAUUCCUCUAACUACAAUGGAGACUAUAUUUCGAAUGGUUUUCAAGGAAGAGGUAAGGGCAGGAUCAAUUUUCACUCCAAUUCAAGGUAUAAUGCAAGAUCUUCUAAUCCAAGUACUAGAAUUCUUGGAACUACCAAACCUCAUGUUUCCACUUGUCCCGAGUAUGGUUAUGAAGUUCCUACAUGUCAAAUAUACAACAAAAAGGGUCACAUUGAUGUAGAUUGUUUUUAGAGACAUUCCUCUACAACUUCAACACCAUCCAAAGUUCAAUGCCAAAUUUGCUGGAAGUUUGGGCACACUGCAGUUCAAUGUUAUCACAGGGGAAACUUCACUUAUCAAGGCAGAUCACCAUCUUCCAAUCUCUCUGCAAUGCACAUUGCAUUUUCUCUUUCUGCACCACAAGAACAAUUCUGGGUUGUUGAUACUAGGGCUACUUCUCAUAUAACCUCGGAUCUCUCCAAUCUUAAUCUAGCAACACCAUUUUCUCGCAAUGAUACAGUAACAACUACAAGUGGCUCAGGUUUGCCAAUCUCUAAUACAGGCUAUACUACUCUUCAUAAUCCUAAGUAUGCUUUCGAGUUAAAGAAAAUAUUAUCACAACAUUUUUUAUUUAUAUAUCGACUAUGUAAAGAUAACAAAUGUCGAUUCAUUUGUGAUGAGUUUUGUUUCUGGAUCCAGGACAAGAUCACAAGGAAAAUCCUCCUUCAGGGACUGUGUAGAGAAGGUCUCUAUCCUAUACCCUUUCACAUUCCAUAGCAUCUCAUCACUCAAGCACAAAAAUACAAUGCAUCCUUUCAGCAACAAACAUGUUAUCUUGGCAGUCAAGUCAAAAUAAAUUUGGGGCACCAAAGACAAGGACAUCCUUCCAACAUUGUUACUUCUGCAAUGUUAAAACAAUCCAACAUUCAUACAUCUUUAGAUCAUGUGUCUUCAAUUUGUAAAUCUUUUUUGGAAGGCAAGUUUGCCAAGCUUCCAUUUGUGUUACAACCUCUAGAGAUCAUAUAUAGUGAUGUUUGAGGUCCUUCAUCCAUUGUUUCCAUUGAAGGUUAUAGAUUCUAUGUAAGUUUUGUGGAUGAAUGUACCAAGUUUACUUGGAUUUUCCCCUUAGUAAAUAAAACUGAAGUUUUUGGUGUAUUUGUCAACCUUCACAGUUUUUUGGUUACUCAAUUUUCUACAAAUGUGAAAGUAUCUCAAAGUGAUGGUGGGGGUGAAUACUCCAAUCACAAAUUCAAACAAUACCUACUAAAAAAAAUGUAUAAUUCAUCAGAAGUCAAGUCCAUAUGCCCCUAAACAAAACGGUCUAGCUGAAAGGAAGCAUAGACACAUACUUGAAACAGCCAUUACUCUACUUCAAACAGCAAAGUUACCACCUAAAUUUUGGUUUCAUGCUUGUGUCAUUUUUGUUUAUCUCAUAAAUAGAAUGGUAUGUCAAACUCUUCAUAUGUCAUCUCCCUUUCAAUGCUUGUUUGGAACCCCACCCUCUAUAUCUCAUCUUAAAGUCUUUGGCUAUGCUUGUUUCCCACUUUUUAAAAAUAGUUGAACUCUAGUAAGUUGCAACCUAAAACCUCACAAUGCAUAUUCAUAGGCUAUGCAUGCCAGUAUAAAGGUUAUCUUUGUCUCUUAUAAACAAAAUAUAUGUCUCAAGACAUGUUUUGUUUGAUGAGACAAACUUUCCUUAUUCAUCCAUCAUUACCUCCAACCAUGCAUCACCACUCACUACAUACACAUCAUCAUAAUUACAACCAACAAUUCCUUCUUCACUAGUCAAUUCACAUAACAAUAUCAUUUCAACUGCUACUACCACUAAUGCCUUAGAGUGUUCCAUGUCCAUACUUGUUAAUACUUUGGGAUCUAUGGAAUCUCUCCCUCAUCAUUCAUCAUUUGCUUCAUCAAUUGCAGAUACUACACAGUCCCCAAUCCCUGUUGAUCUUAAUUUUCAACUUGAAAAUCUGUCAGUUGUCCUUCUCAUACCCUCGGUGAGUUUGCACCCUAUGCAAACUCGAUCUAAAAGUAGCAUAUCCAAGAAGAAGGUGUUCUCAGCUACAGUUAAGUCAUCUACACAAGUUUGAAAACCUGCAACUUUUAAGUCUACUAGUAAAAUACCAGAAUGGAUUGCUGCUAUGGAAGAUAAGAUCACUGCCUUGAAAUCUCAAAAUACUUGGUCUAUAGUUCCAUUGCAUCUAACAAAAACUUAGUACGCUGUAAGUGGGUCUAUCGUAUCAAAACCAAUCAUGAUGGUUCAAUGGCAAGAUAUAAAGCAAGCUAAUUGCAAAAGACUAUAACCAAGAGGAGCGAGUUGAUUACAAUGAGACUUUUAGUCCUGUAGUGAAACCUACCACAGUUAGGUUAAUUUUGGCAUUAGCAUCUUAGUUUAAAUGGUCCUUAAGGCAAAUGGAUGUGAAGAAUGCAUUUCUUCAUGGUGAUCUGCAUGAAGUGGUGUAUAUGUAAGAUCCCAAGAACUUAUUAUUGAAGAAGAGAAAUAUUUGAAAAAAAAAAUAUAUUGUGCUUAUUUAUUGAGAAGAUGGUGAACGUCAUUACGAGUUUGUAACAUCUUUCGGAUUACUUUUAGGAACUUGAAUGAAUUUUUAAGAUAAUUUCAUGUUGUACCAAUGUGUCGAUGACGCAAGACAGCUUACAAGUGAUGGAAUUAGCCACGUGGAGAUCAAUUAGACGGCCACCUUCCGCAAGAGAACCUAGUAGCUUAUUCAUGGUUAUAUAUUGAUAAGCUCCACCAUGCUGCUAAUUUAUAAGAAUUAUCAAGAAGCCUUGUUGUCAACUUUGGAUUGGCAUACAAGGAUGACUAUUGGAAGUUACAGGUUGGACGUGGCAUUAAGUAGUUCUAUGAGCAUCUACAGUGAUUUUAAACCAAGUAUUUGAGCUGCUUGUAAGUAGCCUUGCAGCUGAAGGUGGCAAGAGCGGUGUCAAUGCUUUUAUCAUGCAAUUGACACCACUUGCAUGUAGACUUUCUUUGCCUCUAUGUCAACCAAUGACAAGCUAAUUGGAGCAACCAUUUCCCUAUAAAAUAGGGACUUCAUUCUUUUUGGUUUUGGUUACCAACUAGUGCACGGGUUGGACGCUGUAGUGAGAUAUAUGGCUACAUGCAAGCAUGCAUGUUAAGCCUUUGUAGAGAAGAAUUUUUUUUGUUAAUCUUUCGAAAUUCGUAACUUUCAAUCCAAAAUUUCGAUUGAGGAAUAGUUUUCGUCUACAUGUUCAGUGAAUCGAGCUCAACAUUCUAAGGUAAAUUUUGAGGAAUUAUUAUUUAGGUUUGAAUAAUUCGUUCAAAUUGGGUUUAUGACUAAUUAGGCUUAAAUCUUCGAUUCAAGCUUGUUCUUGCAUAAUUUGAGGGCUUUGAAGCCUAUUUGAUGACUGGACAACGAUUUCUCAGACAUUAAGGUAAAGAUUUACAUAUGAUCAGAUUUUUGGGAUUUUGUACAAGUUUCAUAUGGAUGAGAUUUAGAAAAAAAAUUGAUGUUUGACUCGAAAUUCAUCAAAUUUAGUCCUUAAAGGACGUUUGUAUGGAAGAAGUGAGUUGUACUAUUGAUGGAUUGUGUUUUGGCUUGAAAGAUAUGUUGAAUUUCUGGGAAAAUAGACCUCAAAGCCACUGGUUUCAUACCAGGGACUGAACUACAAAAAUAGUUUUAGUUUUGGGGUAAUUGUGUAAAUUACUAAAAGUUUGGGGUCCAAAGUGCAAUUAUCAAAAAUUUUGGGAUCUAUUUGAAAUAAUAAAAAGUUCAAAUACAUAAUUUUUAUUCUGGUUAAGUGAAGGUCCCUAUUGGAUAUAGUUGUUGUUAUGGGAAUAAAGUUUAGUCAUUAUAUAUGGACAUAUAGUGGCAUAUUGUAAUUGUUGAACUAGGGACUCCAAUUACUCGUAGUGCUUGCGUUUAAUCGAGGUAUUGGUGAGGAAUAUUGCUUGCUUGGCUUGGAGACCAGGUAGGAGAAUCCUCACUUACCCUAGUUAUGGAAUUUUGUGCAUGUAUGUAUAUGUAAAUAUACGAAUGCCUAUGAAAGCUACAUAGAUUUUGUUGUGAUAGAACCAUAAGGAAAAAUGGUUUUGUUUUAUAUCAUGAUAUACAUGUUUUGUUUUAUGCUACAAAUUAAAGUGAUGACUUGAGAGUGAAGGGGGCAUAGCGACCGCCUUGGGUUUCGAUCCCCUAAACCUCCGGAGGGGAUACUACAAAGGGAUUAGUAUCGCUACCUUUCUAGGAGAGGUACUAGGACAUCUAAGGGUAGAGCAUUAAGGGACACUCUCGCUACAACUUACCAUAAGUAUAUUCGUUCGGAGUUGGUCCAGGUAAGCGAGUAGUUGGUCAUUAGACUGGUCAUCAGGCAUGUAGCAAUUUAUUGGGAUCCCUAUUGUUUUUUUAAAGGAAAUUGUGUGAGCAUAUAACCUAUUUUCAAAACUAAACAAAGCUUUUGUUGUGCAUCAAUCAUUUUCCUAUAGUAUAUAUAGUGUCGUAUACUAUUUUCAAACCUAGCUGGGGUGGAUUCCCUGAGGGGGAACGAUGAACGUUUGUGAUGCUUACCAUUACUUUAUUACAGGUCUGGUGCACCUAUAAGUAGACGAACUGGACAAAAGUCGGGACUAGCGUUGUUUGUUACUUGUCAACUUCUCAGUUGUUCAUAGCCUCAUCGUCUUGAAGGGAUUUUUGUAGCCAAACUCAACGUUUUGCAUUUUCAAAUCGUACUAAAGAGUUGGUUUAGUAUGAUAAUUACCUUAAACUCUUUGGUUUUGUUGUAGAUUGUGAAAUUCUUUUCCUAUGUAAAAAUUUUAUCCAAAUUCAGUUGCCCUUUUAUUCUUCGUUUUACCAAUAUAAUUUCCGCUUCCGUACUGCUCAAAAAUAAAUUAUUUUAUUCCCCUCAAAUAGCCUUACGUUCUAUUAGGAAUGUAGUGCUAUAGUGUUAGAUUUUAACACUAUAGUAUUAAGUUACUAAUAGAGCAUGGCAUUAUUACGUGCCUCUUUUUGGGGCGUGACAGUAUAUGUCUCAACCACAAGGCUUUGAAAGUUCAAUUCAUCCCUCUCAUUAUGUUUGCAAACUUAGGGAGUCACUUUAUGGUUUGAAACAAGCUCCCCGAGCCUGAAAUGAAAAAUUUACAAGCUUUUUACCAUGGUUGGGAUUUAAGGCUUCUCUUGCAGACCCAUCAUUGUUUGUGCAACACACUCAUCUUGGUACUAUUGUUCUCAUUUUAUAUGUGGAUGAUAUCAUCCUAACUGGCAGUUUAUCUCAGUUGAUUGAUAAAGUUGUUUAAGCAUUAACUAAGGAGUUUGACAUGAAGGACUUGGGUCAAUUACACUAUUUCUUGGGGAUACAGAUAACAUAUCAGUCUCAUGGUCUCUUUGUUUCCCAAACUAAGUACAAAAAGGACUUGUUCAAAAAGGUUGGUUUGCAAGAUUCAAAACCUAGUGCCACACCAUGUUUGCCUUAUCACAGGUUAUCUAAAACUGAGGGCACUCCUUAUCACAGUCCACAACAGUAUCGAAGCAUUAUGGGAGCCUUGCAAUACUUAACCUUUACAAGGCCUGAUAUUGCCUUCUCUGUUAAUCAAUAUUGUCAGUUCAUGCAUAACUAUAACAACCCGUCUCGGAUAUUUAGGAACAUAUGGGUAUUGUGGUAAAUUCAAUUGGGUUAUGGGAUAUUUGUUUAAAAUAUUAUUUUUGGGUCUUCUUUGGUAUGCCCAAGUGGGGCCCACCAUUAGUUUUUGUCCCCCAGCCCAACUCCUCAUUUGUUCCCCUUCCCGUGCACACCUUCACUCUCUCUCCCUCAGCUCUCUUUUCCCCCGAGCACCUACACACAUACACUAACUCUCUCUGGGACCUCCCUCACCUUUCUUGUCCAUCUCCCUCCUCUGUGUGUGACAACUCCAGAAUUUGGACACCCCAAGAAUUGGUACAAAUGCAUGAAGUAGCUCCAGCGGGUCUCCAUUACCCUCUACAUAGGUAGGUCUCGAAAAACACUCCAAAGAUUUCCUUUUUGGUUCCCAUAUUUCACUUCUAAUCAUAUAUGUGUAUUGUGGGCGUUGAAACAUCGAGAAAUCGCCUCGGACGAGCUAAACUUAGUUUUCGGCAUGUACCCGUGGCUUCUAUGGCGUUUUUAGGCCAACUCCAGCCACCACACGCCUUGAAAUUAGUACGAAUCUCUUCCUUGUUCCUUGGGCUUCAUUUUGGUAUAUUGUAUGACCUGUUUUGGUCAUGUUUUGGGGUUGAACGGAGCUUGGAAAGCUUCGACUUUCCUCUUCCUUAAAACAAGCACACCCCGGCCAGAAACUGGGUCAAACCCAACCCAAGAGCACUAGGUCGGCCCAAAGAAUUGGGCCAUGGAAGCUAACCCAAGUAACCCAACCUAGUCCUAAGCUAACCAAACCCAAUUCAAAGUUGGCCCAAACCCAUGGGCCUUGUAACCCGACCUAAACCCAGGCCCAAUCUCUAAACCUAUUAACCCAUUAAACCCCAAACCCCUUUGGACCCAGACCUUGGGCCUUCGGCCCAGUAGCCCCAAACCGUGACUUGGCCCGUUGAUCGGCCUUUGACCCGACCUAUUUGACCGUUGAUCGUUGACCUGUCAACAUUGACUCUUUGUUGACUUUUUUUCGGGUUUCGGUCGGGACCCCUCCUAGACUAAUUUCGACGUCCUAAAUCCGCUUAUGAAGUCCAUUUUCCAAAAUUCAAUCGUUAUGAUAGAGUUUUAUUAAUUAGACCCUUUAUGUGCUUAGGUGCGAUUAUUAGCGACGAUUACGUCAUAGCUCUUCAACGAUGAAGUAUCUGUGAGUGGACCCUUUCUAAAAUGCAUGUUUUAAUAGUAGAAAUGCAUACAUGAAAAGCAUGAUUUAAUGGUUACAUUUUAUGAAACGUUUUAUGAGUAAAUUAGAUUUACGCUUUAUGAUUAUCAUGCUUUAUGAAGAAUAUUUUGAAAUACCAUACUUUAUCGAAUUUAUGUUCUUUGUAGUAUAUAUGAUGGAUGACUAUAUACUAUUUAUGAACAUGUUUUUAAACUCUUUGUAGUAUUUAUGAUGAAUGACUAUAUACUAUUUAUGAACAUGUUUUUACACUCUUUGUAGUAUAUAUGAUGGAUGACUAUAUACUAUGAAGAUGUUUUAAGAUAUAUGUACUUAUGUUGGAAAGAUUAUAUUCAAUGUUUUUGUGCGUAUCUGGUGGUCACUGUCUUGCCUACGGGCGUAUGUUCUGCUUACGAGCGAUUGUCCUCCUAUGGGUGUAUGUUCUACCUACUGGCAUAUGUUCUACCUACGGGUGCGUAACGGUCCUGUCUACGAGCGUAUGUUCUGCCUACAGGGCGUAUGUCCUGCCUACAGGCGCGCGAUGGAGAGCCUUCGGGCGAUUUGAUACCACUAGUUAGCACACUAUAUAUGAUAUAUGUUUUAGGAAAUGUUUUAUGGCAUGCUAAGGUUUUCGGAAAAACCUAUUACCUAUUAUGUUAUACGAAUUUUCUAAACCUGGGGGUUAGUACGUUGUUGAUUAACUAUUUUAUUACUACUUAUAUAUCAACUUGGUCCACUCAUAUUUUGUUUUGCUCCCCCUCAGGACUUAGAAUCGAGGCGUACAAUCCCGGCGUCAAGGCACUCCCGCAUCGGCGUCUUUGAGUCCUUUCAGUGUAGGACCCAUCCUUUUGUUCAUUCAAUUUUAUAUUAUUCCUUUUUAGUGUCUAUGAUUAGUUAUAUGCUCUGAACACAUUCCAUAAUUGCAUAAUCAUUGUAUUUGAAUUUAUAAGUAUUGUUUAUAUUUAUUUGUUCUCAUGCAUCCUAAUAUGUCUUUGUCACCUUCGGGUGUCAACCAGCAAGUGCCUACCCUGAUGUUUGGAGAACAUCAGGGUCAGGUGUGUCAAUAACCCUAUGGCCUCCCAUGUUGUAGCUAUCAAAUGCAUCCUACGAUAUCUUAGUGGUAUUUUGGAUUAUGGUCUUCAAUUUCGAACAAGCAAGUUACAAUGACAAGCUUAUAGUGAUGCUGAUUGGGCAGGUGACCAAAAUGAUAGAAGAUCCACUUUUGGUCACAUUGUAUAUCUUGGUUCAAGUCCUAUAUCUUGGGCAUCUAAGAAGCAACAUAAUGUUUCUAGAUCAUCUACAGAAGCAAAAUAUAGGGCAUUGGCAAUUACAGCUGAUGAGUUAGCAUGGAUAAGGCAGUUAUGAUGUGAUAUGUGUGUACCAAUUUACACUGCACCAAUGAUCUAUUGUGACAACAUCUCAGCAAUUGCAUUAUGCUAUAAUCCUAUUUUUCAUUCUCGAGUGAAACAUAUCAAAAUAAAUUAUCAUUUUGUGCUGGAACAAGUCAUUCGAGGUGAUCUCCAUGUUGAUCAUGUGUCAUCAAAAGAACAAUUCAUAGAUAUAUUAACAAAGGGACUGUCUGCACCCUUAUUUCAGCUUCAUUGUUCCAAUCUUAUGCUUGGUUUCUCCAAGCAUAUGAUCGAGGGGGGUGUAAAGAUAUAGAAUCGUCGGAUCAUGACAAGUGUUAAUAGAUGAAUGAAUAAGCUUGUUAUGGUAGUUAAAUUAGAUAGUAGAAGAUUACUUAGUGUGUAAGGAAAGUCAGGCAUAUAUAUAAUUAUGUACUAUAAGAUUCAUUCAUUGAAUACAAAAAGGAUAAUUUAGUUGUGAUUCUCCCUCUCUCUCUCUCUCUCUCUCUCUCUCUCUCUCUCUCUCUGAGACUACACAGAAAACUCCAUCAAUGUUCUUCAUAAGUUAAAGAUUAACACAAACCACCUUAACCGAUUUUCUAUCAUCUAUCUAUCUAUCUAUAUAUAUAAAGGGAGAAGGCCAAAUAGGUGAAGCAUUUCAAAAUGCCAACACAGCCCCUUUGUUUUCUUCACAACCAAACCCAAAACAUUUCAAAAAAUGAGGAUAAACUAGUAAAAAAAACAUAAGAGUAUAAAAUUGUCUUAAAAAAAAAAAGCACAAGCAAAUUAAAAAAACGCCCAUCUUAACUAUAACAAUUGACAACUGCCAGAUGAAAAUACUUGCACUUCAAAUUCAUUUUGACCCUUGGAUUAAUCCUCCCACAAAUACUGCAUUGUGUCCUAUCUUUCCGAGAGAGAGGAAAAAGAGUAGACCUCUCGAACACCACAUCUAACCGCAAUGAUGAGAUGAAACUAUGGUCUAAAAUAUCCAUAAUAUCCCGAUAUUUUCAUCGAAAUUUUCGUGUUUUUGGACUAUCGAUAUUUUUUUGAACUACCGAUAUUUUCGACCUUGCUAAGUCACUCAUGUAUCUUACCAUGCAAUGUAUAAAGUAUAAAAUAUUAUACUAAUUCAUUAUAUAUAAAUGAUUAUGAUGUGUUUAAACUUUUUUCAUUAAUUACUACAUAUUUUCUACACUCACAAUGUUUGUCAGCUCGCUAUAUAAUCAACUUAAAUCAGUUAUAUCUAUCAUGCAAUGCAUUUCCUUCUAAUUUUUUGUGAUAAACUAAUAGAUAAUUGACUAAAUAAACAUCUUGCAAAGUUUCAAUAAAAAUUUUCAAGUUUUUCUUAUAAUUUCCGUGGUUUUUAUUCAAUUUUUAUCGAUAUCGAUAAUAUCUCAAUAUUUUCAUCGAAAUUUCCAUAUAUUUCCGAUAUCAUCGAUAUUUUAUAGCUCGGAUGAAACCGCCAUCUACUACAUGUUCUACAGAAACAACAGGUCAAACAUCGGAAAAAAUGAACCCACUUUCGUCUUCCGCACAGACCCCUCUUCUUCGUGUUUUUUCGAAGUUCCUUUGAAAUCCACACUCGAUUUAGACAAGAUUUCAGGUGAUUUUUCGUAAAUUCCUUCACUUUUUGUCUUUACAAUCAAUUUCGAUUGGAUUAUUAUUGUUGGGUUUUCAAUUAGAAAAAAACCUCAAAAUGAAGUAUGAGAUUUCAAAUUCCGAGGCUUUUGCGAUUCUUCGUCCUAAUAAACGACUUGGGUUUUGCAUAGUGUGAUUCUUCUGUUAUUAGAGAUUCCAAAUUUUUUGAAAACAGGGUUUUUUAAAUCCUCUCAAAGUAGUAGGAUAUGGAAAUGAACUCUACUGGAGAAGUAAUUCAUUGUGUUCAAAUUUCACUGGGUAAGUUUACUUUCAUAUUAAUUUUGGCAAUUUAUUUGUAGUCGUGCAGAAAUCAAGGAGAAGACAACGAGAGGGAGGGAGAAACUGACAGAUAGAUAUAUUAACAAAGACUCUUCCUCUACAUCAACUGAUUCUUAUCACAGGUAACUUUCAAUCUCGGAUUCUCCGUGAUCUCUGCAUUCUUUUCCAACAGUUGUCCACCAUUAACCAAAUUCAUUUUUCCUUCUAUUUUCAUGUAUGAUUGUUGGUUAUUUUCUUUUGAGUGAAAAACUUGGAUUUGUUUCUUCUCCAUGUAAGUGUCUUUAUGUUUCCCUCUGCAUUCGUUACAUUCCAAUGAAGCCCGUUGGUGAGGUUCUUAUGCUUACAAGGAAACUCUUGGCUCUGGGGAGUUUUUGUUUAUAUUAAUCCAUUUUCCAAUUAUUUGUCGUGCUUUUUCCAUUAGGUUUCAAAUCAUUUGUAUCGGUGCAGGCGGUGGAGAUAAAUGUGAUGUGUGUUGUCUGGGCGAGACUCGCCCAAUAUUGUAGUUUUAGUAGUAUGAAAAUUUUCUUCUACAUUUGAUUUUGCUUUCAAUUCUUCUUUUUAUUUUCAUGAAAUUUCUAAUCUUCCUUUAGUCAUGAGUACCUAAUCGAUUUCCCUUUCUAUUUUUUAUCCGCCAUUUUCUCUAAUUUUUGUCAAGAUGUGGUCUGCAUUUUCUCUUUUCCAGUGUAUUUGAAAUUCACUAAUUCAACCUCAAAUGUUUGUCGUAUUCAUCUCACAGAUAUAAGCAAUGUGUAGAGCCUCGACUGAAGAGUUUGAUAACGACUGCUGUAUAGGAUAAAUAUGCAAGUCGGUCAUGGAAUUUCUUCUACUUUUGAUUCAUUUUGGUUUUUUUUCCUAACCACUAUUCAUAAGUGGAAUUUCUUCUCUUCAUUUUUCCAGUUUUGUUGAAUUUAUUUUCUGUUCACAUCUUUCCUUUCGUUCACAAGUUGAUGCGUGAAACAAUUAAUUGCCAGAGUGCAUCAUUUGGUUUCUAUUUCUGUUGGGUUCUUAAUAUGGAUGAGUUGGUUGUGCUUAUAACAUAUUAGCCAAAAUGUUUAAUGUAAUAUGAAGUUAUUGUGGUUUUGGCAUUCUUUAAUUCCCUCCAAAUGGAGUUGAUUUCAAUUAUACUGCACAUUUGAGGUUUUUUCUUAUUACAACAAUGUCUGCUUAAUUUCAACGUGGUUUCUUAAAUUUUUUGGCAAUUGGCAUUUGUACGUUACUUUAGGGUUGAUCAAGUGCACAGCGAUUGCUUAAUUUCAAUUUGAUUUUUUUUUUAGUGUGAUUUCUUUUGGCUUCUGUUUUCUCUUGGUUGUUUUUACUGCACAUUUGGGUUUUUCAAUUGCAUGAUCAUCCACUUUUAGCUUCUGUUUUUUUUUUUCUUUCGGUUAAUUGAGUUUUAUUCCUCCUCCAUAGUUCUCAAUUAUUAAACUUUUGUAUUUUGUUCUCUAUCACAUUGCUCCUUAUUCCUUAAUGUCAAUCUUCUCAUGCAUUUUCACAUAAUUAUUAAAUUGAAGUUCUACAAAUCAGUUUCUGGAAUUUACUAAUCGUGGAACAAACAAGUAACGAGGUCUGAAAUUUGUUUUCUUUGUAAUUGAUACUGGCAUUCUGUUUUUGGCUUGAGGAGGCUUUGGCAAUGGUUAAGUUUUUGUUUUUGGUUUCGGUUUUGUUUGAGGAGGCUUUGACAAAUUUGCAGAAGGAAAACCCAAAGGAGCAUUGCUUGUUUUGCACCUUAAUCCAUCCACCUUCUUUACAGGUAUGCCACGUUUCUUCAAUUUCUGAAUUUUAUCUCUACAAUUCGAAUUAAAAUAUUGGACAAUAUUUGAAGAUGAACAGUUGGCUAAUUAUCUUCCUAUUUGGAAAAAAAAAAAAAAAGAUAAUUAUCCUCCUAAACUGAGCGGUUAUAAUUUAAACAUGUUGACAAAAAAAGUGGCGUUUGAUGGUCAUAUGAGAAAUGUUUCAUUUGAUGCCAACAUUGUAGUUCCUCCAACCUUAACAUAUUUCCAAAUGCUAUUCAUCCAAUAGUUCUGGAAGCCAUUUUUACAUCCCCUUAACCCAUUGUUUGUUUUGUUUGGUUAUUACUUUGGUCAUGGUAUCAAUUAAUGAACGAAUCUCCUUGCAAGUUGUGCAAUACAAGCAUACUUUUGGAAAAAAAUAUAGUUGAGCCAAAAAAUAACAAAAGGAAAAACAAAUAGAGGACAUCAUUUAGUCGACAUAUAGAAAAAGAUUGCCCAUUCAUAUACUCUUAAGGGUCUUCUUCCUUUUAUUAUUUCCAUUUGGUAGAUACCAUAUCAUGCUUUAGAAUUUGAAAAAACAGAGUAAAGAUUAUGUACAUUUGAGAACUCUUUUUUAUUUAUUGUAACACAAAUAGAUUUUCUUCUAAUGAGGAAAGGGGAUCGUAUAACUUGUAAGGAUUGCAAAGUUAUACCAGGAGAGAGCGUGGCUAAUCAACAUCGCUUGUUGGUGAUGGAUGUACAUAUCAAAAGAGGGAAACAAAAGAACAAGACUUGGAAGUGCCCAAGGACUAGAUGGUGGAAUCUAAAAGAAGAAAAACAAGCCAUUUUCAAAGAGAAGGUAAUCACCCAAUGUGUGUGGGAUAGAGAGGGGGAAGCUAGCCAAAUGUGGGAUUCCAUGGCUAGUUGUAUCCGAAAAGUAGCAAAAGAGGUAUUAGGAGAGUCCAAGGGCUUUGCCCCACACCAAAAGGAAUCUUGGUGGUGGAAUGAGGAGGUACAAACAAAGGUGAAGGCUAAGAAGGAAUGUUGUAAAGCCUUAUACAAGGAGAGGACCGAUGAAAAUGGUGAAAGGUAUAGAAAAGCGAAGCAAGAGGCGAAGAAAGCGGUCAGAGAAGCUAAGUUAGCGGCUUACGACGAUAUGUAUAAACGACUAGAUACCAAAGAAGGAGAGUUGGAUAUCUAUAAACUAGCUAGAGCAAGGGAAAAGAAGACAAGGGACCUAAACCAAGUGAGGUGCAUCAAGGAUGAGGAUGGAAAGGUUCUUGCUACAGAGAACGCAGUUAAAGACAGAUGGAGAGGUUAUUUUCAUAAUCUUUUCAAUGAAGGACAUGAAAGGAGUGCUUCUUUAGGGGAGUUGAGUAACUCAGAAGAGUGUAGAAACUACUCUUUUUAUCGUCGAAUCCGGAAGGAAGAAGUGGUUGUAGCUUUGAAGAAGAUGAAGCAUAGAAAAGCAAUAGGCCCAGACGAUAUACCAAUCGAAGUGUGGAAAGUUUUGGGAGAGACAGGUAUAACAUGGCUCACUGACCUUUUCAAUAGGAUUUUGAAAACGAAGAAGAUGCCAAAUGAGUGGCGAACGAGCACUUUGGUGCCUAUCUACAAGAAUAAGGGCGACGUACAAAAUUGCAUGAACUAUAGGGGUAUUAAGUUAAUGAGUCAUACAAUGAAGCUCUGGGAGAGAGUCAUUGAGCAUAGAUUGAGGCAAGAGACACGGGUUUCGGACAACCAAUUCGGGUUCAUGCCAGGGCGCUCAACCAUGGAGGCAAUCUAUCUCUUACGAAGAUUGAUGGAAAGAUAUAGAGAUGGGAAAAAGGAUUUACACAUGGUCUUUAUAGAUUUGGAAAAAGCGUAUGAUAGGGUCCCAAAGAGACAUUCUUUGGAGGAUCUUAGAGAAGAAAGGAGUACGAGUAGCAUAUAUCCAGGCUAUAAAGGAUAUGUAUGAAGGAGCAAAGACUGCCGUAAGAACUCAUGAAGGACAAACCGAAAGCUUUCCCAUAACUGUAGGAUUACAUCAAGGCUCAUCCUUAAGUCCUUACCUUUUUGCGUUGGUAAUGGAUGAGUUAACAGGACAUAUUCAAGAUGAUAUUCCUUGGUGUAUGCUUUUUGCAGACGAUAUAGUGUUGAUAGAUGAAACUCAGGAAGGGGUAAAUGCAAAGCUUAACCUUUGGAGAGAAGUGUUGGAAUCUAAAGGUCUUCGCCUAAGCCGAUCAAAGACAGAAUAUAUGGAGUGCAAGUUCAGUGCAGAUGGAGGCCAAAACGAGUUAGGGGUGAGGAUCGGAGAUCAAGAAAUACCAAAGAGCGACCGUUUUCGUUACCUAGGAUCUAUCUUGCAAAAGAACGGAGAAUUAGAUGGAGAUCUCAACCAUAGAAUACAAGCUGGAUGGAUGAAGUGGAAGAGUGCAUCUGGCGUGUUGUGUGACCGCCGUAUGCCACUGAAGCUCAAGGGAAAAUUUUAUAGGACGGCAAUAAGGCCGGCGAUGCUGUAUGGCACAGAAUGUUGGGCGGUGAAGCAUCAACACGUACACAAAAUGGGUGUAGCGGAGAUGAGGAUGCUUCGUUGGAUGUAUGGGCACACGAGAAAUGAUAAGAUUAGGAAUGAGGAUAUCCGGGGUAAAGUAGGAGUAGCCGAAAUUGAAGGAAAGAUGAGAGAAAAUCGGUUACGGUGGUUUGGACAUGUGCAAAGAAUGCCUACUGACGCUCCGAUUAGAAGAUGCGACUAUGGGACAGGUUCAGGGCCGAAAGGGUAGAGGAAAACCUAGGAAAACUUUGGAAGAGACUCUAAGAAAAGACUUAGAGUACUUGGAUCUAACGAAGGACAUGACACAGGACCGAGCACAAUGGCGUUCUAAGAUUCAUAUAGCCGAUCCCACUCAGUGACUUGGAUUUUCCAAGUCUCCAACCGAGAAGUUUUCCUCACUCGAAAAAUUAAGGGAACACUACCCCAACCUACAUGCUCCACUCAGAAAGCUUCAACAUACAAGCUUCAACAAAAGAAAAUUCAAAGAACUUAGCGAAGAAGGCUUUGGUGUAUCUAACACAAUACGUUGAAAUGAAGGAAAACUUAUUUAUUGAUAUCCCCGAUAAGCUACAAAUAUGUACAUAUACAUGAGUCAAAAUAAACAAACAAGAUGGAGCCUUCACAAAGGUUGCUUAGGAGAAGUCUCAGCAGUCGGUAGAGCCCCAGAAAGAGAAGGCAUUGAAGGGGGAUCAUUCGGAGCCUCAGUACUGGACAGAACCCUAGAAGGAGGAGGCAUCAGAGGUUGAUCAUUUGGAGCUUCAUUACGCGGUACAGCCCCAGAAGACGAAGGCAAUAAAUGCCUUUGGAACAAACCCACAAAUCUCUGAUGAUCAAGUAAAACCUGACCAUCAGUUUCCUUCAUCUGGUCAAGCUUCCUCUUCAUGUUUGUAGCAUAGUCAUGUGCGAGCCGGUGCAACUGUUUAUUCUCAUGCUUGAGCCCUCUAAUCUCCUGUUUGAGACUCAUCACUUCGGCCGCCAAUGAUUCAACUUGGCGGGUUCGAGCAAAUAGGCGUUGGGCCAUAUUAGACACAGAACCUGCACACUGAACACUGAGAGCCAGUGAAUCCUUAACAGCUAACUCAUCAGACCGUUUGGAAAGUAGUCUGUUAUCUUUAGGAGUGAGAAGGUUCUUGGCCACCACCGCAGCGGUCAUAUCAUUCUUCAUCACGGAAUCCCCAACGGUAAGAGGACCAGUAGGGGAGACGAAGGAUGGGCGCCAUAUGUUGUCUGGAGAAGGCGGGGCUGCCUUUUCAACAAGGUUUAAGUCAAAACGACGGUCGGAGGGGCCAGACAUUUUCAAAGGUAUUGAAGAGAGAAAAGGUCGGACAAAUCAAGAUCUUAGAAGUGCAAGAAUGGAGCUUCUACUGGUGGAGAUUCAAGUGUGCUUUGGAACUUAAUGCCAGCCCCUAUAAAAAGCUGCACUCGACGGAGCUUCAGACAUCGAAGAGGCGCCUGCUCAGAAAUCGAAGAGGCGUUUGCUUUCUCAAAAGCUGGGCUGCUUAGAGACCACGAGGGUUGAUCUCAUAAAUCGAAGAGGUGUUUGCUUUCUCAAAAGUUGGGCUGCUCAAAGACCACGAAAGCCGAUCUCAGAAAUCGAAGAGGCGCUCGCUUCCUCAAAAGCUGGGCUCCUCAAAGACCACAAGGGCCGAUCUCAGAAAUCGAAGAGGCACCUACUUUUCCAGCCUUGUCAGCACCUGUCACACGCACACUUAGCUUUGCGGAAAUUAUGGGUAUUCUGUCGAAGACUUCUGGGGAAGUAGAAAACACAUGAAUCUUACUGUCCAAUCACCCACUUCUCACACGCAGCAAUAGCUCAUGGGUACCACAGAUAACUUUGCCAAAGUUCUCUGCCAAAGUUGAGCACGUGAAGCUUGCAGCUCCCACUACAUCGCUCUGACCAAGAAGGGUAAAAGAAUAGCAAAGAAACAGCACUAACAAAGUUUAGACCCAUAAAUUUUGAAGGUCUAGCUACCAUAUUAUUACCCACAAGGGUAAAGGAACAAUACCACUGUUGGAUAAUUGGAAAGUCCCUGUGUGUCAACCUCUGUGCCUCGUGGCAAGGUAGACUAGCAAACAUGCCCAACCUUUACUCACAUUCGAGAAAACACUCCCAAUAAGAUUGCUUGCUCCAAAAUCGAAGAGGCACCGUCCUCCGAAUCUCGAGAGCCAGACUCCCAACAUGACUACUUUCUCAAAAAUCGAAGAGAGGGUAAAGGAACAGUAUCAUUGCUGGAUAAUUGGAAAGUCCCUGUGUGUCAACAUCUGUGCUUCGUGGCAAGGUAGACUAGCAAACAUGCCCAACCUUUACUCACAUUCGAGAAAACACUCCCAACAAGAUUGCUUGCUCCAAAAUCGAAGAGGCACCGCCCUCCGAAUCUCGAGAGCCAGACUCCCAACAUGAUUACUUUCUCAAAAAUCGAAGAGACACUGCUCCCCGAAUCUCGAGAGCCAGACCCCCAGCAUGAUUGCUUUCUCAAAAAUCGAAGAGGCAUCAUUCUCCGAAUCAAUCGAAGAGGCGCUCGCUUUCUCAAAAGCUGGGCUGCUCAGAGACCACGAGGGCCGAUCUCAGAAAUCGAAGAGGCACAUUCUUUUCUAGCCUUGUCAGCACCUGUCACACGCACACUCAGCUUUGCGGAAAUUAUGGGCAUUCUGUCGAAGACUUCUGGUGAAGUAGAAAGCACAUGAAUCUUACUGUUCAAUCACCCACUUCCCACACGCAACAAUAGCUCAUGGGUACCACAGAUAACUUUGUCAAAGUCUCUGCCAAAGUUGAGCACGUGAAGCUUGCAGCUCCCACUACAUCGCUCUGACCAAGAAAGGUAAAAGAAUAGCAAAGAAACAGCACUAACAAAGUUUAGACACAUAAAUUUUGAAGGUCUAGCUACCAUAUUAUUACCCACAAGGGUAAAGGAACAGUACCACUGUUGGAUAAUUGGAAAGUCCCUGUGUGUCAACCUCCGUGCUUCGUGGCAAGGUAGACUAGCAAACAUGCCCAACCUUUACUCACAUCCGAGAAAACACUCCCAACAAGAUUGCUUACUCCAAAAUUGAAGAGGCACCGCCUUCCGAAUCUCGAGAGCCAGACUCCCAACAUGAUUACUCUCUCAAAAAUCGAAGAGACACUGCUCCCCGAAUCUCGAGAGCCAGACCCCCACCAUGAUUGCUUUCUCAAAAAUCGAAGAAGCAUCGUUCUCCGAAUCUCGAGAGCCAGAUACCACAUACCACUUUUUUCAAAGUGCUCUGACAGAGUUAAAACAUGUGAAGCUGGCAGCUCCCACUACCGUGCUAUGACCAAGUAGGGUAAAGGAAUAGCAUUACUACUUGUUGUUAGGGAGACUCCUAUAUAUGUCGACCUUCAUCCCCAACGGACAGGCAGACCUGCAAAAAUGCUCAACCCUUCCUCAUAUCUGAGAGGGCACUCCCAACGAAGCCUUUUGAAAUAUUCAGCUUUCUUUCCCCCCGAUAAUACCUCUGCAAACAAGCUAUACUAGAGCAAGAAUAUCUCAUAUCAUCAGGGUUAAAAGCAAGAGUAUCCCAUAUCAUGCUUUUUCCCUGUCUUUUCCUUUGGCCUUGUUUUUACCUGCAAGACAAGGAGAAAGAGAGCAAUCAGUCAGCACUUGAAAUCAAGCUCCCAGCCAGGAACUGACAGCCUGGAACCCCUUACCUGAUUACUUACCUGGUAUUGCUCUCGAGUACUCAUCUUCAACAUCUUAUGUUGCCAGGGAAGAUACCCCAUCUGCUUGAGGAACAGAUAGGGCAAGUGCGAAGGAUACAAGGAAGCAUGUGGAGACAAGCGUAACAGCACACGUGCCGAUCCAUCCAUUACUCUGUCAAAAGCAAAAGUAUCCCAUAUCAGCAGGGUCGAACGUACUCUAGAUUUGAUGGACUUGUUUUGACCCUCAAAUUCUUUAGUCGGCCUUAUACUCUGGAGGAAACCAGAAAACCCUCCAGCUCAGUUCAAGAAUAAGCCUGUGGAAAGUUACUUCUUCAAAAGCAAAAGUAUCUCAUAUCAUCUCUUCUCAUUUUUCUUCUCUUUAUCCUUCAUGCUGCUGCAAGAUGGGGAGAAGGUGAACAAUCAGCCGGAGCUCUGAUUGCUUACCUUGUCUGUCACCUCUUUCAGCAAAUCCCCUAGCUCGGCGACUUGGGGGACUCCUACUACAUGGUUUGUAUCGCGCUUGACCAAGCCUGAAACUACAAGUAAGCUUCAAGUGACAUUGAUACAUUACCUUGUGCAUCUCCACCAGUUAAAGAUACCACCCCUGGAUGGAGGAAGAGUACUUCCAGAGAAGCUGCCACAUCUACCUAUGAGACAGAUAAGGCAAGUCAAGAUGAUACCACACUCCGAAACUUAGAAGUUUCGUGAUUACGAGAUCCUUCUCCCACAAUAUUUCCUAAUGUCAUUUGUACUCUAAUGUCAUUUGUACUAAAUCAUUCACUUGUACUCACUAAAGGAGAGCUUGAACCUAUGUACUUGUGUAAACCCUUCACAAUUAAUGAGAACUCUUCUAUUCCGUGGACGUAGCCCAAUCUGGGUGAACCACGUACAUCUUGUGUUUGCUUUCCUAUCUCUAUCCAUUUAUAUACUUAUCCACACUAAUGACCGGAGCAAUUUAGCGAAGAUCACAAAAAGCGACCGUUUUCGCUACCUAGGAUCUAUCUUACAAGAGAACGGAGAAUUAGAUGGAGAUCUCAACCAUAGAAUACGAGCUGGAUGGAUGAAGUGUAAGAGUGCAUCCAGCAUGUUGUGUGACCGUCGUAGGCCACUGAAGCUCAAGGGAAAAUUUUAUAAGACGGCAAUAAGGCCAGCGAUGUUGUAUGGCACAGAAUGUUGGGCGGUGAAACAUCAACACGUACACAAAAUGGGUGUAGCAGAGAUGAGGAUGCUUCGUGGGAUGUGUGGGCACACGAGAAAGGAUAAGAUUGAGAAUGAGGAUAUCCGAGGUAAAGUAGGAGUAGCCGAAAUUGAAGGAAAGAUGAGAGAAAAUCGGUUUUGGUGAUUUGGACAUGUGCAAAGAAGGCCGACUGACGCUCCGGUUCGAAGAUGUGACUACGGGACAGAGGUUCAGGGCCGAAGGGGUAGAGGAAGACCUAGGAAAACUUUGGAAGAGACUCUAAGAAAAGGCUUAGAGUACUUGGAUCUAACGGAGGACAUGACACAAAACUGAGCGCAAUGGCGUUCUAGGAUUCAUAUAGCCGACCCCACUUAGUGUGAAAAGGCUUUGUUGUUGUUGUUGUUGUUGUGUUAAUAUCAUUGUAGACAAAAGCAUUAUAGUAUGUAGUUACUGUAAAUUCUUCUUCGAAGAGGUUCUUCUUUCUAUUGUUUAGUUUUUGGUAACAAAAGCUAAUUUAAACAGCUCCAAAUGUCAACGAAAUGCAAAGUAACAGGUUUUAUAUUUGAUAUUAUCUUUGAUUGAGCUUCUGGUCAAUCUAAUUGGAUAUGACUUUUUUUUUUCUUACUUUUUGUCAAUGUAUGUAUUUUAAAUACUACAAACAAUUUACACUUCCACUCAUAUUUUCAUUUCAAACACUUCUUUUGCAGCUAUGGAAACAAGCAUUAAUGUUGUGGUAAAUUUGAAUUGACACAGCAGUUUCAUGUGGAAUGGGAAAGUGUGACAUAUAUGUCAAAGAAAAAAAAGUAGAUAUUACGCUACGAAACCAUAUACACUAUGAACUCAUCUUUAGCAACUUUUAAUAAGAUAAACUAUUCAAAUAGAUUUGAUAGAAGUGAUUCGGAUAUGUGGUACUGUAAGGAAAAGAUGAUGGAUAUGUAUCCUUAGUCUUCAGCUUAAUGUCAUAAAUUAAUUGUUUAGUUUGUUCUCUAACACUAUUAUAUAGUUCUUACUGUAUUUUUUCCUUUCUUUAUUACUAAUCAACAUGUAGCCAUAAUCACUGCAAAAUGACACAUAAUACUGUGUAGAAAAAGAGAACAAAAAUUAGUUGAAGGCUUCAUAUAUUUUUGUCUAUUUGCAUGUAUCUGAAAUGUUGAUCACAUUAAGCUUCAUUAUUUCAAUACAUUUCUAUUUAUUUGCAUGUAUGUCAUGUGGUAGUGAUGUUGAAAACCGAAUGUGUGAAAGUGAAGUUUUAGAUAGACGUGUGGUUGAAAAGAUACAACAGAUGUUGAACAACCAUAAUCCUUUUGUUCAUACAUCUCGGGCAACGCCAAGAUUUGCCGCAUUACAAGUUGAUCCUAAAAGAGCAACCAAUAGAUCAGCGUCAGUAUAGUCUACCAUCAGCAUCACAAGUUGCAGCAAUUAUAAUAGAUGGAGAUAAUGCCACAAUUGCAAAUGGAAGGGAUAUCGUGGUGGAAACAGAUACUGGUAGACUUUCUCACGUCCGAGACUACGUUGGAUUUUAUGAUCCAUUACAAUAUCCAUUAUUGCUAUCUUACGGUACAUAUGGUUGGGAUGUUAAUAGUCGUGAUGAUGGUGGAAGAGCAAUAACAUGUUGUGACUAUUAUGCUUAUAUGUUUCAAGUUUGUGCCGAUAACAUCAUUUACUCAACCAGUAUAUAUAGAUGAAUGAUGAUUCCCAUAGUAAAAGCAAUAUAUGAAAUUGACUUUUGCAAAUAUGCCAUAAUGGAUCCUCACUUUUGCUUCAAGGUGGGCGUAUCUUGCAACAAUAUGUUGUAGAUAACUACAUUAAAAUUGAAUCACAAAAACUUAUAUGGUUGCAUUUUAAUCAAGCCACAGUUAGAGUUGAUCUCUACAAAGGACUUGAACUCUUUAAAUGCAUGUCAACACAAUGCAGGUAUAUAUAUCGUUAAAGUCAUCGUUAUUUAGGAAUAUAACUUUGUUCAAAGUUUGUACAAUAUAUAUAGCUACUAAUUGAAAAUAAAAAAUUAUCAGUAGCAUCGACAGUAGAAUUAUUUUACCAUCAUUGUUUGUUGAAAGCCCACGUGACAUAUACCAACGAUAUCAAGAUGCAAUGACUCUGGUUCAAAGAUUCGGAAAGCCAGAUUUUUUUAUUACCAUGACAUGUAACCCAAGUUGGGAAGAAAUCAAAAGCGAAUUACUCGCUGGACAAACACCACAAGAUCGUCCUGACUUACUCAUUAGAGUAUUUCGUGCAAAACUAGAGCAACUAAAAGAAGACAUUAUUGAAAAGGUGGUACUGGGCAAUGUUGUUGCUUACUCAUACAUUAUUGAGUUUCAGAAACGUGGUCUUCCACAUGUGCAUAUGUUGGUCAUGUCAGAUGAAAAUGACAAGAUCAAUAACCCCAAAUGAGUAUGACCGAAUUGUUAGAGCUGAAAUACCAAACGAAGACAUAGAGCCUUAACUUUACAAUGUGGUAUUAAAGCAUAUGAUUCAUGGCCCGUGUGAGAUUCAUAAUCCUCAAUCUCCAUGUAUGAAAAAUGGGAGUUGUAAGAGAAAGUAUCUCAAAUCAUUUGCACCAAUCACUGUUCAAGGGAAUGAUUCGUAUCCAAUUUAUCAAAGGCGAGGAAAUCGAUUGCCAGUCUCACUUGAUCGACAAGGAAACAUAAUGGUUGAUAAUAUUUGGGUCAUUCCAUAUAAUCCAUGGUUGUUGUUAAGGUAUGAUUGUCACAUUAAUGUUGAAAUUUGUUCAAGCAUAAAAAAUGUCAAGUACUUAUAAGUAUGUUUACAAAGGCCUAGACAGAGUAACAAUCAAACUACAAUUACUACAAUCAGACCUUGAAUACGAUGAAAUAAGGCAGUUUCAGGAUGCAAAAUGGGUUUGUGCACCAGAGGCAUUAUAGAAUAUAUUCAAGUUCAUUAUUAAUCGAAUUUACCCAUCUGUUGAGCAAUUGCAAAUACAUCUUCCUAAUAUGCACCAAGUUCAGUUUCGUACCGACAAGAGUAUAACAAAUAUUGUACAUGAUGAGAGUACAAGAAAGACAAUGUUGACCACACUUAAUCAUGUGGAUGCAGAAGCGCGAUGGUACUUAUACAUGAAGAUCCCAUCACACUACAGAUAGAUUCAAGCUUAAAGAAAGUCGUCUAAAAGAAUGAAUCAUAACAAGGUUAUUGGGCGAAUAUAUGCAGUUUCACAUGAUGAAGGCGAAAAAUUUUACCUUCGGAUUCUUCUUAAUCAUGUUAAAGGACCAACAUCCUUCACAAACUUGAGAACAAUUAAUGGGGUUUUGCAUCCAACAUAUAAGCAGGCAGCACAACAACGGUUGUUAGAAAUAGAUGACAGUAUUCGACAAUGUUUGCUAGAGGCCUCCACAAUUCAGAUGUCGUCAGCUUUAAGAAGAUUAUUUGCCACCAUAUUGGUAUAUUGUGCACCAAUUGGUGUUCAAGGGUUAUGGGAUGAGUUCUAUCCAUUCAUGAUAGAAGAUUAUGUUUCCACAACUAACAUAACUCUCACACUUGCUACAAACAUACUCUUGCGUGAGUUAAACGCACUUUUGGUUCAAUUUAAUAAGAGUAUAAAAGAGUUUGAUUUUCCCCAAAUGACAAGAGGAAUUAAAUCAAGUUCAGGAAUGACAAGAUGUAUUGAAGAUGAAAUAUCCAUAAGUAUUCCACAACAAGAUCUUGAUGCAAUCAAAUGCUUAAAUGAUUACCAAAGAAGUGCAUUUGACACAAUAAUGGGUGCAAUUCAACGAUCAGAGAAUGCAACAUUUUUUGUGGAUGGUCCUGGUGGAACUGGAAAAACUUACUUAUAUUGUGCAUUGUUAGCAAGCUUGAGAAGGUUGGGGCACAUAGUAUUAGCAAUAGCAUCAUCUGAAAGUAACUACAAUAUUGCCUGGUGAGAGGACAGCCCAUUCUAAAUUCAAGAUACCACUUAGUCUCAAUGCAUCAUCGAUGUGUUCAACUAGUAAGCAAUCUGAUUUAGCAAACCUAAUACAAAAGGCAAAGACAAUUAUCUGGUAUGAAGCAACAAUGAUGCAUCGUCAUGCAUUUGAAGCACUUGAUCGGACGUUCAAAGACUUAAUAGAUAUUGACUUACCAUUUAGGGGGAAGAUAAUGAUAUUUGGAGGAGACUUUCGACAAGUUCUUCCUGUUAUCCGGAAAGGUACCAAGUCCGAACUAAUCCAAAUUAGUGUCGUUAAAGCAUCAUUUUGGCCACAGGUAAAGAUUUUAAAACUCAAACAAAACAUGAGAUUCAUAAAUGAUCAUGAAUUUUUAGAAUUUUUACUUCGUGUUGGUGAUGGGAAUGAAGAUGUUAUUAUGGACAAUAUGGUAAAACUACUUGAAUGCAUGGUGAUACCAUGGGAGAGUGAGCAUUCCAUUAAUCUUUUAAUUGCUAAAAUCUUCCCUGAUUUAGAGGAUCAUAUAAAUGAUGCAACAUACAUGGUGGAAAGGGCAGUGGUAACUCCUACAAAUGAAGACGUUGAUAUGUUGAAUGAAAAGAUAAUCAAUAUGUUUCCAGAUUUAGAAGAGACAAUGUAUUCAUUUGAUUCAGUUGAGGAUAACCCAAGGAAUUUGUAUCAGCCAGAGUUCUUGAAUUCAAUUUCACUUGGUGGUUUGCCUCCGCAUAACUUAACUCUGAAAAGAGGUGCUCCAAUCAUGCUUUUAAGAAAUAUUGAUCCGAAAUUAGGAUUGUGUAAUGGUACAAGAUUAUUGUGUCGUGGUUCUUACCAAAAUCUUAUUGAUGCUGAAAUUCUAAUUGGACAAUUUGCUGGAUCCAGAGUUUUCUUACCAAGAAUUCCUCUUAAAAGUACUGAUAUUGCUGGGCUUCCAUUUGAACUUACAAGAAAGCAGUUUCCAAUGAUACUAAGUUUCUCUAUCACUAUAAACAAAUCUCAAGGUCAGACAAUACCACAUGUGGGCAUUUACCUUCCAGAUCAUGUCUUCAGUCAUGGACAAUUAUAUGUGGCUUUAUCGAUAGGGGUCUCAAAAUCAACCACAACCAUGUUAGUAAAAAAAUGGCUUCAUAGUAGGCCAAGAAGGUGUAUUUACACGGAAUGUGGUAUACAAAGAAGUCUUGCUUCAUUCCAGCUAAUUAUGGUGAUUUCUAAUAGGUAACAACUUUAUUAACGAUAACCUUUUAGUAUGCAUUUCUCACUUAUCAAUUAACUCUUUUUAUUUGAUUUUUAAUUUUCUAACUAUCGUUUGUAGAUUGGCAAUGAAAAUGUGGAGCCUCAAUCAUGAACAAAUGGGUGGAAAUUGCAACAUUGAUGUUAAUAUGUAAACUUUCUUUCCAAAAGAAACAGUGACAUAUAGACUUCAUGGGUAUUGUGAAUAAUGUACGUAUUGUGAUGUAGGUUUUAUAUUUUGACAUUUAAGUUGUUUUGUAUUUUGCUACAAGUACUAAAUGUUUUCAUCUACUCUUCUUUUCUUUUUUUUUAUUUACAUCUACUUACUAUUGUUCAUGGAUUUUAGGUAGGAACUUGCAUCCAAAAUCCCACAUUGUUUGACAAUUGCAUGAAUAACAUUUAAAUCAUUAUGUUAUGCAUAGUAAAAACGAAAAACAUGACAACUUUUUAGGACUUGCAUGGUAAAGAAAAAGUUCUUCUUUGCACAAUACAUUUAAAAUAUAUUUUGACAAUUAGAAUGAAAAAAAAUUAACUCAAUACAACUUUAGGGGCACGUAACGCCAGUGAUGCAAAAAUGCCUCUCGUGCGUGCGGAGAGGCUAGUCUUAUCUUUAAUUGCGAUCACUACAACUUUAUCUCAGAUAUCCUCAUUCUUAAUCUUGUCAUUUUUCAUGUGCCCACACAUCAAACAAAGUAUUCUCCUCUCUGCUGCACUCAUUUUUUACACGUGUUCAUACUUGACCACCCAAUAUGACUUUUCACUAAACAGAAAAUUUAAGGGAGUUUUGACAAAACACUCCUGGUACUGUUUACUUUUAACGAAAACCCAUAUUUUUACCUUUCUCUGGUACUAUUCACUACACCUUUAUUUGUCAUUUUUCAUUAAAAUUAAAGUUUUUUUUUAACUUUUCGUUAGUUUUCCUAAAAUUUAAAGCUGUGAUCAGAAUGGUGACGUGAACUUUAUCCCUAAUAAUCGUGGGGGACUUUCCUAAGUGUAUCACAUCAGGUAACCAAUGGAAAGUAUUCCUGCAAAAAUUCUACAGCAUCUUAAUCUUUGGAAUGCUUCUUCAAACAAAUACGUGCCACAAUUAGGUAAGGAAAAACAAGAUGGUGAUGUGCUACAAUUAGGCAAUGAAUUUUUUCCAACCUAUCGCUAUAAAUUUUUUCCAAUUUCUACCUAUCACUAUAAAGUUUUUCCAAUUUCUACUUCACCUUCCAAACUAUCUUAUCUUUAAUUGCGGUCACUCCCACUUUAUCUUAGAUAUCCACAUUCUUAAUAUUUUCCUUUUUUAUAUGCCCACACAUCAAACGAAGUAUUCUCCUCUCCGCUACUCAUUUUUUGCACGUGUUCGUACUUGACCACCAAAUAUGACUUUUCACUAAACAGAAAUUUUAAGAGAGUUUUAACAGUACACUCCCGAUACUGUUCACUUUUAAUGAAAAACCAUAUUUUUACCUUUUUCCGGUACUAUUCACUACACAUUUAUUUGUCAUUUUUCAUUAAAACUAAAGAUUUUUUUGAACUUUUUGUUAGUUUUUCUAAAAUUUAAAGAUGUGAUCAGAAUGGCGACGUGAACUUCAUCCCUAAUAAUCAUGGGGGACUUUCCUAAGUGUAUCACAUCAGGUAACCAGUGGAAAGGAUUCCUGCUAAAAUUCUACAGCACCUUAAUCUUUGGAAUGCUUCUUCAAACAAAUAUGUGCCACAAUUAGGUAAGGAAAAGCAAGACGGUGAUGUACUACAAUUAGGCAAUGAAGAGCAAGAUGGUAACCUAUACCUACUAUUAUGACAGGUUUUAAGUUUCAACCUAUCGUUAUAAAUUUUUUCCAAUUUCUAGUUCACCUUCCGAACCAUUGUAUCUUUAAUUUCGGUCACUCCACUUUAUUUCAGAUAUUUUCAUCCUUAAUCUUUUCCUUUUUCAUGUGCCCACACAUCAAACGAAGUAUUCUCCUCUCCGCUACACUCAUUUUUUGCACGUAUUUGUACUUGACCACCCAAUAUGACUUUUCACUAAACAGAAAAUUUAAGGGAGUUUUAACAGAACACUCUUGGUACUGUUCAAUUUUAACGAAAAAUCAUAUUUUUACCUUUCCCCGGUACUAUUCACUACACUUUUAUUUGUCUUUUUUCAUUAAAACUAAAAAAAAUUUUUUGGACUUUUCGUUACUUUUUCUAAAAUUUAAAGCUGUGAUCAGAAUGAUGACGUGAACUUCAUCCCUAAUAAUCGUGGGUGACUUUCCUAAGUGUAUCACAUCAGGUAACUAGGGGAAAGUAUUCCUGCUAAAAUUCUACAGCACCUUAAUCUUUGGAAUGCUUCUUCAAACAAAUAUGUGCCGCAAUUAGGUAAGGAAAAGCAAGACGGUAAUGUGAUACAAUUAGGCAAUGAAGAACAAGAUGGUAACCUAUACCUACUAUUAUGACAUCUUUUAAGUUUCAAUCUAUUGCUAUAAAUUUUUUCCGAUUUCUAGUUCACCUUCCUAACUGUGAAAUCCCGUCCCUGAAUUUCACUAUUGCAAAUUACGUAUGUGUAUUAAGGAGUUAUUAUAUUAAUUUUGGGAUUUGUAUUAAUUGUAGAGUGUUGAGAUUGUGUAUUCAAAAGAUAUCAUGGUGAAAAAGCUACAAUUAAAAAGUUGCCCUUAAUUAAUUAAGGAGAAAAACAAAAGAAAAAAAAAGAUUAAAGAAAAAACCAUGGGGGGUGGUUGAAAAAAAGGGGGAAAUGGAGAAAGAAAAAAAAUAAGGAAAGGAAGAGGAAUUUGGGGAGAGAAAGGAGGGAGGCUUGGCCAACGGGAAGGAGAAGGAGAAAGGAGGAGCAGCCAAUCAAAACACAGACCAAGGAGGGGAAAAGAGAAAGACCCGAGUUAGGUCGUUUUUGACCCGCGAACCUCCAUUUUUGACCUGGCCAUAUCUCCUUCAUCCGAACUCCGUUUUGGGUGAUCUUGGUGUCCAUGGAAAUCCCUUGAUGAGCCCUACAUCUUUGUAGUGUUAGAUUUCCCAAUUUCAUUCCCAUUUUUCCAGUUCGAAGGCACAAACCCACGGGUAUUCCGGCCGCUUUAUUCCUUUUUCCGGUGGCUUCGGCAAUUUCACCGUCCAUGACCACCACUAAAAGACUUCCCUCAACCCCAGGAACAAAGCCCAAGUAGUGUUGGAGGCGUCAAAGUUCGAUUGGAAGCCGAAUCAAAACACACCCUUUUCUAGGGUUUCGGCGGGUUUGAGUGAAAUUGAAGUGUUUCUCGGCCAAAUUGGACUUGGCCACAGGUAUAAAGCUUGCUCUACUCUUUGAGAUCUUCAUUUCUGUAAUUUUUGGUAAUUCUUUAAAAAUAGUUUAAUUUUCCAGCAAGUCGGGGCGGCCAACCGCCACCCGCGGCGACGCGUGUGGCGGCGACCUAGCCAGUGGGCUGACGAUGUCCUUUUAAGUUCAAUUAGAUGCCCUGAUUUCAUAAUUGAUAUCCUUAUGAUAUGGUUUGAUUGUUUGAACCUAAUUUCAUUACGAUACGUGGUUAGGUCAAAAAUAUGAUUCGAUGAUCCGACCGUUGGAUCGUCACCAAACCUUACUGCGUGAUAUAACAUAAUAUUUUUGGAUCAUAGAAACUUACGGAUCGAGAAUCCGACGUACGGAUCUUCCCUAAUUGGAUUUCUAAGUUUGUAAAAUUAAAUGUCGACCGCCACUUGAAUUUUGAAAUUGGGGGAGAUCCGACCGUCGGAUCGUGUUGAGAUUUUAGUAUGGUGUUAUUUGAGCAUAAUGUGGACUUUGGAAAGUUACGGAUCUGAAAUCCAAUGUGUGGAUCUUCCGGAUUUAAUUGUGUAGAAUUGUGGACCCUACCUUUGAUCGAAAGUUGACUUUUGAUCAACAUGUCUCGAAACGUCCUAAUUACUAAAAUUAGUACUACAGGGGACUAAGUGAAGUCUAGUGGGCCUACAUUGGUUAGAUAGCGACUUGAAUAUAUAAAAUAUGAUUAUUAUCUUAAUUUCUUAUAUUAGUAUCAUUUGAUAAUAUGAAUUGGUCUUAUAAAUAUGAUUUUUAUUGAAAUGUGAUUUUAUAUAUUUAGCCAUAGACCAAUGUUUAUUAAACAUGAUUUGGAUCGUGUACUGUUGAUGAUUGCGAUAUGUGAUUUGACUUGCAUAUUUGAAAGGUGGUUGAUUUGCAUAGAUGGUAUGAUAUGAUAAAAUGUGAGUGACUUUAAUAUAUGUGAUAUAGGUGAUUUCCCUGUUUUCAUAAUUAUUGUCCUGAGUGGAUAUGAGAUGGUUUAUGAUUAUAUUUCCUAUAAAAUGUUUAAUUUUUAUAUUUAGCCAUCGUUGUAGUUUUAUGAUGUGGGAAUUGAAGUGCAUAUUGGGAAUAUGUGUUGUUUUGUAUGAUUAGUAUGUUGUGUAUGAUUACUUUUAUGACAAUGUGAUCCUAGAAUCCUAUUAGAAGUAUGUUGUAACACUUAUAUGCUUGUGUAACAUAUUAGUUGGUGGCCAUGAGAAGUGAAUAUGGUAGGUGACUACGUUGUGAUUAUAGAGAUGAUGAGGUUUAGAUAUACCUGGUACAUUCGGUAGGUACCAUAUCCACAUGGAUUCCGUUGAGUGAUGGUCCGGAAUCGUAUCCUUAUUUGGAUUCCAUUGAGUGAUGGUCCGGAAUCCCUUCUACUCCGCGAUUCCGUUGAGUGAUGGUCCGGAAUCGUAUCCUUGUUUGGAUUCCAUUGAGUGAUGGUCCGGAAUCGUAUCACUUGACUUGGUGGUUUCUUGGAUUUGAUAUCAGCUUCAAAAAUGUAGGCUUGGCUUAACUGUGUCACUCUAGCCUUAGUUUUAAUAUAAUUGUGAGCCAUGGUUUCGAGAAUCUUGUGAAUUGAAUUAGAAAAACUAUUGGACGUCUGGGUGACUCCUUCAGGAUUUUCUAUGAUUCGAUUAUGAUUUCAUAAGUAUGAAUUUAGAAGAUAUGGUUAUGGUUGUUAUUAUUUUGGUCAAAUGACUUAAUUAAUGUGGCUAGAGAAUGGUAUUGUGCUUCGUCGGUUCUUGAUGUGAUAUAUGUUGUGAAUUGCGGUAUCAUGUUGCGAUAUAAUGAAUUAUAUAAAAGAUGGAAGGAAAAUCAUGAUUUUCAAGUGGGUUUGUUAUGUAACCUUGAGUCUAGUAAUUUCAUGCUUGUCAAGUUCUACUGAUUGACUGAGAAAUGUUAUGCCUUUCGGCUUAAACGGACUGUGAUUUAUGUCGAGUUAUAGCGAAGAAGACGAACUACGAAUGGCUUGAUCCCUAAUGAGGGUACGUAGGCAGUCUAACGAGGAGGUUAGAUGCAGCCAUAAAGUGUACGAAAAAUUAUCAUGCAUCUGGAUCUUGAAUUAUACUUGGUACAUAUGAUAAAGGCAGGGUAUGUUGAGUUACGGGCAUUUAGUGACGUCAUGUGUUGAUCUUGGAUGUAUGUCGGGAUCGGGACGUGACACUAACCAUCUUAUCUUUAAUUGCGGUCACUCCCACUUUAUCUCAGAUAUCCACAUUCUUAAUCUUUUCCUUUUUCAUGUGCCCACACAUCAAACGAAGUAUUCUCCUCUCCGCUACACUCAUUUUUUGCACGUGUUCGUACUUGACCUCCCAAGAUGACUUUUCACUAAACAGAAAAUUUAAGGGAGUUUUAACAGAACACUCCUGGUACUGUUCACUUUUAACGAAAAACCAUAUUUUUUACCUUUCCUUGGUACUAUUCACUACACCUUUAUUUGUCCUUUUUCAUUAAAACUAAAGUUUUUUUUGGACUUUUCCUUAGUUUUUCUAAAAUUUAAAGCUGUGAUCAGAAUGGUGACGUGAACUUCAUCCCUAAUAAUCGUGGGCGAUUUUCUUAAGUGUAUCACAUCAAGUAACCAGUGGAAAGUAUUCCUGCUAAAAUUCUACAGCACCUUAAUCUUUGGAAUGCUUCUUUAAACAAAUAUGUUCCACAAUUAGGUAAGGAAAAGCAAGACGAUGAUGUGCUACAAUUAGGCAAUGAAGAGCAAGAUGGUAACCUACACCUACUAUUUUGACAGCUUUAAAGUUUCAACCUACCGCUAGAAAAAAUUUCCAAUUUCUAGUUCACUUUCCGGGACCAUCCUAGGUUUGUAAUUACCAUCUCAAUUAUUGUGGUCCUGCGGCAAACAUUUUGGCUAUGUGACAGAUUUCUUCCUUUGUUAUAUACUUUCAUCAUCUAAAAGUAACUUGGCUUCUGAUUUUAUCCGUAACUAGAACAAAAAAAAUGGUGCAUUCACGUACCUGUUCUUGCAAGGUUUUCUUCAAAUUUCUUCUCCUUUUAUGCAUGGCCACAGGUCUGCAAUCUGCAACACUUUCCACUUAUAGAAAUGAAUCCGAUCACCUGGCGUUGCUAGACUUCAAGAAACGAAUUUCUCAAGAUCCUCUCCAAAUCAUGAGCUCAUGGAAUACUUCAAUCCAUUUCUGCAGUUGGGUAGGGGUUACAUGCAACCACGCCAACAAAAGAGUCAUGAUUUUGAACCUGGAAGCUCAAAAACUGGUAGGCUCCUUAUCACCUUUCAUUGGAAAUCUUACUUAUCUUACUGGAAUUAACCUGAUAAAGAACAACUUUCAUGGUGAAAUUCCUCAAGAAAUUGGCCGCCUACUGAACCUACAACAUCUCAACCUUUCUUUCAAUUCUUUCAGUGGAAAGAUUCCAAGUAAUAUAUCUCAUUGUACACAACUAAGAGUGCUCGAUCUUGUUCUCAAUGAGAUUAUUGGUUCGAUCCCAAACCAACUCAGUUCAUUGUAUCAUUUACUUGCCCUAGGUUUUUCUGCUAACAAUCUUACCGGAACUAUCCCCGCUUGGAUUGGAAACUUUUCAUCUUUGGAAAUUCUAUCGCUUGCUAUCAAUAAUUUUACCCAAUGAGCUCGGACGUCUAACAAACUUGAGAAGGUUUGUACUCUGGGGAAAUAAUUUGUCUGGUACGGUACCUGCUUCACUCUAUAAUAUAUCAUCCAUAUACUAUUUCACUGUUGCUUCAAACCAGCUGCACGGAGAGAUACCACCAGAUGUCGGCAUUACGCUUCCUAAUCUCGAAGUAUUUGCCGGUGGGGUCAACAAGUUCACCGGAACUAUUCCACUAUCAUUGGCAAAUGCUUCUAGACUUCAAGUGCUUGAUUUUGCUACAAAUGGUCUCACCGGGACACUCCCUGCUGAAAACCUUGCAACCUUGCAAAGCUUAGUUAGACUGAACUUUGAUGAAAACAGACUAGCAAGGGGGAUAACCGAUGGCAAGGAUUUUCUUGGUCUCCUCGCUAAUUGUACGAGUCUAGAGGUGUUGGGUCUUAUGGGAAAUUAUUUUGGAGGAGAAUUGCCCGGAUCAGUAGCCAACCUUUCUACGCAACUGAGAAUUCUUACUUUGGGGUCAAAUUUGAUGCAUGGCAGCAUCCCCAAUGACAUUGGAAAUCUUGUCAAUCUGACUAGUCUAGGACUGGAAGGAAACUAUUUGGGUGGUCGUGUCCCCGAUGGAAUUGGGAAGCUUCAGAAGUUACAGGGACUGCAUUUGAAUGUUAACAAAUUUUCUGGGAGAAUCCCUUCUUCUUUAGGUAACUUGACGUCAUUGACAAAGCUCUUCAUGGAAGAGAACAUGUUUCAGGGAAGCAUACCUCCAAGCCUAGGAAACUGCCAAAAGUUACUGGUACUUAAUCUUUCAAGUAACCGUCUAACCGGCAAGAUACCUAAAGAGCUUAUUGGACUUUCAUCCCUUUCAAUCUCUUUGUCCAUGUCGAACAAUUCUUUGAUUGGUUCGCUACCAUCUGAAGUGGGAAAGUUGGUAAGUCUCGGAGAGCUAGAUGUAUCUAGAAACAAGUUAACAGGUCAAAUCCCAGAAGCCUUGGGAAGUUGUACCAGUUUGGAGCGCCUUCACUUGGAAGGUAAUGAAUUUGAAGGAACAAUCCCCCUAUCUCUUAUGAAUUUAAGAGGCUUAGAAGAAAUGGAUAUUUCGCACAAUAACUUAUCUGGGCAGAUUCCUUACUUUCUUGGCAAGUUUAGAGUUCUUAAGGAACUCGAUCUUUCUCAUAAUAAUUUUGAGGGUGAAUUACCUAAAGAAGGGAUAUUCUCAAAUGCAAGUGGCAUCUUAAUUCUUGGAAACGAGAAGCUCUGUGGUGGCAUCCCACAGUUACGUCUACCUGUAUGCUCCAUCAAAAAGCCCCAUUCAUCUCGAGGACUACGAGGCCUAAAAGUGAUCAUCCCUAUAGCUUGUUCUCUUCCGUUCAUAAUUGCUCUAUCAUAUUAUAUUGCCGCUUGUUCCAUGGCGAAAAGGUCGAGAGGAAAAUCGGUUACUUCACGUCCUCAUGAAGAUUGGAAAUCAGGUUUCUCGUACUCAGAACUUGUUCAAGCAACUAACGGGUUCUCUGCGGACAAUCUGAUUGGUUCGGGAAGUUUUGGUUCUGUUUACAAAGGAGUAAUCCCUAGUAAUGGUGCAACAGUUGCUAUUAAGGUAUUCAACCUUCAACAACAAGGAGCUUCCAAGAGCUUUAUUGAUGAAUGCAAAGCUUUGAGAACUAUAAGGCAUCGUAAUCUCCUCAAGAUUGUAACUGCCUGCUCAAGUAUUGAUAAUCAGGGUAAUGACUUCAAAAGUCUAGUUAUGGAGUUCAUGGAAAAUGGAAGUCUAGACCUCUGGCUGCAUCGUGGAGACAAUGAACAACCAGAAGGUAAGAGACUGAGUAUUAUCCAAAGACUGAAUAUUGCCAUUGAUGUUGCUUCUGCCUUAGAUUAUCUACACAACCAUUGUGAGAUGUGCAUUGUUCAUUGUGAUCUAAAGCCAAGUAACGUACUUCUUGAUGAAGAUAUGGUUGCCCAUGUUGGUGACUUUGGUUUAGCAAGGUUCCUCGUUGAAGCAGCGAAUAAUCCCACGACUCCCACACCAAAUCAAACUGUCUCAGUUGGGCUAAAGGGUUCCAUAGGAUACAUUCCUCCGGGUAUUGUUUCUAAAGUCCUUGUUUUAGUAUUCCUAAUAACUUAUGUCUCUAUUGGUCAAAAAGAUUUGCUGCUUUGUUAUUUACUAGACAAAAGUAUCUUCCCAAUUUUAAAUAAGAUAUGAACUCUAAAGUUUUUCCUCAAUACAUGAACUGUAAAGUUUAAUUGACUAUGGAAUCCUAAUGUAUGUAUUGAAAUGCAGAGUAUGGCAUGGGAAGCCAAGUUUCGAUACUGGGAGAUGUUUAUAGUUAUGGGAUAUUGUUGGUCGAAAUGUUCACAGGAAAAGGUCCAACUGAUGACAUGUUCAAAGAUGGUCUAAGCAUUCACCAAUUCACUGCCAUGGCUUUGCCUGACCACGUCAAUGACGUAGUUGAGCCCUCAUUGCUCCUCGAAACAGAUGACGAGGAUGAUGACAGUGACAAAGAUGAUGCAUACGGCAAUAAAAUACAGGAAAGACCAACAGCCAGAUACAAGGAUCCCGGCCCGGACAAAGCAAAAAGAUUGGAGGAAUGCUUGAAUUCAGUGAUACAGAUUGGGAUCUCGUGCUCCGCAAUAUCACCAGGAGAGCGGAUGCUUAUGAAUGUGGUUGUCAACAAAAUGAAUGCAAUCAGAGACUCAUAUCUCAACUUAAGGACAGGUGGAAGAAGAAGAAGAUGAUGAUGAUGAUGAUGAUGGUGAUUGCAAUGUGCAACACAGGCUAAGUUUUUCUACCAAUUCCAACCUAUAUAUAGCUUUAUCUUUAUGCAAGACAUUAUAUUUGUAUUUAUGCAUGUGACAUCAUGUAAUGUUGAAUCAGUAUUUUAUCUCAAAUUUUCUCAACUGCUACUUGUUUGACACUUUAUAUAUAUAUAUAUAUAUAUUUGUCUCUUCAUAACCGAAGGGCUUCUAAUUUGGCUAGUUAAGAACAUUCACUCUUGCAUUUGAAUUCCGUAGUUCAAUUCCCCUCACCUCAUACAAGGGAAUACUUACCAGGUCAUGAGGUAGCAGCAAAGUUGCACACCACCGCAAAUAAGUGUUUCCAGUAAAAUUACUGCAAUUUGAGUUUAAAUAACAGUAAAAAUAAUCAACUCUACAGUAAGAAUUCGUGUUUGAUUUUCUUGAAAAGGAGGGAGAGAAUUUGAUCGGUCUGGGAUUAAAUUUAGCAAAAGAUCCUUAAAAGAACUUUACUAUUAUUCCACUUUUCCACCGUUCUCAUGUUUACAUCAACUGCUCUUAUUUUAUUUUAUUUGGUAAAACAUCAACUGCUCUUUCAUUCAGAAAGAAAAUUAUUUCUUUAGCCUUUUGUAUUUUCUUUAUCUACGCCUAUGAUCAGACUUUAAUCCCUUCCUUUCGGCCACUCUGUACCAAAAUAAUAAUAAUAAUUUUAUUGUAGACUUGGAUUUAGCCAAAGAGAAAUGCUAACAGGACACUCUCAAAAGUAACUGAUCUCAUACCCAAUUGUUAAUUUGUUCUCUCUAAUCUAUAGUCACCCCAAUUUAUAACUUCUCCAAUCCCAAAUACAUAACAUAUCAUAGAAUAUCAGCGUAUAGCAGAUGGCGCCAUAACACAUUGGUGGGAAACAAUCAUACUUACGCAUCAUUGUGCAUAUUCGGUCCUCACUAAUUCUCCUUCCCAUAAUGACUAACUAUUUAAUCUAACACUAUAAUUUGUCAACAAAAAAAAAUCUGCUUAAUUAUGAAAGAUUUUAUUGAUAUAUUGUUGUAUUGAUAUACCUACACUAAAAGAAUUAGAGAAUAAAGUAGUUGCAAAUUCGUUAUUCUCGAGUUUCCAAUCUAAACUCUAUUGAUAUAUUAAUAUAAGGGUGGUGAUAUCCAUACACACAUUUUUACCUUGUCCACACCUCUGUUGAUUUUUUGUCAUUUAAUCAUCUUCAAUUCAUUUAAUCUGACGACGAGAUAUGAGAGCGAUGUGUGAAAGGUAAAAAAGAGUAUGUGAAUAGCACCACUCCAAUACAAGAGGUUUUUUAAAAUAUCUCUACUAAUUAAUAAAACACUCAUUGUCAACUAAAACCCUAUGAAAUUACCAAUUUAACCAUCUAAUUAAAACAAAACAUGAAUAAGAAAUAUGGGGCAGAAAUGUAAUUUCACACAACCAAAUUUUGAUAUUUUUUUUUCAAAGCCCCACCUACAUGUAAUCAUAACAUAUCUAUAAAAUUAUAAAUAAAUAAAUAAACUCACUCCCACAUUCUCUAUCACUCUCUUCCUCUCUUCUUCUAUUUCAAAAACAAAAAUAAAAAAGUUUCUCACACACUUUGUGUGUGCCCAUAUGCUAGUAUUAAUUAUUGAAAAAGAACAAACAUGAUGACAAGGGUCCAGACAAUUGAAUAAUUAAUGAAGGAAAGAAAUCCUCUCAUGAUCUCUUCCACCAAAGCCCGCGGAUCAUCUCACAGCCCGUCCCGAAGUACAACUAUCGACGAUGUAAAAUGACGAUUUUAUCCUCGAACGUUGAAAUUGUAGUGUGUGUGUGUCAUGCUUUUGACUUAGAUGUUAUUUUCUUUGGUUGAUUGGUGAACCACGUGGAACACACACACAAACCCUCCUUCUCUCCCAUGCCUUCCCUCUCUCUCCUUACUUUUGGAUUUUUGUAGAAAACCCAUACAAACGUACAGACAAACUCCAAGCUUCCAUUUCAAGCACAGAUCGACGUCAAGAAGGUAAGAUUCAAACUCCUUGCAAGUACCUGUGUCACGCCCCGAUCCCAACAUAUGUCGCAAAUUGACACGUGGCAAAGAAAAAAAAACAUUUGUUGAAUAUGACGUAAGUCCCUAAAAGAUAAAGUACAAGAGUGAAUCAAGGGUAACCUAACGCUCCACGUCUCUGAUAACCGCACUGCUACCCCACCUACGGACUUCUCGGAGUCUACUCAAACCUAUCACCUGUAUGAUCAGUGCCUACACCAUCAGAAUGGUGCAUCGGGCAAACAUCAACUUGAUUAAGCUGUGAAGCUUGAGUGAGUGACAAUAAUACAAAGUAUGUGAUACAAUAAUAAAACCAGCCAUCAAUCACAAUUUAUAAACCUUGAAUAUAAAUCAUGCAUGAGAAAUUAAUACCAAACUUUUGCAAAUUCCGAAUGAGUCACUCAGACAUUUAACGAUUCAUCUGAAACAAUCACAACAUCUCACAACCAUAUUCUCAUACAACACAAUGAAAGAUAGGGUUAGGGCGACAUAGUUCGGCCGAAACCUACACCUUUGAAGCUAUCUCAAUCCAAACUAAAAAAAUAAAAACUCAGGUGGAUACGAUCCCGGACCAUCACUUAACGGAUCGCAGAGUAUGAAGGAUUCCAGACCAUCACUCCACGGAAUCGCAGAGUAUGAAGGAUUCCGGACCAUCUCUCAACAGAAUCAGAGUGAAAAUGAUUCUGGACAAUCACUCAACGGAAUCACGAAAGGCCAACAACCAUAAUGUAUAACGGCUCAAAGAAAUGAGACAAGCACAAGUUACUUAAUUUACAAAAACUCAACCAAGGGAAAUAAAGCACAAAUACUAAAUGUAGAACGAAUAAAUGAAGCGGGAAAUGAAACAAUAUUGAAGCAACAAUUCCCCAUCACAAUGGGUUAACGGCCCACCACUAGCCUUCACAUUUCAUUACAUCAUGCCAAUCAAACAAAUCAAACCAUAUUUCAGUUUACAUACAUCAAAUCUCAUUUCAUAACUUGAAUCAAUGGUUAAGCAUUAAAAUUAACAAUUCCAUAGAAAACAUAUAUAUAUAACCAAGUCAUAUCCACACAGGAUAACAAUUAUGAAAACAAGGUAAUCACCAAUACCACAUAUGUUAAAGUCACUCACUUAUAGUCUGCGCUAAUGCACCCUAGCACGAGAGUCAAGGCAUCACGUUUUAUCACCGCCUAAACAAGGUACAAGUCCACAUUUAGAUUUCCUUUGAUAAUUCAUAUACUUAAAAACUCUCAUAUGUCUCCCACAAAAACAUUUAAUGAGGAAUCGAACCGUCAUUCUAAGGUAGGGUCCAUGAUCUUAUGUCACUUAUUCCGUAAGAUCCAACCACUAGAUUUUCACUUGUAAGUCCCUAAGGUCCUUAAACAAUAUCUACCAUAGCAUACUAAAAUUGGAUGUAAAUUCAAUGGUAAGAUCGUCAAUUGUUAGAAUAAUCAAGUGGUGGACCUUAUCAAUAAUAUACUCAACCAACAACAUUAUCAUAAAUCGAAUGUCACACAUCGGGAAAUUCGACUUUUUCCAAAAAUUCUCAAAUUUUACAAGAAUGAAGUUCUCAACAAGUAGAGUAAACUUUAUACCUGUGGCCGAGUCCAAUUUGGCCGGGAAGGCCCUCAAAUUGGCUCGCACCCAUCGAAACCCUAAGGUGGGUGUUCUUCAAUUCGGCUUCCUUGGUGUUCCAACGCCCACCCACCAGUUGGGCCUUGUUUAUGAGUCCGAGGGAAGUUGAAUAAGGGUGAUGGUGAAUGGUGAUACUCACCGGAACGACGAAUCGCCGUCGAGAACCCUCGGGUUCUCCAAUGGAGUUCUAUCCGAAUUAGACCUAAAAAAACCCUUGAUUUUUGGUGGAGAUGGAAGGGAGAAGAUAUUUAAGCAAGUUACAGGUGAAGGAGAUAGGAAAAUCAGCUGAGAAUUGGAGGAACUUACCUGAAAAGGGCCGGUUUUGAAAAUGGUUUGGUGUGCACACGGGGUUCACCAAAUGGGGAAGAAAGAAAAAUGUCCCCUUUUUCCUUCUUAUUUUGUCUCCCCCCCCCCACCACAAAAAAAACCAUUUGAUUGUUCUUUUUUUUUUUUUUGUUUGUUAAACUAACUUAACUUUUAAUCCACAUGUGGAAAUUAAACAAUUCCCACAAUCUAUAGUUCACAACUUCAAACGUCAGUAACUAUAUUGUUAUAAUUCGGACUCGCAAACGGUUUUCGCCUAUGCGUUCGUGGGUUCGAGAUCUAUUUAAAAACACUAGUUGUAACUUCGAAAUAUCAACGAAAGAUAAAGAUUGAUUAAGAAACUUCCAACUCGAUAACUAAUCAAUUACUAAACUUAAAAUUAACGGAAUUAAAAUUAACUAAUAAAGAUAACGUAAUCGCGAAAUACGAAUUUAAAAUAUGAGAUACAUAAUGAAUGGUGAAAUUCUGGGGAUGGGCUUUCAUACCCUGAGUUCAUAUAUGCCAUUUUUAGGACCUGAAAACCUCAAAAACCCCGAGAACUCUAACCUCCGAUUUGGUGCACUGUUUAUGCACAUGUAAAUGUGAAGGUUUCAGGUGAUUUGAAGUUUGUCGGAAGCUUUAAAACAUCCCUACGAAGCUCGGAGAAGAAAAACCAAGCGAUUUGGACGUCAGGAUCGUCAGUUUCAAGCUUGGCCGGUUUUUCUUGAAAUUCUCCGGUGAGAUCCCGUGGGAUUUAGGUCCUAAAAUUGGUAUGGGUUUGUUCUACUUGUCCUAAGCUUCAUUUUGAUAUAUAAUUCGUGAAAUUUGGUUAAAAAUCGAGUGAGAUAUCAAGGUUUUAAGAUUUGCCCAGUUGCCGACGACGGUCGUCGAAGUCCUAAGGUUAGGGGUGACGGAAUAUUCCUAACAGCGUUGGUUAGUUUAAACGGAUUUCAUUACUAUUUAACGGAAUAUUCCUAACGGCGUCACUGUUGCCGUUGGUGUGCCAGGCACAUGCCCUGGCAUGGGUGGCGCGUCUGACCGUGCCUUGGCCGGUGCGUGGGUGGUAGAAAAUUUUUUCUAAAAAUAUGGGGAUGUUCGUGAGGUUGUGUAGAUCACGUUGGUAUAUUCAAACACCCCAUUUAAGCAUUGUAUGAGAAGUUAUUAGUUAGUAUUGGUUAGGUGCUUAAAAUUAACGUUUAUUCAGUUAAUUCGCAUAUAGGUGAGACUUAUCCCGAGGACAAGUGCAGUCAAUGGCGACUUGGGAGCUACGACCCUUCGACAUACCAGUGAGUGGGCUUUUGGUUUUCAGUAUAUAUUUAUAUACAUGGUAUUUUCCCAGAAAAUACGUUUAAAUGAAAGUAUGCCUUGAAUGCCAUGCAUAUAAAUUUAUAUUUUGUAUAUGAAUUGAAUUGUUUGCAUAUACAUAAUUGUGGUGUUGUGGACGCUCAGGUAAGUAUCAGAUGAGUUAUGUUUUGUUAUGAGAAUUAAUGAUUAAUGGCAUGUGAUUGAAUAACGUUGAGCUCAUGUAACUGCACCUAGGGUGAUGUGAUUUAGCCAGAUAUAUAGCACAGGCCUGUUAUUGAUGUCACCUCCUGCACCAUAUGCUCACAUUGGAUCCAAUUUAGGUGCACAGCCUUGUCGUAUAGACCAUAAUAAGUGGUUCCGACUCGUAGGUGACUAGCGAAUUAUUGCCCAGCUAUCAUGAGAGAGUAGAAUUGAGCAUAAUUAUAUUACACCCAAUCUUGUCGUACAGACCCCUUUUUAGUGGUUCCGACUUAUGUGCAGUGUAGUGCCGUAUAGGUCAUUGUAGUAACUCCGACUAGAUUGACUAUUGAGCUAAGAAUUCAACCGUACAGACUACCAUAGGGGUUCCGGCUAAUAUGUUAUAUUUUCCAUGAAUUUAUUCUCACCUGAAUUACUUAUUUUGUUAUAUCUUGGCAUGGCAUACUUAUGAUUAUGAAUAUGUGAAGCAUGAUUUGAAUUGAUAUAUUUAUAUAUAUAUAUAUAUAUAUAUAUAUAUAUAUAUUUACGCAUAUACUUAUAUUCUAAUUCUGGGAAAAUUAUACAUGUUUUACGACAAGGGAUUAGAACUGUUGAGAAAUGAAAUGGUUUUGUAAAACAUUUGUUUUUGCCCACUCACGUUUUUUUGUUUUGCGCCGCUCCAGGUUUUAGGUAAGCUUGCUGUUGGUGGCUUUGAGGACUUCGGCGGUUCUGACAUAUAAAAAAAAUAGUAGGACAUUCCUAGUACUAUAUAACUAUUACUUGUCCUACUGGACUGCACCUAGACUUAUUAUGCUCUGAUUAGGAGUAUUUACAUUUGUAUCUUACUCCCAGCACUUCCUGUUUAUUAGUGCACAUUAGUAGCUUUCGGUUUUUAUUUAUUCGUAUAAUUCUUAUCUUUAUGGCUUCCGCACUGUGCACAUGGCUAUGUUACCCUCACAUGGAGGCCAGCAUGUCUUGAUCUCGGUCGGGGUGUGUCAGAUCAAGUGAUCCAAACCCUUGAAAUUUGAUCCAACGGCUAAAGUUAUUAUAACUUUUAAAAGUGGCCUCUGUUUUCAACUGUUAGAUCAAAUUUCAAGAGCCUAAAUCACUUGAUCCGCAGGCUUUGGUGAAAGAGAUCAUUAAUGAAAACAUUGUUACUCAUCACUCUCAAGUGAUAAUGAUACACAUCACUUUAUUUAUCACCAUUUGAUAGGUUUAAAUUUUAAGAUUUGUAAAAUGAGUAGACAUAAAAUUCAAAAAUUAAAGUAAUUAAUGUAACGAGCAUUACCACCAAUGUAUUUUGAUGAUCCCUACUUUAUUGACCACUACUUAUGUAUUUGUUUAUUGCUUUCAUUGCUCCACCUGAUGAUUUUCGUGAAUCUUUAUUUUAUAAAAACAAUAUUAUUUCUGAUGCCAAUAUUUCUACUUCAGCAGCUAUAGGUUUGCACUUUUAUCGUAUAUGAAAAACGGCUUCAGUGAUGAGAAAAAUGCACCCAUAAUCAAUCGGUGGGUCGCCUAUCUACCGACAAACAAUUUAAAGAUCAAGAUUAAUAGCAGCAGUGGUACCAAGCUUUCAGAAGUUCAGAUUUCUUAUUUCUAGCAAACAAGAAUGGAGAAAAUCACAAAUUUAUAGCUGCUGCAGACUGCAAUCUGUUGAGGGCAUGACUUCAUCUUCCCCUAGCUGAUUCACAGAACAAAGCAACUCCAGUUACUAGUAUUUCAAUCAGGCACUAACUCUUCAUUUAGGUCAGUUUUUCUAUGCUCUUUGAUUAUUUCUGAUAAGUUUCAACCCAAAAUAUUUUGAUAUAUGUUCUGGCAAUUCAAUUUCGAUGCACUGUUAACAAUAGUUGUCUCUUUUUUUCUGGUUGAAAACAUCUAAUUCAUCAAUAUAAUACAUGGAUAUAUAAAAGUGUUGUGGUUAGGACUUACUACCAAUAGUUUUUCUUAGACCAAUUUGCGCAAAAGAAUAUUUGAAUGUGACUAUCACUUUGUCACAUUAUUCGAAUUAUUAACAUAUGUUUUAUAAUAUGAGUGGACGAUAUAGUUGAUAUUUUUUGCCGAUUAUGAAACUCAAUGACAAAGCUACAUAGGCACAAGGAGGUGCGGCCACCCCUCCGGUCAUUGGGAAUUGUUAUUGAGAGUGAGGGUUCCGUCCCUUCGAUCUUCUAAACCUGCCAAAAUCUAGGGUUGGUGCACUGCGCUACUGGAUUUUAAUUUUGGGUAAUACUAUGGAAACUUUAUUUGUAAACAAAAUGACAUUGAAGUUGAUGAUUGAAUUAUUACUUAAGUGUUAAUUAACGUGCUUAACUUUAUUGAUGACAUCUCAUUUAGCUUGUAAAUUUAGUCUUUAAAUUUAGUGUACUUAACGUUACUCUUUAAAUUUCUCGAAGGAUGAAGACGACAUGAUUUUGUUCAAAACUGACCUCGUAGUUUACUUUGUUUACGCUAUUGGUUACAAAACUCAUGGAAUUUUUAAUGGAACAGAAUGGUUUGGUGGGCUCCCCUAGUUUCUCUUUAAUUUUUUUUUUUAUUUUAUUACCGUGGGCUUUUUUUCCAACUGCACCAUGAUUUAGUUGAUUAAACAUUAUUUCUCAAAAAACCAGCCCACCAUUUCAAUUAUCUUCCUUCUCUCUCAUUUCUUUAAGACUAAAGAAAAACCAAAGGUUGAUCUUUGUUAUUGUUCUUUUUUAAGAACAAAGUUUGGCUGUUUAAGAAAAAGCAAGAGCUCCAGCCCUCACCUAAUAACGACUUGACAAUUGUCCUAAAAAUGUUAUAAAAAAAAAGCUUGAACAAACAACUUGGACACUUUUCAAGUUGUUAUUGAGUGAGAGUAGCCAAGAUUUGUUCCUUUUUUAUUCUUGUUAUUAUUUCUAGAGUUUAAAAUUAUUUUUUCUUAUUUUCUUUUAAUCUUGAGAGAUGUUGACUUUGAGAAUUUAUUUCAUGAUAUACAAAAGUUUUGUCAAGAAAAUGAUGUAAAUGACUUUAAGACCGUUUUCUGCUAAGAGUAUUGUCAAAACAUCAUUGCGUAACAAAAUACGAGAUAAUGAUUGAGUGAUAGCUUUGUUUACAUUUUUUGCUUUUACUGAUAAUAAGCCUAUUAUGCGACGUUUUUAUGACAUGAAACAUCACCGUCAACAAUUACAAUUUGUUUGUAUUGAUGAAUUAUGAACAACAUCAAUAUUGUCUAGUAUCUAAAAGGAUUUGAUUGUGUACAUUUUUUUGAAACCUUAUACACUUUUAAAUUUCGCCCAACCCCCGACAAUUCCUGAUUUCGCAUGACACUUCACUUUCUUGACUAGUAGGCUGUGUUAUAUGAUUUUUUAUCUGUAUUUCGAAGAGGAUGAAACAUUCGUGAAGUCAGUCAUCAUGAUCGACUACUUUGAUACCAUCUCAAAAAUAAUGGGUUUGUGGUCAAUUUUCUGUAUAUUCCUUUGUCUCUCUUAGGAGCUCUUUAUGUUACAAUCUAUACAACUAAUAUCUAAAGAUUAUAAUUUCUGCGGCUAGUAUUAACUACAUUUUCCCACUUGACAAUAUUUAUAAGUAGUAACUAAUGUUGACAAUAUCCAUGUUGGCAGAUAGCAACUAUUGUUGAUAUCAGCUGCCCUUUUUGACAAAAGCAGCACCCAGAAUCAAUCAGUGGAUCACGCUUAUCAACUGACGAACAAUUUAAAGAUCAAGAUUAAUAGCAGCAGUGGUACCAAGCUUUCAGAAAUUCAGAUUUUUUAUUUCUAGCAAACAAGAACGGAGAAAAUCACAAAUUUAUAGCUGCUGCAGACUGCAAAAUGUUGAAGGCAUGAUUUCCCCUUCCCCCAGCUGAGUAUUUCAAUCAGGCACUAACUCAUCAUUUAGGUCAGUUUUUCUAUGCUCUUUGAUUAUUUCUGAUAAGUUUCAACCAAAACAAUUUUGAUAUAUGUUCGGGCAAUUGAAUUUCGGUGCAUUGUUGACAAUUGUUUCUCUUUAAUAUAAUACAUGAAUAUAUAAAAGUGUUGUGGUUAGGACUACUAACACUAGUUUUUCUUAGAACAUUUUGCACAUUGAAUAUUUGAAUGUGACUAUCACAUCGUCACGUUGUUCAUAUUAACUAACAUACCAUAUUAAUCGUUUAUAAUACGAGUAGACGAUGUUGUUCAUAUUAACUAACAUACCAUAUUAAUCGUUUAUAAUACGAGUAGACGACAUGAUUGAUAUUUCAUGAUCUCUGUCGGCUAUGACACUUCACCUUCUUGACUAGUUCUGCCGAUGCAGGAAAUAAGCAUGUAAGUCUUAGUUGCUUCUCGACUAGAAAUCUUUUCUCCACAAUCCAAUUGAAACAAAAUGCACAUUCAUAUUCAACCAAAUCACUAUAAUCAUUUUUUGCAUCGUAGAAUAACCCUACAAUUAGUCUAAUCCUUGCGAAAUUUUCGAAAGCAAUUAGAACUGGAAAAUGAGAUCUAAAUUUUCUGUCUCACGAGUUUUCCUAACAUCGUAUAGGACGUGAAUGCUAGUCUGUCUAUGUUGAAUUCCUCUCCAUGACUCUGUCCUAAUCAUGUAUACAAACUUGGUUGCUGUUUUUUUAUCUGUAUUUCGAACAGGAUGACGCAUUCGUCUAUGCACGAUGGGAAGCAGAUUUUGUCUAAAUUCCUAUAUGGGUUCAUUCUUUUAUACAUGAGCACAGGUCUGGAAUCUGCAGCAUUGUCAAACAGUACUUUUGGAAAUGAAUCCGACAGACUGGCACUGCUAGACUUCAAGAAAAGAAUCACCGAAGAUCCCCAACAUAUCAUGAGCUCAUGGAAUGAUUCCACCCAUUUCUGUGGCUGGAGAGGUGUUACAUGCAACAAUUCCAACAAAAGAGUCCUGACAUUGAAGUUGAAUUCUCAAAAUUUGGUAGGCUCCUUAACCCCUUCUAUUGGAAACCUCACUUAUCUUACUGGGAUUAACCUUACGAGCAACGGCUUCCAUGGUGAAAUUCCUCAAGAAAUCGGUCGAUUAAGAAGCUUGGAAUAUCUCAACCUGUCUUACAAUUCCUUCGGCGGAAAAAUUCCAACCAAUAUGUCUUCUUGUACCCAACUAAAAGUGCUCAGUAUUUAUUCCAACAAGCUUACCGGGUCGAUUCCUGACCAACUCAGCUCGUUGUUGAACUUAAAUCAUCUAUGGGUUGAUGAGAACAAUCUCACCGGAACCAUCCCUUAUUGGGUAGGAAACUUCUCUUAUUUGAAAACUGUUUAUCUUGGCAGCAACAAUUUACAAGGAAUCAUACCUAAGGAAUUUAGGCGUCUAACAAGCUUGGAGAGAUUCUCACUUCAGGGGAAUAAUUUAUCUGGUCUGGUCCCUUCUUCAAUCUAUAAUAUUUCUUCCAUAUACCUUUUCGAUGUUACUGAGAACCAGCUGCAAGGAGAGAUACCACCAAAUGUCGGCAAUACUCUUCCUAAUCUCAUAGGGUUUUUCGCUGGGGCCAACAAGUUCACAGGGCGUGUUCCUGUCUCAUUUGGAAAUGCUUCUAGACUUGAGAGGCUUGAUGUGUUCAGAAAUUCUCUCACUGGGGCACUCCACGGUGAAAAUCUUGGAAGCUUACGGAGCUUAGUUUGGCUAAACUUUGAAGAAAAUAGACUAGGAAGUGGAAAACCCGGUGACUUGACUUUUCUUACUUUCUUGGCUAAUUGUACUCGUUUGGAGACUUUAGGACUUUAUGGUAAUCGUUUUGGAGGAGAACUGCCAGGAUCUAUAGCCAAUCUGUCAACCCAACUAAUUAGUCUUACUCUGGGGGGUAAUAUGAUACAUGGAGUCAUCCCUGAGGGUAUUGGAUAUCUUGUAAACUUGACAGUCCUAGUACUAGAACAUAACAAUUUUGGUGGUACUGUCCCUAAUACAAUUGGGAAGCUUCAGAAAUUAGUGGAGUUGUAUCUGAAUAGUAACAAACUUUCUGGGCCAAUUCCUUCCUCCCUGGGUAACUUGUCUGCAUUGACAAACCUCUACUUGGACUGGAAUAUGUUCGAGGGAAGCAUCCCUCCAAGUCUUGCCAACUGCCAAUUUCUACUGAUACUUUACCUUUCUCAUAACAAUCUAUCUGGUUCCAUACCUAAACAGCUGCUUGCGCUUUCAUCCCUUUCCAUGUCUUUGAACAUGUCUCACAAUUCUUUGACUGGUUCACUACCAUCCGAAGUGGGUGAUUUGGUAAAUCUCGCAGAGCUAGAUGUAUCAGAAAACAAGUUAUCAGGUGAAAUCCCACAAACUCUAGGUAGUUGUAUAAUGUUGGUGCGCCUGCAUUUAGAAGGUAACAAAUUUGAGGGAAUAAUUCCUCAAUCUCUUAAAAAUUUAAGAAGCUUGGAAGAGAUAGAUGUUUCGGGCAAUAACUUAUCUGGGCAGCUUCCUGAAUUUCUAGGCAAGUUUACACUACUUGAGAAACUUAAUCUUUCUCAUAAUAAUUUUGAGGGUGAAUUACCUAAAGAAGGGAUAUUUUUUAACGCAAGUGGCGUGUCAGUUCUUGGAAAUGAUAGGCUCUGUGGUGGCAUCCCACAAUUGCAUCUGCCUGCAUGCUCCCACAAAAAGCCCCAUUCAACUCGAGGACUACUUGCCCUGAAAGUAGUCAUCCCUAUAGCUUCUUCUCUUGCACUCAUAAUUGCUCUAUCAUGCUUUAUUGCUGCUUGUUCAAUGGUGAAAAGGUCAAGACGCAAACCUGUGACUUUACGUUCUUAUGAGGACUGGAAAUCAGGUCUCUCGUACUCUGAACUCUUUGAAUCAACUAAUGGUUUCUCUAUAGACAAUCUGAUUGGUUCGGGAAGUUUUGGUUCUGUUUACAAAGGAGUACUAUCAAGUGAUGUAGCAAUAGUUGCCGUUAAGGUAUUGAACCUUCAACAACCAGGAGCUUCCAAGAGUUUUAUUGAUGAAUGCAAAACUUUGAAAAGUAUAAGGCACCGUAAUCUCCUCAAGAUCAUAACUGCAUGCUCAAGCAUUGACAAUCAAGGUAAUGACUUCAAAAGUCUAGUUUUUGAGUUCAUGGAAAAUGGAAGUCUAGAUCCGUGGAUUCAUCCCAAAGGUGAUGAGCAAUCUCAAACAAAGAGAAAAUUGAGCCUUACCGAAAGACUAGAUAUUGCAAUUGAUGUUGCUUCUGCAUUAGAUUAUCUACACUACCAAUGUGAAACGCCUAUUGUUCACUGUGAUCUAAAGCCAAGCAAUGUGCUUCUUGAUGAAGACAUGGUAGCCCAUGUUGGUGACUUUGGAUUAGCAAGGUUCCUUUUGGAAGCUUCAAAUUCGAACAAUCUUGCCGCAAGUCAAACAAUGUCAGCAGGUCUAAAGGGUUCCAUAGGCUACAUUCCUCCAGGUAUGAGUUUCUAUCAUUUUCUUUAUUGAGCCAACUCUGAAACAAGAACUAAAUCCAAAAGGUCAUUUGACCAUGGCAUUCUUUUGUGUAUUCAUUGGCAGAGUAUGGCAUGGCAGGCCAAGUUUCUAUACUUGGAGAUACUUAUAGCUACGGGAUACUGCUACUAGAAAUGUUCACAGGAAAAAGCCCUACUGAUGAUGUGUUUAUAGAUGGUCAAAGCAUUCACCGUUUCACAGCCAUGGCGUUGCCAGACCAUGUCAUGGACGUUGUUGACCGUUCAUUGCUCCUUGAAAUAUAUGAUCCGGAUGCUGAUGAUGAAGAAUACAACAAUGAAAUACAAGAAGGACCAAUUACAAAAUAUCAAGAUCGGAGCUCAGCCCAAGCGAAAAGAUUAGAGGAGUGCUUGGUUUCUGUGAUGGAAAUAGGGCUCGCAUGCUCUUCAAUAUCGCCCGCAGAGCGGAUGCCAAUGAAUGUUGUUGUUAACAAACUGAAGUCAAUUAGAGAAUCAUACCUCAAUCGAAGACGAACACGCUACUGAUGCUCAAGCAAGUAUGUUGCCUAAUUUAAACAUGUAUCCCCAUAUAUCAGCAAGCUAGUAUUCCACCGUUCGUUAUACGUCAGCUCUAAUUUUCUUUCGAUAUGUCUUUUAAUUUAAAACCAAUCUGCUUCGCAUUAGAAGGCAUUGCUCUCGUGUGUUUUUUUGUUUCUUCUCUUGCUUUGUACAUUACACGUUUAUAUAUUCAGUUCAAGCAGACGAUGUGAGCUUCUGAAUUUUUAUGUCUAUCUUUUGUAAACAUAUUCGUUAGUUGGUCCCAAGCUCGAUCUUCCUUCGCCACUGAAUAUAUCGCUUGUUAACUUUCUGUAAACCUCAAAAUCAGUUACAACUUUCCAUUCAAAAUUGCUUCUUUCGGUAUUGAAUUCCCGAAUAUUUGAGACAUUUGGAUUAUGAUGGUAGAGUCUAGCCCAUACUAUUUAUUCAAGAUUUAGAAAUUUAGAGUCUGUUUGGUAUUCUACUUGAAUCCAACUUUUAAACUCAAAAAUAAUUUUCAAGUUUUAUGCCUUAAAAACUUGUUUGGUAGGACUAUUUUCAAAAACUGAACUCAAGACUAACUUAAAAAUAUAGUCUAUUAUCUAAAAACAUAAAAAGUGAGUUUUUAGAGUUUUUAAACUUAAACUCACUCAUUUCUUUUCUCUCUCUUCUCCCCUCUCACUCCAAAUCUAUCUCUCUUUUCUUCUUCUCUUUAUUUUUUUUACACAUUUUUCGUCUCUCAUCCAAUCUGCUCUCUUCAUUCUCUCGGUUCUUUCUCUCACUUAUCUUCCUCUCUAUCUCGUCUGAUCCUCUCUCUUCUUUCUCUUUCCUUCAAUUAUCCCUUCCUUUCUUUCCUCCUCUUCUUAGACCUUUUUGUCUAGUUUAAGUCAUAAGAUUUAAAAAAUUUAAAUCGCAAACCAAUCAAAUUUUUAAGUCUUAAAAAAAGUUGUUUUCAAGAAAUGUUCUUAAGAAAUGUUUUGAGAAAUGAUAAAAAAUUUCAAAUAGAAUACCAAACAGGCCCUUAGUCACUCGAAGCCCCUCGAGCGUGAAACCCUGUCUAGAACUCCAAAGAAAUGCGCAAAUUCUUUAUUACUAUGCUUAUUUCAUUUCUUGCACGCACCCUUGUUUUCUCCUUCAAUAAAGUUCUCUGUAACUUACGUCACAUUCAUUUCAUGUUUUGAUACGACCUAGUAUCUACUAAUGGGAACGAUUAUAUGACAGAUUGUCUAACAAAGAUACUUAUGCUAUGUUUAAUCAUAUUUAUUCUUGCACGCACCCUCUUUGGAUAUGCGUUUUUUAGGCAUGUAGUAGUUUUGAUAUAUAUUUUUCUAAAAUUGUCAAAAAUAACUCAUAGAGUUACGAAUUCUCACAUCAUUGACCUUCCACCGCCAAGUUAUACUUUAUUAUUUGGGUGUAGUAUUGAAAUUUCUCAUCUUUUGCACCAAUGGACGUCGUACUAUGUUGAAUAAUAAAUCUCAUUUGAUUGAUGAUAGUUAAUUUUUUGUGUUAGAUGGAUGGAGGGGUCAUCGGUGUAAUAGCCUAUAACUUUAAAAAAAUAUUUUUGGUUUGUCAAAAAAAAAAAUCUUAAAAGGAUGUCACGUGCUAUACAUACGUUGGAAGUUAAAUUGUAGAGAAAAUAAAAAGAUAUUGACUGAGAGGAUUGAUUGAAAUUUCUGAAAAAGACAAAGUGGGAACCAAUCAACCCCUCACUCGACAUAUUUCAUAUUUUUCUUUUUAGGUCAUAUCAAAACCUUACACUUAAAAAUAAAGAAAACCAAAGUUUAAUUGAACCCUUUUCUUAUUUCCUUUGCUGGAGGGGGUUGAUUUGGGCAUACCAUUUUCUCCGUAACAAACACGUGCUAGCAAGCUAGUAGUGGGCUUUAUCAAGAUUUCAUAUCUAAUGGGUUUUGUGUAUUAUAGGCCCAAAAGGCUCUUCUAGCCAUCUAAAGUAGGUUUUUAAGCCAAAAUUCUCCCUGAGAUUUACAUAAUUCCUCAUUUUCGUUCUUGAGAUUUGAAAUCAAUAGAAUUGGUCUCUGAGUUUGUCCAUCAUCAAUCAUAUUGGUCCUUCAUUGAAAAAUCUUCAUUAAAUAAGAAUGGAAUGAUCGAAAUACUCUUAAUUUUUAUCAAAUCAUUUUGGCAUUGUUUAUUAAAUUGAGGGUAUAUUUGUUAUUUUGAUCCUUAUUUAAUAUAAUUUUGCACGAAAUAACCAAAAUGAUUGAUGGUGAACAAUCUCAUGAACCACUUAUAUUGAUUUCAAAUCUCAGGGGCCAAACGUAUUAUGUCAAUCUCAUAGAUCAUUUUGGCUAAAAAGCCAAAGAAAAUUAUAGGCACUUUCUCACGAAGUUUUCUUUAGUGUACAUCAAAAGUGCAAAUUUAUGUUGCACAUGUGAGCAACUAAAUUGUUUGAUCUAAUUAAAUUUAACGACUCUUAUUUAUAUAUAUAAUUUAGAUGCGCACUUUUCAUGUGCGAGAAAAUUCAACUUUCUGGCUUGAUUGAGUAAUUGACUGGGGAAAGUUGCCUUAACUGGAGGCAAAGAAUGCAAGUGAACGUGUCUAAAAUCCGAUCCAAAAGUCAUUCAGUACUACGGUCUGGUGGUAUUUCUCUUCACUUGGAAGUGAGAGGUCUUAAGUUUGAAUCUCGUGGAUGGCGAACUCGAUACCAAAUUAGGCUACCUAUUGUGUGACUUAACCGAAUUCUUCAUCUCCUUAGUAUAAAAAUAUUGACGUACUAAAAAAGUAAAAAAAAUUCCGACCCAAAAAUCAAAUAAUAUUUUCAGCCAACCCAACCCAACCCAAGACCAGGUCCAGCUAACUAGUAUUUUCAUUUUCCUCGGGUCGAUGACAACCCGGUAGCCCAGGCGGAAACCAAGGCCUAUGGCCCAUUUACCAUGAAAUUUUGCAAAGUUUUUAACAUUUAUAAAUUACCAAUAAAUGACCAUCAGCUGGGUCACGGACUCACGUGACACAAUAACUGUCCAAAGAGUAACUCCACUACAACUAUUUUUAAAUAAAUAAAUUUCCAAAAUUUUAUGUGAUCAAGUGAAGACUUGUAGACUUCACUUGUACCCAUGAGGGGUAAGCGAUGAGUUUUGGGGUUUUCUUCUUUAUCAAGGACAUUUAAAUAUUGCGAGGCCGAGAUAUCUCAAAAAUAUUAAAUAAUAAUAACUGUUUAUGAGAAGAUGGAGGGUACUCAAAAUAGACUGAACUAGAAGGACGAGAGAGGCUCAUGUUGGCCAAGUCAAUAGCAACAAAAUCCAUCUCACAAUAAGUACACGCCUAAUAUUAUAUGGUAAAUUACAUAAAAUUACCUCAACUAUUGGGUCACAAUUUCAUCCCCCUUCUUUAAAAAAUUUCAAUGUCAUACCUUAUCUUCGAAUUUGUUGCAAUGUCAUAUCUUCCGUCAGUUGUCUAUCAAUUCCUCUGUUAAAUGCUGACGUGGUUUGAGGCGGGGCUCAAUUUCUAUUAAAAAAUAAUAAUUUACCCUUAAAAAAAAACAAAAAAAACCAAACACCCAUCUUCCCUGACCCCUUCCCUUUCCCUGCAACCCAAAUGCAAAACCCAUAUCCCUUCCCCUUCCCUUUCCCUGCAAUCCCCGACCUCUUCCCCACACCCACAUCAACAUUUCCCCCCCCCCAGACCCACCUCCUAUUUCUCUGCCGCCCACCCCUCUCCCCAAAAUGGACCGACCCAGAUUCGUAAUCGAAGCCUCCCAUGCCGAAUCAAUGGCCAAGCAGUCCAACCUCACCGUCUUCCAGCUUUUCCCCUCUUUCGUCAAGUCCGCCCAGGCCCUCACUCGCCCCCCAUCUCCAAAUUCCACGUAGAAGCCUUCGGGUAUGAUUCAUCAGGUCGGAUCUUCCUCGGCAUCAACCUCGAGUUCUCGAGUCUCCCCCUCCACUACUCGGUCCACGUCGAGCAGUUCCUCGUCACCAACCUCUCAAUCCAAUUGAAAGAGGUGGGUCUGGGGGGGAGACGUUGGCGUGGGUAGGGAAGGGGUCGGGGGUUGCAGGGAAGGGGAAGGGGAAGAGGAAGGGAUCUGGGUUUUGGAUUUGGGUUGCAGGGAAAGGGAAGGGGUCGGGGAAGAUGGGUGUUUGGGUUUUUUUUUUUAAAGGGUAAAUUAUUAUUUUUUUAUUAUUUUAUUAUUUUAUUAAUAGAAAGUAGGCCCCGCCUCAAGCCACGUCAACAUUUAACAGAGAAAUUGACAGAAAAUUGUCGGAAGAUAUGACAUUACAACAAAUUCAAAGAUAAGGUAUGACAUUUAAAUUUUUAAAGAAGGGGUAUGAAACUGUGACUGACUUAAUAAUUUGGGUAAUUUUAUGUAAUUGACCCAAUAUUACCUGUGACGUUAUUUUGUAAUUUUCCUUUUGUCGGGUUAUUAUCCCAUUUACUUAUAAAAAAAAUAUUGAUCGAUGGUAAGUCUUGUAUUUGUUAAGUAAAAGUUAUCAUUUAUCCAUGUUAUUAUUCUAACAAGUUACUUUUUAUAGAUCGAGAGACGUAAUCUGAGCUUAGGAUCUUUCUCAAUAUCAUAAAAAGAAGUACCACUAAAAUAAGAGCUACUUGAUGUUUUAACAACCUUCAACAUCGAAAGAGAGAAUCGAACUUGCUAUCAAAGUUAAGCAAUAUGGAUCUAGAUUUGCUACUUAGCAUAGCUUAGAGGGUGUUGGAUAGAGGAAUUAGCUUCUCACGACUAAUUACAUAAUACUAGCGCCAACUUGCAUUUACCUAUAUAUAAGAUAGCAAGUGUAGAGUUUUAUCACAAACUGUCUCGGUACAAUGCACAAUAUAAUAAAGAUCUUCAUCAACAGGGCGACAAGACCAUUGGCACAUUACGGUUUCUUUCAACUAUCAAGUAAUACCUCCCAAUCACUGUCAAAUUUUGCAACCAAGGCUUAUCAUGUCUUUCUAUCAACCAGCAAGUAACUGAAAAAUCCACAAUUUUUGUCAUAUGAAAGUUGGAUUAAUGCAAUGAGUCGAACGACGUACUAAUCUCUCAAUGGUAAAAUAUUCAAUCCAACACUUGAUAGGCAUUAGACAUUUUCCUUUUUUGUUACAACAAUCAGACAGAGUCGACUGUGAUCUACUCUACCUUUGAUUCAUCAGCCACAAAUAUUCACAAGGCUCCUCUAAAGAAUGCAAACCUAAUGACGUGUUUAUGAAACCGGAAUGGAAUAGGAAGAAACUGAAUUGCACUUUUUGAAGCAUUCAUGCGCUUACCAACAUUUUAGUAACAAAUAAAAAAAGGUGGGAUCCACUCAAAAUCAAGAAUUGAAUUCCUAAAUCUCUUAGAAUUCGAUCGCCUUCAAGGAGGUGGUAUCCGGAUUCCAAAGAGAAGCCUCUUUUAGGAAUCCAAAUUUUCUACCUGAACUAUCCCUGCAACUUCUACCUUUCAGUCGAGUCAGCCGACUCCCUUGAACAUUCACCAGCUCAAUCUCAUCCAUCAUCGAUGGGUUUCAAAGCUGAAGUUUGUGAAGCAUAGGUUGUUGUUAGCAAAAAUUAGAUUUAGAACUUGUUUGGUGCACAUCUAGCGAAGACCAGAUAUAAAACUCGUUCAAUGUGCAUCCAGCAUUCCAAAUUCAACCAAAAUGUUUAAAUUAUUAGUAAUGAUAGAUGAGUGAAAGUUACUAGUUACUGGUUCAGCUUAAACCUAUUUAGGCACACCAACGUAACGUUUGCCACUUUUUUAGUGCUUACCAUUUGACACUAAAACAAUUUAAGGGUUGAGAUUGUCCGAUCUGAAAAAGCAGUCAUCACGGAGUAUAUGAUGCUCAAACAGUUAAAAAACAGUUGGUUGGGGUUGCAAAGCAAGAUUCGAUUCAAUUCAACCCAAAUUACCGAUGACGUGUCCCCAAGCUACACGUGGCAACAGAUCCGAUCCUUUAUCUCCCUACGGGGACCACACCGCUAUAUAUACCACUAGAACUGGAGUGCUCAUUAGAUAAAAAGUGACAGAGACCCCCACUAGCAAACAAUCCAAUACUCUCUCUCUCUCUGGAAAUCCAGAAAGCAACAAACUUUGAAGGCAACUCGGGAGGGUUGAUUCAGUGAGUCAGUGACCGAGUCAUGAGGACCCUGUCGAGUCCGAGUUCGAGGGUGGCGGCAGAGAAGAAGUGGGUCGGCGGAGAAAAUGUCUUUCUCCACAAGCUUGAACCUUGCUUCCUCAGGCCAAAGAGAAGCAGCGAGAAUUUCCGGUUCUUGAAUUUGGUGUGUUUUCUGAAACAGAGCAAGCCCAUCAGACCAGUCAUUUGCCUCUCGUCAAAAACCCAGGUGGAAUCUUUUUUUCGAUUUUCUGAAAACUUUUCGUAAUUGUUAUUUCAUUUCUUUGUUUUUUGAAAUUUUGAUGAAAUUCCCAUUUUUGUUUUCUCUGUUUUAAAAAUUUCUAGAAUAUGAUGUUGUUCUUGCUUUUUUGUGAUCAUUCUUUUCUUUGGGUUGCCAAGAAAGUUUGGAAUCGUGCUUUUUUGGGUUGGGAAAGUUUGGAAUCUUGCUUUUUUGGGCUGGGGCUAGAUUCUUAUUUUUUGUUUUUGUUUUUUGUAUGUUUAUUUAUUAUGGAGUAGAUUAUUAAUUGGCAGCUUUAUGAUGCAUUGAUUAUAUAAUCAUUUUAUUUUUUUAAUUUAUUUUUAAUCUUGUUCUUGAAGCAUUUUGUAUCAGAGAAUCAAUCAUGCAGUGUAAUCGGAUGUACAAUAUAUACAUAUACAUAUAUAUAGGUAUCUAUGUAUAUGUAUAUUAUAAUGUAUAUGUGAAUAUAUAUGUGUAUGUAUAUAUAUUAUAUAUACACAAAGCAAAAUGAUUGUCUAAGAUUUAUGAUCAGUCUAAUAAUUUGUUUUCAUUCUUUGGGAAUGUUGCCAUUUAAAAUAUUUCUUUGAAGAAAUUGUUUCCAUAUCAGAGAGUGUGAAUGGUGAUUAAGUAAUUAGAGAAUACCUUGCACUGAGAUAAUCAAUCUGAUUUCUGAGCACUCUCUUUGCAGACAGAAUUGGAGGUUGCAGAUUCUCAAAUGCAGGAAGCAUGUAAGUUCUUGCCUUUUCUUUUAAAAUAAUAUAUAUAUAUAUAUAUAUAUAUGUGUGUGUGUGUGUGUGUGUGUGUGUAUUUAUGUAUGUAUAUAUGAGCAUAUUAAUCUUACUGACAAUGCCAUGUUGUGCAGAUCAUACAAAAACUAUCCAUGUGAAAUUCCAGUUGCAGAAAGAGUGCUCGUUCGGUCAGGAGUUCCUCAUUGUGGGGGAUGAUCCUAUGUUCGGUUUGUGGGAUCCUGCAAGCGCAAUACCGAUGAACUGGUCAGAUGGGAAUGUGUGGACUGUUGAGAUGGUGAGUGAAAUCUACUAACAAGUGCAAUUUUUUUGUUAGGUGAAUACCGGAUUUGUAGUUUAAUGUAAGUCUUUGUGUUUGAUUAGGAUAUACCAGUUGGGAAAUCGAUUCAGUUCAAGUUCAUACUAAAAGAAAGCACAGGGAAUAUCUCGUGGCAGCCUGGCCCUGAUCGGAUUUUCCAGACCUGGGAAACUAAGAAUGCGAUCACUGUUUGUGAAGACUGGGCAGAUGCUGAGCUUCAGAAAAUAAUAGAGGAAGAUCAUGUUUCAGAUGAAGGCGAUGGUUCCAAUGUUAAUGCAGAUAUGUUGAUUGUGGAUGAGAACCUGACACAGCCGAAUGAUGAACUGGCCUUCAAUAUAACCAAUGAACCUACGAUCACCAGUAGUAACACUGAUCCGGCAGAGAAGCCAUUAGUGGAACCAUGGAAGGAACAAAUUGGUGCCAGAAAUGGUUCUCCUUCACAAGAGAAUGUGACCCCUAAAUGGCCAAAUGCAUACGUGGAACCAUAUGAGGAACAAUUUGCUGCAAGAGCUGCAGUGCUUAAUGAAGAGAGAGUUAUUUUUCCGAGUGAGGAUUGUGCAGCCAUCUCAAGUAAGGAGUUGUUGGUGGCAGACAACAUUUUCGGAAAUAAUGGUGGAGCUGCAACAGUUGAACCUUUCAAGCACUCAAAUCGGGGGAAGUCUAAUUAACUACGAAGAAGGUCCUGUUCUGGUACCUGGGCUGACUCCUUCACCAGCUGUUCCAACUGAAGAAGUGAACAAAGAGGGCAUCGACAAACAGAUGUCUUUUGAUGGUUCGGUUGGAGCCUUUGAAGCUAAGGAUCGUAAUAUGCCAGAGGUAACUGCUUGAUGAGAGUGACGUAUCUUUUAUCUUUUUCUGUUUCUUCUUGUACUGCAUUUACCUCAUCCCUGAAAUAACAAUCCAUUCCUUUUCCGUAAAACUGCAAGUUGUCCAGGGCUAUAGGAGAGAUUCUUUACUACUAGCUAGUUUUUGGUUUCAUCUUGUAUGUUGUUGGAAUCUAUGUUUUCCUUGAAGAGAAGUUCAUGAUGAUGAUGUAUGGCAAGGCAAUUAUUUAAUUUCAUCGAAAUUGAGCAAUUGUCCAUAAAUUCUCAUGAAGAAAAGUUCAUGUUUUUAUCUUACAAUCAUUAACCAACAAAGUAGACCAUCUUCGCACAAUAUCAUUGCAGUGUAAUUAACGUUGUAAAUAUAAAUCCCGGGCCAAGUAUUCUCCUAUUGCAAAUCGAAACUGCGCUGUCUGAUUCAAAUUGAAACUAUUAACACUCUGGAAUAUGACACCGAAUUCUCUAUCAAGCAUUUCGUUUAUAUAUUUUGUUUCUGCUGGCAAUUCAUGAGCAUUUCCAUAUGGUCAACUAUUCAUAUGUAGAGGGACCCUAUUCCUAAAAACAUAUGAAAGAGUUCAUAUAAUCAUAAUUAUGAUCAAAGUUAGACUGCCGAUGCGUAAGGCGAUGUAUUGUUGCCGAACAGCAGUAUUUGAUAUAGAUGUUCUUCUCCCUUGAUUAUGCUAUUAUUGAUGUUCUCCUUUCUGUUAUCUUUUCAUGCCCUCAAACAAAUGGUUUCAGCUAGAAGUGAAGCAAGAACAGUACAGUGACCUACCUCAAGAAGUAACAAAUGUAAUGAUCAACGCUAAUGGGGGGAAUUUUGACGAUGAAAUCAAGCAAACGCCUCACCCUGCAAAUAAGGAAGAACAGUUCCACUCAGAGCCAGUCAAUGAUAAGGUCUUGUGCAGUGACCAACCUCAAGUGGAAACAGCUGCCGCAAUCAAUGAUAACGAAGAGAAUUCUGCUAAAAAGGAGGAACAGUCCGACUCAGAGCCAAUCAACGAGGUCUUUCAGAAUGAUGUGCAAUGGGGUCGUAAGAUGCUGCAGAACCUUCUGUCUAACUUCAGAUUGCUAUAGCAUGCACAUUGCCGAUAACCUGGGAAGAAAUUUAGGGAAUUCAUUUGAGCCCGUAACUCUCCUGCUUUGUUGCUGAUGUUUUCUGGUAGCCUACAAAGAGUAGAGAGAGGCAAUCUUAUAAGCAAACUGUUAUAUGUGCAUAUGAUAUGAACAUAGUUGCUGAGAGAGUAUUGCCACUUUCCUGUGCUGUAAGAGUACUCAGGUUUUUGUUUCUUUUAGUUUGUCAUGUAAAUAUUUGUACCGGAUACAAAGUUCUGUAAAGCUUCCUCACAAUGCUGAUUUUGGUAAGGAUUUGGUACCUUCUUAGAUUCGAAUAUCAUGAAUGGCAGAUUCAAUACCACAUUAAGUUGUCCAUUGUGUGAUUUAACCGAACUUUCCCCUCCAUUAGUGUAAAAAUAUCGACGUACUCCAAAAAAAAAAAAAAAAAAAAACCUCUUUUUCCAACCAUCAAUAUUCCUAAACUGUUAGUGAAUCAAUUUAAAUAAUUUCCAAAAAUUUAAAAUUAGAACUGAAAAUAAAAAAACCACCCCAACCAACUACUCACUCAACUCCAACACCACCCAACACCUUCUGCUUAUGACGGCCUUGACGUAUCAUUUUUCCCGUGUGGACUUUCUACGUAGGAUUGUAAAGGGUGAGUUUUCUGAAAUGGAUGGCUGAGCUCUUUUCUUUUCUUCUUAUUUUUUAUUUUAAUUUUUCAGUUGACAACUUCUUCCAAUUUGAAGAAAGCCAUGUGUUCUCUUUGCGUUUUUAAUUUUUCUUUUUCUUUUUCUUUUUCACCAUAUCCUAACAUAUUUUUGGGGCAAAUGACUCCCACUUUUCUUUUCUUUUUCUUCACCCCUCGUUCAUUUCUAACACCUGGAUUGGAUAAAUCAACAGAAAAUCGAAUAAUAGAAGUGAAACAUAUGGGGUGUGCGAAAAUCAUUUCCAGACUCAAAAAUAAGGUCGAUAUUUAAUUUACUUCUCCAGCGAUCAGGGACAGAGCUAGAGCUUCUUACAUACUCGGAAUCUGUUUGUAUCUAUACAGCCCGAUUACAAAGAUAAAAAGAUUUUAAAAGGAAGCAAACACAAUGCCAUUAUUUAUCGACUUUGACGGGAUAACAAAUUUGUUACACGUCUAGGGAACAAGAUGGGUCUCAAAUUUCAGUUUCCAUGCUCAAAAUCUUAUGAUCAACCACAUUUACGUAAAAUAUUUGGAGGAAGAAAAUGUGUGUUGUAUUCGAAUAUGGCAAUCCCCAACCUCAAGAUUCACGACGAUGUAUGCAAGCAAGAAAAGAUGGAGCAAGAUGAAAAGAAAUAUAGCCCACCUUUCCACCAACAAAACUUACACAUACGCCUCAAGAAAUAUAGCCCUGGCAAUAUUGAAACCAGCAUUCCGAAAGGGGAAAAGAUAUUCUGAAUGUACAAGAUGCCAGAGUCGUGCGCCUCAAAACGCCAAUCUUUUCAAUUUUACUUGUUCCCUUGUUUUCCAAAUCUUCAAGCUAGUGCUAAAAUUGGGAGGCUGGGAAGAGAUGGAGGCACUGAACCUCUUCGAGACCUCCGUUUCGUUUGUGAGGAGAGGAAGAAUGUGCUAGCAGGAGCCUUGAUUGAAACGACUUCGGUCUCAAAGUUUGUCUGUAACCCCAUUCUUCUGUUGCCGUGAAAAUGAUAAACUUCGUGAACCAUGCAGUAUUUCUUCCUUGGAUCGUUUUGCAACAGACUCUAUCAAUCUGCAAAAGGACGGUGGUAAUGAAAAAUUUUGGGGUACAAGGAUUUGUGAAAUAAGAGCAAUGAACUCAUAGAUCGUUUUAUUAUUCAACAAAGUUCCAUGAGAAUAUCGGGGCCUUUUAUUCUAGAUCCCAGGCAGUGUCUGACCAUCAUCUUGUCCUAUUCAUCAAUCUUACAGAUACACAAUUUGCGUAUAGGCUAGAAGUUUGCUUUGUUUGCCUUCUAGCUUACAGCAGCGGCAAGCGGGGAAAAAAAACAACCUCAUUGAAUGCUUCAUAAUGGACCAUGAAGACAUCCAAUAAACAAGCAGAAAGAAGCAGCCAAAAAUCAACAUUAACCAUAACUUGGCCGUACUCUGUCCAGCCAAGAACCCUUGAGGAUUCCAGAAUUAGCCCAGAAAAUAACAAAGGAACUCAGUUUCGGACAUGUCUCGACUCAAACAGGGUGAAAAGAAGCGUAAUGUUACCUUGGGGAACUGGCACGCUUUAGAACUUGCUGACUCACCGUAAAAGUACUCCCCGGUUCAACUUCAACAGCCUGUAUAUUUCGCAUUGAAAACACAGGAAUUUAAUCAGGAAAUUCAACAUAGUCAAAAAGUUUACACGCUAGAUUGAGGUCUCCUGUUUUCUAUUCCUCCAGAAAAGGAAGAAACUUUGGGUUCAGAAGCUUCCCUUUCACAGGAGGAAAAAGGAGAUGGUUUCCACAAUGCACAAGUUAGAUCCGGCACAAACAUUGGGAAGAAAAAUGAAUCUGUGAGAAGUUUAAAACGAGUCUAUGUGAAGUUUAACAUUCAACUAGAAGUGAUAAUGGUGAUGAGGAUGUCUAAAAACCUAUCGAUUGAGGUACGGAAUAAUUGUUCAUUCAAACCAAAAAGAGAAAAGAACAUAGCUAAAUCACGCACAUUGGAAUACUUGGAUAACGGGUAGAAAUGAGGGACUGACAACCAAGCCCAUACCUUUCAAAACAGGAAUUGAUGGAGCCAAUAAGGCAGCAGUAGCAGACAUUGAAGCCAGCUCAAUCCGCUUUCAGUGUUUUAGCCAUCACAUCUUUGUCAGAUGCAAAAUUCAAAAUGGGAGUGGUUCUCCUUUCAGUGUCUUGCCCACAUACCCUUUAUCCAAGCAUCACCUAUGUUUUUAAACAUUGAAAAUCAAAUCAACUAAUGAAAGCAUCAUCAAUUAUCCCCACCUCAGAAGUGCUUUCUGUAGGCAAUCCAUCCCUUAGUAGCUCAGCUGAUCCUGGACCAACCAUGUCCAAUAGAAAUCCGUUUUCGUUUCCUUUAUCUAAAUCUCUGUCCACGACACCAGUAUGAGGUGCAAGAUAUGCAGCAUAUUUAUCUGCCAUCCCACACACGAAAUAUAUUCAGCACAUGCGAACAAAUACAUCUCAAAAUAUUGCAAGGAAAAAAGAAACUUGUGGUUUUAAGAAUAACAUUACCAGCCAAGCUGUGAAGGGCAUUCUCAGCAGCCUGUUGUUGAGCAUCCUUCCUCGUCCUACCCGUUCCAAAACCUAUCUUCUCUCCAGUGAAAAGAACCUUUAAAACAAAGUUAACAAUUAGCACAUUAGAGUCCAAAACUGAUAAAAGAUCGCUCCUCAAAUCAAAAUUAAAACAUAAAUACAAAAUGUAUAAACAAACAAAUUGAGAAGGAAGCAAAGUCUUGAAUUUUUCUCCAAGUUUUCUCUUUUCGUUCUACCAAACUAAAAAACAUUUUUUUUAUGACUCCGUAUUAUUGAUUUGACAUUUUUUUUCUGACUCUGUAUUAUUGAUUUGUUCUGCUUAAGAAAGAAAUAUGACAAAUCAGGGUCAGCUUAUGUUAGGAAACACCACACCCUAAGACAACAUUUUAGUUUUACAAUAUCUAUUGUUUAUAUAACUAAAUCAUUUCACAACAACUUCAUGCAUUUAACGCAUGUAAAUAAUAAGUACAACAGCCGUGAUGUAAAUAAGUGGUAAAAACUACCAAAGUACAAAGGGAAAAAAAGUAUAGAAGGAAAGUUCACUGACCUCAACAGAAAACUGCAAAUCGUUGCUGGUGCUUAAAACAGACCUGAACUCAAUCUGAGCAACGGGCAACAUCAUGAUAAACUCCGUUAGGAAAAAUAAGAAGAGAGAAGAGAGAGAUAGGACGGAAUGGGGCACUGCGUUGGGGAGAUAAAACUAAAGCUAUUUGUACCUUUGAACUGCACCUCCGUCCAAUUUCCUGCAGCACUCCAAUAGAUAAAGGGGAUGGCAGCAGGGUCACUUUACCAGAUUCUAUUUGAGAUUCUCUAUUCAAAGAAGAUGCUUGAUUCUGGGAUACACCAGCCUCUGCACGAAAAAACUAGGUUAUAAAACGAUAGGUAUCACUCAUAAAAAGAACCAUAUACUAUUAAUCCUAAAGGAAGAUUAUAACUUAAAACCAAACAAAGGCGAAUGAUAAUCCUAUUCCCAUCCUCCAAGUUGUGAGGUUGGAUAACAGGCUAAAAUUAAAACGAAAGGAGAGAAAGAUAAAGAUGAGAGGAAGGCUCAUUAGGCACAAAGCAUAAAAUUUUCAGUCUCAAAACCGACACAACAAUAAUCUAUACUAAAAUGGAAGGACAGUAGCCUCGGACUCUCGAUUUCUUCUUAAUAUCUCAAAAACAUUCCUCAUAUAAACUUCAAAAUUAAAAAGUAUAAUGAUGAUUAGGCAGCAAGCAUUUCAGAAAAGAAAACCUUUCAAACCGCUUGAGAGAACAAGGACACAUCAAAAGGAAACUUAACAAUCUAUAUCUAAGAUUUUCCAAGGUCCAAGGAACAUCAACGUCUCGCAUCUAUGUUUAAAAUUUGUAAAUAUAUGGAUUAAUGCAUUGACCACUCAAAUCCAACACAUCAUUCAAUGGAUCUUACAAAUCCAUAUGAUGCUUUCCAUUUGUUUGACAAUCUCUUCUCAGGUUACUUAACUUGUGCAUGAAAAAGAGGACAUAAGAAGACUCAUUUGCACAGAGUGUACCAUGAUACUUUGACUGCAAGCUAUAGUGUUAUUCUAUAAUAUCAUCAAGGUGACAUGACCCAAAAUACAAUACAAAGCUCAGCAACCUACUAUUCAAAAGAUGAUGGCUAGGAAGUGAAAGAUACAUUCUAAUGAAAUCAUCCAAUUCAUUCCAGUUCGACAUGUAGGUUUCUAUACCAGGCGAUAAAGUAAAUUACCUGAAGGCUGACUUGGAAAAGGAAGAUUCUGUUUUUGCAAAUCACGCCCAGAAGAUACCUGCAAAUAGAGAAAAUUUUAAUCACUGAGACAUUUCUGGAAUUCUUAUAGUAACACCUUAAUUCAAAUUGUCAAAACAAGUGACUCCGAAAGAAAUUUAACAAAUUCUGGACAUACCUCUUCCCUCUUCAAAUCGGAUUUGUGUGAGAGCAAACCAGUGGGUGUAGAACCUGGUGUGGCAGGACCGAAAGGAUUCUGGUAAACUGACUUUUCAGGUUUUGAAACACCAGGCUGUUGAACAAGCUCAGAAGUGUGAUUACUCGAAUGUCCUCUGUUGUUGUCAUCAUCAACCAACCAUCCUCCUUGUGCAUUUAUUGAGGAUGCUGGCAGUUGUCCAGGCACUUUAGAUAAAAGAGGGGGCUCAGCAGAGCUUUGACUCCUUAUAUCUAGACCAGGAUUUGUACCAAGGAGUCCUCUCCUCAUCUCAUGGUCACGAUCAGAAAAGCUAUCACGUCUAACAGGAAGUCCAAGCAGACCAGGUUUCUGAGAAGGUAUGACCGGCCUCAAAGAUGUCGUACCAGCAGCAUUGGGAAGAAUUGCAGCCAGUGCUUGAGAGUUGUCAGAUCUUGACUCAGCAUGAUUUUUCACAGAAUGAACCACCGACUCCACACCACCCUUAUCAUCAGAUAGGUUUAAUCUUCGUUCCACUUCGACACCAUUCAUUCCUUCACUAAUGGGAGCAUUAGCAUUUCCAUUUGGUGCAAAACCAGCAUCCUCGGACAUCAAGUAAUUGCUCACAUCAGGAGCAGGAGGCAAAUUUACCACCUCAUCUUCAUAAAAAACUCCAGAAAUUCUUCGCAACAAAAUUUCAUCAAACUCUUUGAAAAAACAACCUCUGACAUUGCAUGCAACAUUUCUUGCUACACAGAGGACUGGAACUGCACUAGCUGUCUCUGCUUGAGGAGCAUAAUAUGGGCUGAAAGCUGGAACAACAUGGACUCGAGGUUGAUCCUUAUCUUCCCAGACAUUGGAACGGUCAUCAAUAACCAUUGCCAUCUUUGGAUGGCACACUCCUUGUUGGAAGACAUUCAGUAAAGAUUUCUUGGAGCCUGAUUUAACACAAACAACACGGUCCAGAAGUUGCUUUGAGCCUAUUAAGUGUGACCCUGGGUCAAGAAGCCUCCACAUUUCUAAGGCAUAAUCUCUUUCAGCCAUAGUACAGACGUAAACUUCAAACCUCUUGCGUCCUUUUGCAGUUAAAUAACUUCUCAAAUCUUCCCAUGCAGGUCGUAACCGCACAAGCACACUGGUAUCACGAAUCUGCAUUAAACAACAAUAUUGUAUUGUAGUCUUUUGCACACUUGCAUGAGAAUAUGUAGCUAUAUUUGCAGCUACUAUGACGAGAUUGACUUAUCAGUUAUCACUCAUUCUACUUUUUUGUAAGAUGACAGUUGUUUUACUAAAUAACUUCUAAAAGCUCCCUGACUAAUCAAACUGCCACAUGAAUUUUGGAUAACUCAAGGGAACAUAUCGCACAGAUGGGUGAAUGUAUCAAUGGAUCUAAAAGUUAACAAACAUAUGUUGAUCAAAAAAGCACUGCAAUGUUUGGAAAACCUACCGAGGUUUAGCCAAAUGAAAAAAAAAAUCUAAAUUUCUGCAAACAACAUUAGGCUACACUCCUAGCAUGCAGCUAAAUUAUCUCUGCCUAAAGAACACACUACGUAGUUUUCAUAAAUUUUACAUUAGGAUGGUGUUGUUCUCAAGUCCUAGUAAUGAAUGAUAUUACAACAUAUUGUCUCAAUGCACUCAUUCAUUAUCUUCAAUAACAGCAUUUAGGGUAUUGAAUUCCUAUAAAACAAAAGGGAAACAAACAAAUAAAACAUACAGAAAAAAAAAAAACAUGACUAGAGGAUCACCUCGGGAUUGAUGCGAGUGAGCACAAUGUUCUUCUCUGGCAAUCUAAUGAUAGGCCGAAUCAUUUUUUCAUGGUUAUCAGACAGUGGAGGAACCUCCUCCAGUUGAACUUUAUACAACUUUCCAUUAUCCAUCACACAAUCGUUAUCUAUAUAUUGCUUCAACAGCCACCUCUCGUCCAUGUACCGCUUCAUUUCAGCAGACAUUCCAGCUAUUCGCACCCCAUCACUCUCCCGUCCAAUCCAACUUCGUAAAGCCUCGAUCCUAUCCUCAAAAGACUUCAUGGUGUUGGCAACAAUCAACGUCUCAUCGAGAUCAAACACAAUUGAGAGAACCCUCAGAUUCAGCAUUCCUAGAGAAGCACUGUACAGACCAACAGGAACCGCAUAGCACCAAAAGCACGGAAAUUUCUUCUGCUUACUCGGCAUGGCUACCAAGUGAAUCUCCUCAUCCCCUACCAACACAAUCGCCGUCUGCUUAAGACAAUGAAUCACCUUAUUAGUACACUCCGCCUAAUUAACUCGAAAAAAAAAACAAAAAAAAACAAAAUCUGGAUCACAUUCUUGAUUUAACCACGAUACUAACUGAGCUAACUUUACUAGGUCAGUUAACUAACCGUUAUCCAAUCAAAUUACCUCCAAAAACUUCAGAUUAAAAUUUAUGUGCUGCCGGUACAUUUUCUUGGGAGCCAAACAGAAAGCUCAAUCUAAACAAUCUAUAUAAACAAAUGCAAACAUCGAAAAAUGGAAGCAAUUGAGUGGGAACCUUGAACUCGUAGAAGCAAGAGGCGUGGAGAUUGAUCAAAUGCGGCUGUUCGACAGGGGAGGCCGAUUCGAGUUUGCAGCGAACAGAAAACGAGGAAAUCGUCUGGAGAAUUGAGAGCGGAGGACACCUCUCGCUUUGCUGCGAAAUCCGGUGGAUUCGAAUCUCAUUGUUCGGGAACCGGAAAUUCCCGUCCGUCACCGGAAUAGCGUCCAGCUCUCCCAAACGCAGCUCGCCAUGGUAGACUACGGACUUGAACCCUAAACGGCUCAUUAAUUUAGAUCAAAUUUGAGAGGGAAAGCGCGAAGAAUUUGAGGUCAAAUCGUAAAUGUUGAAAAGAUCAGGGGGGUUUCUGUGAAAAAUUGGGAAGUAAUUCUCCAGUUUUGCUAUCCGCUCCUCCUUUCUCUCUCACUCCUCUCAGACCUCUUCGCUCUCUCUCUCUCUCUCUCUCUCUCUCUCUCUCUCUGCCUUCGGUUUCAAACAAUGAGACUCGCCGGGUAUUUAUAUGCCCAAGGGGGCAGUUAUGUGUCCGAAAUUACCAUUAUAUCCAUUCAGCCCGGAAGUCCGUUGAUUUCGGAUGGCCGCCUCUGGACCGUUUGAUCAAAGGUAGGAUUUUGGACUUUUGCGCACCUUUAGUUUGUUUUUUUUUUCUUUAAUAAGGAGAGACAAUUGACACAAUUAUCUAUCAUUUUUUAGAGCCGGAAGACUCACAAAUGUAUUUCAGCAUUUUCUUAACCAGAGUCAAGUAGACUCACUAGUUUGGGUCUUGAACCCGAAAUCUCCUUGUCCUUUUAUAUUUUAAGAGCCGAAAUUCGCGCCCUUACAAUUAGAUCACUGUUGUGGUUUGCGAAUCUUUUAGUUCAAGAUGCAUAAAGUUAUAAGGUAUUAUAUUUUAAUUAUUUUUGGGUUUAAUUCUUUUUUAUAUUUUAUUUUUAAUCCAUGGGAAUAAUUUAAUCUUUAUCAGCUAAUCAACGGAAACCAGGCUGAAUUUUGUUGUUAAUUAACCGUGGUUUAAAAAUUUAAUCUUAGUAAUGUUGGACUAUUUGUAAUUUUAUAUGAGGUCCAUUGGGCUUUAUUUAAAUGGGCCACUAAAAAUUGCUUGCAGUAACUUGGCCCUCAAAAUCCAAUUAGAAAACCCAAAUAGCAUCUGACAACUCAAUUUAUUGAAUGGAAAAAACCAAAAAACCAAUUAUGCAACAGAAUGUUCAAAAGCUUUUAUUUCAUAAAUAAGAAGUUGUUAGCUUAGUUGGGCUAGUUUGGUAUUGUUGUAUUUUUUGAAAAAAAAAAACUGUUUCUGUUGUACGAUGAGAAUAAACAGUUGUAAAAUAAAGUUGUUGAGUGCUUGGUAAACUUUUUUUUUGUAAAAGUGCUUUUAACCAAAAAAAAUGUCCAAGUGUUUGAUAAACUUUUAUAUAAAUUAUUGUGAAUAUGUAAAAUGACUAAAAAUAAUAUGGAAUUUAAUGUGAUAUUAAUAAUUGUGACAAAGAAUAAUGCAGGGGCAAUCACUGUAAUUUUGUAAUAUAUGUGGAGAUAUAUUUGUCAUUUGAUAAUUCCAUUAAAUGAGCACUGAUUACUAUGCUUUGAAAAAAAAAAACACUUUUUUUCAGAAGCAUGAUAAAACCUGCCCUGAUUUUUUAUGAUUUUCUACUGUCACUUACAACAAUUUUUUAAAAAGUACUCUUUUUUUUUAUUUUACCAAACACAUUUUAUGUUCCAAAUCUGUUAAUAAGCUUCUUUUUUAAAAAGCACCACAAUCCAAAACCAACCCUUAACUAAAAACACCUCUUAUAUUUGAGGUUCUAAGUUCGAUUUCUCCUCCUUGCUAUUAUUUGUAUUAAUUUUUUUUGAGUUUUUAUAAAUAAAAAAAUAGUUCAACCUCUUCAAGCUAGCCCCUGCAAUUGAAAAUCGUUCAAUAUAUUCCUUGAAAAUGGGUGUCUCAAAUUAGAGUGGUUCUUCUGUCACAAUUCUGUCAAAGAUUUUAUUAUGUGUUGAUGUGGCACAUAAUCAGAUUUCAUAAGUCUAAUUAAAUAUUACUAUGUGAAAUUAAAAUAUUUAAAUAAAAAAGAUGUAUAAUUAGGCAACGCACGACACCACACUGAUAAGACAAACAUGGUUUAGCAUAAACCUAAAUCUCGAACGAAGGAUGUGAGGGUCGAAUCACGCAUGCGGAUUUCGCCCACUUAAUUCACUUAAUGGCGAACACUAAUCAAUCUAGAGAAAUGUUGAACAAAGAAAAAAUGUUCGUGAGAACUGUUGCCACAUAAGCCAAAAAUGAUGUACUUUGUCUUAAGUUACCCGACUGUAAAUUGGCUCGAAACAGUUUGAACUUGUACCGAUUUCUACUUGUGUUUGGCUCAUCGAAGCUCGACUCAUGAAAGAACCAAGCCAAGCAUAGUUCAGCUUGAUUAAAAAAUAAGUCAGACUUGAGCGUUAGUAUGUUUGCCUUGUAAAACUUGUGAACAACUCGAAAUUUUUCAUGAGACAGGUCAAGGUAAGCUUGAGCUUGGCUUGGUCAUUCAAGCUCGACAACUCUUGAGAAGUACGUAUCUAGAGUCCCAAGUCUAACUCAAUUAACAAAGGGGUGUGAUUUCCGUACACCCCAUUUUACUUCUCACAUAUUUUUUAAUUUCAACCGUCGGAUCAGAUGAAUUGAAGAAGAUUAACGAACAAAAAUUAUCAAGGGGUGUGUGAGAAGUAAAAUGGAAUGUGUGGAUAGCACACUCCUUAACAAAACAAAGAAUAGCCAUUUAAUAUUACGAUCUGGCUACGGUCUAAUGAUAUUCUUCUUCACUUGAAAUGAGAAAUCUUAGGUUCAAAUUUAUAGAAUUGUGAGUUCAAAACUAAUUUAUUCCACCCGCUUACCGUAAAUAUAUUGUUGUAAUAAGAAAACCUAGAAAUGAUACUUUGAUGGGGGUUCUUCCUCGUGGAACCAAGUACAAAUAGGACUUCAUGGUUGUCGCUCAAAGAAGCCCAAACCAUACAAGAAGAUAAGUAAAAAUCAGCAACCGCUUGCAUACUAUAAGCUUUGUUACUCAUUUUAUACUAACAAAUAAAAGGAAAAAUGUGAAGCAGCCAGAGGCGGAUCCACAUAGGGACCAGGGAGGUUCCAGGACCUCUCGACGAUCCUAAAAUGCUGCUAUAAUUUUUUCGGGGGACCCCUCGACGAGAACACAAGGUCUAUGCUGCAGGUUGCAAUAGAGAAGAAGACAGCGGGGUUGCGGGGGAGAAGAAAGAAAACAGGGUUUUUUAAAAAGUUGGUCCAAAACGUAGUGUUUUGGCCUUUUUUUUGUUGUUGUUAAAAGCUAAUGAGACAAAUGGUGCCGUUUGUCAAUUGUCCAUGAUUCCAUACGUCUAGCCCCACAUGGGCCAUCUUUCCAGAGAGUCCCUUUCCUUUUCCCGUUCCGUUCCUCUGCUUUUCCCCCCUAAUCCCCAUCUUUCUUAUAUUCACCCAAAACCCUAAAUUUCUAAUCCCACCCAAUCCCGUAUUAUAAUUAUUAAUUACAUUACUUCAAUAUCAUACCUCCACUUGUUUCAAUUCUCCAAGCCACCACUAUUUGGUUCAAAAUUCAAUUAAGUUUUUUGGUAUUCUAAUCUAAUCUCAAUUAAAUUAUAUUAGAUAUUGGUGGAGAUUUUUAGUCUAUUAUUGAUAUGAUUGUUGAUAUGUUUUAUGUUUGUAUACUCAUUUUAUAAUUGAAAUUUAGAUGGAAUUUUUGUUUAUUGGUUGAUUGGUAUUUGUUUUGUGUUUUUGGUUAAAUGUGUAGUUUAGAAAUAAGAAAUAUGGAACGAUUUUUCAAGCCAAAGCCAAUAGCACCAUUGACUUGUUCGGAUAGUUCGAGCAGACAAAAUGAGUGUGACAUUGAUUUUAAUAAUCUUGAGAGAGACCGGGAAAAAGAAUUUGAAUGAAGGACUAUCCUUCUAAUAUUCAAGAUGAGAUCCGAAAAGCAUAUUUGCAAAUGGGACCUUGUAGGCCUACAAAGUAUGACUUCCCAUACACUUUGAAUGAAAUGUAUUAUAUUUAACUUUUCAAUGUUAUUUUUAUUUAUAAAUUUUUUUGACCUCUAUUAUUGGGACCCCCCGAGUUUAAAAUCCUGGAUCCGCCACUGCAAGCAGCCGGGAACUUUAGCAACGUUCCAGCAAACAGUUGAACGAUACCGUGCAAAUGAUCAUCUCGGAAGUAUUUGUGUUUCAGGAUCGUCAAAGAUCAACGAGCUGGUGGAAGUUAUAUCAGGGUUUGCUGUUGAUUUCUUGCGUGACUGAGAUGAUGACGAUGUCUCCUCCAAUGAACUGGUACCGCCAAAUUUUCCAGGUGCAUGCAUCCUCGGCCUUGGUUUUGUUAGUGCCUUCUCAUGUUUCAAUCGGAAGAGGACGUUUAUUAACGAUUGAAAUGCAUAACAUCAUCAUUCAGCACCUGGGAAAUCAUAAGUACCUUCUCGUUUAGGUGGACCUCUUUGGAAAGCAUUUCCACAACUUGCGUCAUUGUUGGUCUCUGUUGCGCAGUGGCUUGAGUACAAAACAGCGCAACCUUGAUGAAGCGCAUAACCUCGGCCUCUGGAUAUGCAGUCAAUUCUGGAUCAACAAGUUCCAGGAGCCUUUCUUCUUCUCUUAGUUUCCAUACCUGAAAAAGCAUUUAUACGAUUGUCAAGGUACUCGGAAUAUACCUCUUGUAAGUAUGUUUUACAUUAAGAUGAAUGCACGCAGAACAUCCUGUUAACGACCAUUGCAUCAAAACAUGAAAAGGGUUUCUAUGAUUCAUUGCCUAAGAAUUUUGUACUUUGUCUGAGCACAAUGUAAAAAUUUAUACAUAACAGAAGCAUACCCAUUCGACGAGAACCAGCAGUUGCUCCCCAAAGGCUACCUUACUACUACUUCUGCCACUAAUUAUCUCAAGCAAGAGCACCCCAAAGCUGUACACAUCUGCUUUCUUCGUAAGUUGUCCCAAAAGCGCAUAUUCUGGGGCGAGAUAUCCCCUGCAGAAGCAGAACAUUAUUGUUGUUAGUGCACAAAACAUUAGUAGGAACAUCUAUAUUAUAUCAGUUGCUAAUGGCUAUUGGUUCCUACUCUCCUACGCAGUAUGCACUACAAGAUUAUUGACUAAAUUUCUGGCAGAUUAAGAGCAACUAUGUACUUCGUAAACCCUGAUACUGAAUUGAACUUGAAGUUAGUACUCGAUCAUAUUGGUUAUUCAUUUUAAGGAGGAAACCUCCAACACACCACAUUCAAAAACUAAUUUCUGAACUACAUAGCUGGGUUGCAGUUAAAUUAAAUGUUAUAAGAAAUUCUUACUCCGUUCCAGCUACUCUAGUACUAAGAUGAGUGACAUUAUCAGGAAAAAGUUUUGCCAGCCCAAAAUCUCCAAUUUUAGGACGAAAAUUUGCAUCAAGAAGUAUAUUGCUAGCCUUGAUAUCUCUGUGGACAAUUUGCUGUUCAGCUUCCUCGUGAAGGAAUGCAAGACCGGUAGCUGUACCAAGGCAAAUCGAAACUCUCGUUGGCCAAUCUAGAAAAACAUAUUUACUUCUCGAACCUGGAAAGAUAGUUGUUGCAUAUUAGCAUAUACAGAAUGUUUGACAGAUUAGAAUAAAAGGGAAAAACGAUGAGAUAAACGGCUCAACUAAGCGGGUUAAAAAUCAUGUCAAUCCCCCCGCGGGUGGGUGAAAAAUUAACUUUAGAAAAUGAAAUCUGAGGUAAAACAUAGAACUUAAAUAUUCCAAUAAUUACCAAGCAAAGAUCUAGAAAGACUGUUGUUCUCCAGAUAUUCAUAUACCAAUAUCCGAUGGUUGUCCUCCACACAGCAACCAAGGAGCUCAACAAGGUUUGGAUGUCGUAUACGCGAUAUCACAUUAAUCUCUGUCAAAAAUUCAUUUGCUCCUUGUCUAGAUUCUGCGGAAAGACAUUUGAUCGCAACUUGGGCAUCAUCUCUUAGAACUCCCUGAUGUGAUAAAUGAUAUUAAAGUAUCAGAAAUAAAGAAACCGUAUAGUAGUCAAUCUUGAACCUUUAGACCUAGGAUUAACAAACUUUCAUUUUUAAGUGCUUCAAUGCUGGCCAUCAUGAAGAAAUUUAGACCUACUACACAAAUAAAAGCUUCAUUGACCUCACCCUAUAGACAACUCCAUAACCUCCUCCACCUAUCCUGCUCGAUGGAUGAAAGUUCCUAGUAGCUGAUCUCAGAGAAUUAUACGAGAAAAGCCUUACGUUGUUGUUGAUAAUCCCUAAUUUCCAUACAUACAGACAUAAAAACCCUUGUGAGAUCAAUUUAUCCAGUUCAGAAAUAAUAUAAGAAAACUUCUAAUAGCAUGUAUGUAUCCGACAGCAUAAUCUAAGCCUAAAAUGGCAAACACAUUUUUCGGUCUUUCUUUUCCGCUUCAUAUGUGUGAUUUCUAAAUUCAUUAGUUGAACAGAUGGUCAAAGAGGUGGAAGUAGAAAUAAAUAAAUAACAGGGUCUUGGAGAAAUUAAAGACAUAAGACAUAUACGAAUCUGCAUAAUUUUACUCUUCUAGCUUGCUAUGAAAAUUCAAUUUAUCAGGGAAAGAAAAUGGAAAUUGGACACAACCAUUUACCAUGGUGGUGAUAUACAAACACGACACUACCAUUCGUCAUGGUGAUGAAAUGCAGACACAACACAACCAAUUAAUUUACGCUACAGCAGCAAUAGGAAUCAUUGUACUCGGGGAGCUUGCGUUCUGCUAGAUUUGAGAACUCUCAUUUCUUACAUACAACACAAUAGAUGUUUCACAAGCUCAGAACCUGAGCUACAUUGCGGCCGUUGCCCACAAAAAUUUUAACCCUUGUACACCCACUGAAAAGGUACAAAGGUGCAAACUAAAGCUCUAACAGAACCCUUUUGCAUCCACUCGAAAAAAACCUGGACUUUGGUUCUGAAAUUCAAUAAUCGAAACGAUAAUUAUGCUACAAGCAACUUACAGAAGGGAAACACACACAAAUGGAAAGUAUUGACUAUUUUACUGCUUUUACCAUAUAAAGAGUUCAUUUGCUAAUUAAUUACUAACAAAUCCUUACCUUGCUCCUGGAAGGAAGACGAGGAAGCUCUUUCUUCUUUACGCCAUUUCAGCACAGAGAAGCAACCACAAACCAUUGCAGCACACAAUUUAGUUGCCCUAAAACCCUAACACCAUAUCUCCAUAAACCCUAAUCUGAAAAUCACAGAAUCAAGCUCCAAAAUCCAGCACAACCCACUAAGCAAAAACACAACGAACCAAAAUUAAAGUCAAGAACUUUUUGUUCUACAAAAUGAAAAUUGAAAAAGCAAAAGCUGGGAACUUUGAAAUAAAGCAGAUCACUGCGGAAUCUGGAACCCUAACCAGAAUUGGGAACCUCUGGAAUUCUUCUUCUGCAACAGGAAAAAGCCAGAAAAGCGCCUUUGCUUUUCUGGGCCAGUUGGGUUUUUAAGCAAAAACAAAAACCCAAAUGGCAUAGAAACAGGGAAGGCAGAUGAAAGGUGGGAAAUUAAUAGUGGAGGAUUAAAUUGAAAACCCAUGUUACCCAUGAACAAAGGUAUUAGAAAUAAGAAGUGGGAAACCUGAUAAAUUUUGAAGGGUCAAAAGUCUGCUAUUUACAGAAACCAGUGAACGGCUUCUGAUGGUGACAUUGUUUUUCUUUGGUUUAAUUUCUUACCCAAGUUGCAAGAGAAGGGAAAGAUUAAUCAAAAUUAAGGUUGGGGUUUUGGGAGUGAUCCAAGUAAGUCAAAGUUGAAGAUUUGGGCGUUUAUCCUCCGUAAUUCUUUAGGCCUUUUCUGGUGCUGGUAGGUAAUCGGUCACACACGAACUGCUGUAGUUUCAAACUCACCUACACCAAGUUUUGUAUAAAAGAAAUUUUUUUAGUUGUUUCUUUCUUUAUACGCGGAAACCAUUUUCCUCUCUUGACCCCCCACAAUAGUUUUUUUAGAAAAAUUAAUGAAAAUUAUUUGAAAAUUUUGAGUUUUAACGAUAAUGACAGAAUAAAGGAUAAAAUGAAUAGUAUCAGAAUUGACAUUUUAGUGUAAAAAUAUGAUUUUUCUUUAAAACGAACAGUACCGAAAGUUCUGUUGUUAAAAUUUCCUAGUUUUUUUAGUGUACCCAACGACCAUCACGUAAUAUUAAUUUUCAACGCAUGACAAAUGUUUCGAGUACACAUAAUUUCUCAUAUCCCACGUCAAUAAGCAACCUAAAAUUAGCAUACACCAGAUAGGACAGUUGGCAAAACUGAAGUUACAAAAAAAAAGGGUCAUUUUGGAGUUGAUUGAGAAUCGAACUUAAGUUAACAAGUGGACGUUGUCAACCCACCUCUUUAUUCUUAAUCUGUUUAUAUUAAAAGUACACACGCAAAAUUAACAUUUCUUAAUUUAUAUUAAAAGUAGACGCAAAAUUGACAUUCUCUAAUGUAAAUAUGAUUUCAUAGUAUGAGUUUUCUUUUCUUUGCUGGACUAUGAUUGAACACACAACACAUCCAUUUUCUUUGUUUGUAAAAGUUUAGGAGGAGAUUGGUUACUCUCACCAUUAACGUCAGGAUAUACCCACAAUCUCGAGCAAGAAUAAUUUAUGUGUGGCACCUAACUAUCGGUUGUCACCUGUAUGGAUUUAUAUAAGAAUUUACAGAUCGCACACCAAUAAAAACUACUAUCAGUGAAACUCGAACUUUGAUACGAUCGAUGACACACAAAACAAGAACCUUACCAAUCAUUUGUUACUAUUAGACAAAUUUCUCCUUUGAUUUUCUUCUUAUUCUUUGCCAUAACGCCCGUUCGGGACAAGUUGGAAGAGGAAUUCCCAAUUCUUACAUGGAUGAGACCGUUGAGCCAACCCUCGUUAGAAUUGAAUUAGUCAAAUCGAACCAACCACAGUCCACACCUUUCAUUUCCCCUAUGCAUCACACUUUUGACAAAACCCAAAGGUUUUUUUAUUUUUUCCUUCUUUUUUUUUGUCGUCGUCAAACGAUAGAUUUUUAACUCGGUUAACAACAUCAAGUGUUAUAAUAACAAUCAUCAAAAUUCGAUUUAACCGUUGCACGAGCCGUAGGGCCGGUUACUACGAUCAGGAUUUUACUUCUUUUCUUUUCAAUGUACACCAACUUUUAGUCGGUUAUGAUUAAUAAAUUACACAACGCAUACAUCUUUAAUUUAAAGACUAAUUACCUGACCAGUCCUUGGAAAGGGAUUAGUUGAACUAACACAUUUCGCACAUCUGUUGUAUAAGAAGGCCCACAUCUCAAAGUCUUUAACGAUGGAGAUUAACUGCUUAAAAACCAUAACUUUUUAACGUGUAUCCUAUGAAAGUAAUUAUGUUUUUGAGUCCCCACAUUACAUGUUCUAGAUACAUGAUGCACGGGUGAGCAAUUCUUUUUUAUUAAUUCAAGCAUUUUUCUAAGAAGACUCCUUCAAAGUAAGACUCUCAAUGAAUUAUCUGUCAUUUCACAAUUUAAUAUCAAUUCCUAUACCAAUAUUAUAAAAAUAUUGUGCUUUGACAGAAAACGUACAAAAAAUCUCACGUCUGAAAGAAUUUCAUUUGCAUUUCUCCUUUUCAAAAUAUCUGUAAAUAGGUUGGGUAUUCUUUCCAGGACUAGUGGAGUCUGCACUUCUGAAGCAAAAAGAAAAGAUUGAAGUUUGAACGUUUUCUUCCUUUUUGCUAAUUCUUACUUUAUUACUGAGUGGGUUCGGUGAGGAAGCACUAGUGGAAGAACACGCAGAAAAUGUUGUAUAUAAUAUAUAUGCAAAGGGAUCUCCAUUUGUUUUAAAAAAUGGGGAUUAAGUGUGUGUGAAACUCACUUCACAUCGAACUUUAACGAUCUAAAUCAUCUAUUUUGUAAGUCUCGAUUCAUAGAUUAUCAUUACAAUAAUUUAAUUCAAUCCGAAACCAUUUAUCUAUUUAAUUAUCAAAAGAAAAUUUCAUUAUUUUUUAUAUAACAAAGUAUUCGUUAAUUUAUUUGAACUCAAUUAGAUAUCUUAAACAUUUUCGAUUUGGCUAAUAUCUUGCAAGGAUGAUCUAUGAGGUGCAACUUAAAAAAUAGACGGUUCGGAUCAUUAAAGUUCAAUAUGGUGUGAACCCUACAACUAAUCCCAUUUUUAUAAAAAAAAAAAAAAAAAAAAAAAAAAUGGAAUCCCUUCCCUUAAAGGUUCCCUAUAUAGGAAAAGGAUUCUCGUUGGAUCUUUUUUCUCUGGAUCACAAAAAUCUCUUGAUCGUAACCGUUCACCGUAUAUCGUACGUGUUGACAAUUGACAGGACAUCUAUUCAUUCAGUUGGAGCAUAUGAACACUUGUUCGAUUGUCAAACGUUUGUAUUUUUGUCUCUCUCCGCAAUGUAUACGUUGACAAUUGACAGGGACAUCUAUUCAUUCAUGUGGAGCAUACUUGAACACUUGUUCGAUUGUCAAACGUUUGUAUUUUUGACUCUCUCCGCAAUCCGAAUUGACCUGGUGUCUCUAGUUUUCAUUUGGUUGUCUAUUGUCAAGAUGCAUGAUUAAGCAGGACGAUUUCCACACUCCCAUUUUCUCUUUUGCACUCACCCCUUUUUUCGUUGUGUUUGGAUUGAAUAAAUCAAAGGAUAAUGAACGGGAGCGUGUAAGCAACUCCCAUGGAAUGUCAUGUCUAAUAUGAUAGCAAUAUGAAGAAUGAAACCUUAAUAAAUUUCAAGUUUCAUAGUAUGAACAGUAAAUUGUAAAUGCUGAAGGAGGUCUUCAACUUGCAAAUCAUCGAAAUCUAGUACAAACAAUCAUGGCUACGGAAAAUAUGGUUCAUCAAAAGCACCCGAUACUUGUUCUGGCAUAGCGAGGACUGAUACUCGGAAUCGACAUGACUCACAAACUUUCUCUAACAUUUACAGAUCAGCUUCGUUCAGGUAUGCGCUGUAGCUUAAAUAUCGCGCUGAGUAUGCCAAUUUCCCGUGUAAAAUAAUACUGCUGGGAGAAUGAUGAGGCUGGCUGCAAAUAAUUCGGGGUCGAUGGUCCCAUGGGGCGGUCACCUACCUUGGUGUCUUGCAGGAGGAGUUUCCUCUCUCACUUCCAGGAUCAAUAGCUUCAAUUUCACACCCCUCUAAACUAAGAGGAAUGUUGUUGACACUUGGUUCGGAGCUAGCAUUGCUGCAUGUGGCAAGAGGAGAGUCCAUCGCACCAGUUGUAUUGCUUUUUGUUGGUUUAAUUCUGACACUAUACCCAGAGGAAGCUGGAACAUUCGUCAGAACUGGCCGUAGAUUGCCUGGCAUGCUUCGCCUUAUAUCCUGUAUAAAGAAAAUUCCAAAAUUUAAGUUAAAUGCUACUUCUGAAAACGGGUUUUGCUAGUCAUGUGGAUAAUUUAUGAAUCAAACCAAGCAUAAUUUGGAAUUGGAUAGUACAAAGUGGAAUGCAAGAUCCGAAUGAAGGGAAACAACAUGCACUUGAACAAGGAAAGUGAUGCAUACCAUGUGCCUCAUAGCCAUAUCAAUGGACUUCUUUGAAAGAUUUCUUCCAAAGCCUGAGCUUUCAGAGGAUGAAGACUUCCCACCGGAACCGUUAUCAGUAUUAUGAUGGUCAUAAUGCUUAGGUGGUGCCAGUUUCCGCGAGUUUACUACUCUCUCAACCAUUUGUGUUCCAAUAAGUACAGGGUUCACAUCAUCAUUGUCAUGAGAAGAUGAUCUGCUUAUGACUCGAUGAGAGUUCCCAUUGGUAGUGGUACUAACAUUUGAAGCCCGUGCUCUAGAAGGUGAACACGAUUGCUGUCUUGGUUUUCCAUUAGAACCAGCCAUAACAGAAGAUGAUUUAACACUUGGCGCUCCAGGCCUAUCCCUAGAGGCUGAAGCCGGCCUUUGUGGCACUGAUGUUCUUAAAGUUGGGGGCGCAUCAUGUGAGAAACCAGGAAUCUCAGAGGAUUUCAAGGGCCUUGGUUUUACCGUCGGAGAACUUCCACGUGAUGAAACUGGAUUUUUUGAACUUGUGGGGCGUAACUUUGAUGCUGAAGAAGAUCGACCAGGAGGGGCAGAUACGGCAGCUGCACUUGAUGAACUUGAUGAACUUGGUCGAUGGGUUGGUGUUGCUGGUCUUGAUGUUGACCUGGAAGCUGGUGCAGAGGGUCUGGUAGUUGGUGCAGAAGGUCUGCCAGUUGGUGUAGAAGAACGAGCUGUGGACCUAGAAGGAGUUGAAGACCUUACGGGAGGAGCCACAGGCUUUGGGGAUGAUAAGGUGGCUCGAGAAUUUGGGGUGGAGGAUCUUGAGGGCUUGGUUGUUGAAGGUAAUGUGGACCGUCCAAUUGGUGUUGCAGAUCUACGAGUAGCAGGUGAUGAGGGCCUUCUGUUACCGGAACUGGAAGAGUUCAGUCCAGACGGCAAUGUUGGCUGCUUAGAUGUUAUAUUGUUCCUUGAAGCAGAUUCUAGCUGGUUGUUUGCUAGCUGAAAGUCCCAAGUUAUGGGAAACAUGACAACAUAAAUUUGCAAAUGACAACUUCAUAAGUCAAACGAAAUGUCUCCCAAAACAAUCAAUAGAACACCAUUUGCAAUCAUAAGUUUGUAACUUGUAAGUAAGGAAGACUAAAACUAUGGGAAGAUUCAAGUCCAACCUUACUAUGACACACAUACAUCUCAUAGAAUCUACUAUCAAUGAGUCAAAUGUACAAAUGCUGCACAUACAUUUCGUAGAAUUAACAUCAAUGAGUACAGAUGCUGCGCAUGCACUUCAUAAAAUUAAAAACAAAUGAGUCAAAUGUCCGAAUGCUACACAUACAUCUCAUAGAAUUUAACGCUUCUAUGUAUUUAGAAUGUGUUAGCUAAAGUCCUUACCCGAGAUUUUGGGGCGGAUGCACGGUCAUUAGUAAUCUCACUCUGAUUCGUCGUAGUUUUCUGCACUUCCAUAUCCAAGGAUGAAAAAAGUGGAGUAGCUGGUGGUGUAAGAAGCCUGGACACAGAAAAGAUUACCGAUAGAUCCGAUACCACAACAAAUGACUCAACAUUACUACGACGCGGGAGUCCAGACCAAAGCAUAGAGAUUAGAGUGAGAAAUAGAAGUCUACAAAAUUGAACAAGGAUUUCUGUCAUAUGAAGCCUCAAUCAGUUUUUCUUGAAAACAGUCCUUAGAAACAGAACUGCCCCUGAUUUUUCAAACACCUCAGCAAAAUGUUUUAGAAAUCAGAUCCCAGUUCAUUAGUCCUAGGAUAAUUUAAUCCCACCCAAUUUAGCAACCCAACAGUUUUCUUCAUCAAUUCAACAAGUUACCAUAACCAGAGACUUAAACUUUGAUUAGUCCUACGGAAAUUUAAUCCCACCAAAAACCAAGACAACUUUGACAAUAAUUUACUCACCAAUCGUAGUCAGAUUUCUCAUUCUCCGAAUUUAAAAACUCAUCCACCCGGAUCUUCGGCUGGGGCGGUGGCGCCGCCCCAACAGUCCUGGAAACCGCCGCGCCUCCGCGGUUGUCAGAUUCUGCAGAAACCAAACACAACCCACCAUCAAAACCAACCUCAUAAACCCAAAAAAACAACAAAGACUGAAACUUUAAACCAAAAACAAGAAACCCAAAUGCCGUCGUACCCGGAGGAGCAACAGCGGCAGCAAUAGGGUCGAGCUCGUCGGCGUUCUUGUUCGGGGGAAGGAGGAGAAAGCCGGCAUUUUUCUCCUUGUCCUUCUCGCGCCUCCGCAUCUCGAGAAACAGAGCGAGCUCUUCGUCUCUGUCGUUGACGUUCACCACCUUCCCGAAGCUCCGUUCUCGCGCCCUCGACUCCACAGUAACUUCCAUGGUCGUCUCUGCAGCUCAGCAAACACAGAGGCUUCGAGAAGAGAGAGAGGAGGGGGGGGGGGCGGAGUAUUUCUGUAGCUGAAAUUUCGGGUGCUGAGUUUUUUUUGUAGUAUUUUUCUGAUUGCUUUGACAAGAAAUAGAAUAUCUCAGUCAGUCGCUCUCUCUCUCUCUCUCUCUCUCUCUCUCUCUCAAUCUCUCUCUCUCUCUCUCUCUCUCUCAAUCUCUCUCGUUUUGGAAGCAUUCAGAAAUUUGAACAAAAAAACGAAGCAUUGGGAAAUUAAUAUUUUAUUUAAUGUGGGUAAUUUGUGAAGAUUGGUGCUGAAUAUGGGCUGAGAUAUGGGGAUAAUUACGACUGUGCCAUUGGAUUUGCUCUUGCGAGACGUGGCAUUCUCUUGAUCAUUUUCCUCAUAAACGGUAGACAUGUGAAGAAGAUACAAGAUUCAUGAUGCAUGUGAACUUCAUGGAAAGUUUUGGCCUUGGAAAAUAAAUGAUUUUGGGGUUAGUGAAAAGCUUAAAUUUCCUGUGAUAAGGUGCUCAUAAUAUUUGCAAAGAAUGAUCGAGAUUUGGACACGUAAUUUUGAAUGAACAAGGUUAACCUUAUUAACAACUUGAGUUGCAAAAUUUUUAAUUUAACAAUUUAGCAUGUAAGAAGUCAUUGGGAGAGGAUUACAUGAGGUUAAUUUUCACAUUGUUUGUAACUAUAGCCUAUUAAUUUGGUAUAUAUUAUGUUCUUGAUUGUUAAUAUUAUGUAUGAUUAAUGAUCAUGUAAAAUGCGUGAUUAAAAUUAACAGUCUAACAACUUAAUAUGUUGAGUGAUAGAAAAUACUAAGCUAUUUUGUCAUAUUUGCACAUGUACAUGUCAACUACAACCUCAACCAUACCUAGGUUUUGUAGUUAAGCAUAAGCUAAAAUCAAUCAUCAAUCAAUAAAUAACCCUAUGAAUUUUGAUGAUAAACAAGUUUAAUUUUAUUAUAAUGAAACGGUGAGACAUGAGGAAUAAGAUGGAUUGUUCCUCGUCAAGACGUUGAGUCGGAUCAUGUCGUACAGUUUUGUUGUUUUGUUUUUUUAAUUUAAUGAAACGGUGAGUUUGUAAAUGGGGGUUUAAGAUUUUAAUAUUAUUUCUAAAAACAACAUAUUCAUCUAUUAUUUGCAUACAUCCCUUUUGCCCUCCUCUUACGAAAAGAUGCAAACCUGAAUUAUUUUUGUAUGUUCUUUCUAUAUUUUAAAUUUUUUUAGCGGUUACCCUACUCUUUGCCUCCCACUAAGUUGUAUUGCAAAGUUUUUUUAUUCUCUCUAUUAAACUGAAUGGGUCUUUCAAUUUUGUAAAAAUUACUUCAAUUAAUCACGCAAUGAGUUCAACAUUUUUUCCCAUACAUAUAUGAAAGGCACUCCUUCACAUAGAACCCUGACUCUACCACAGUGAGAGGACCAGAAAGAAGAGAAAUUUGAAAAUAAGAGAAUCCUACUCUCCAUAAAAGAUUAAAACUUGCAUAAAAUACUUGAUUACUUGCAAUAAAAGAAAUCUCAUAAUUAAUAGGUAACAUUUCAUUUUCUAAUAAUAAUUGAGAGGAUAAUAUCCCAGUAUCCCAGAUUUGAAGCUGAUGACGAAAUGAGUGGUAAUAUUGUAAUUAAGUGCAACGACAAACCCAUUUAAUUAUGAGAUUUAAAACGGGAGAGAAACAUUCCCGUUAACAAUGGCACAUGCUAGAAGCCAGGAGCCUUUGACUGACGACACGUCGUAUUGAAACGCCGAGGAAUUUAAUUCAAACUUCGUUGCUCAAAAGAUGCUCGGAUUUAAACGUGGGCUGUUGGAUUCCUUUCCUCGAGAUGACCUACUCCGCAUCGGACGGAUGCUGUUGGUCGGCGAAUUUAAAAGGGGCGCAUGGCGUGGGUCCCGCCCAGAGAAUCGUGUGGUUUAAAUUUUGGGUAUCUUUUCUCAAUUCGUGGGCCCCGAUUAGAUUGCAGAUUGCCGUGAUUGGUCACUAACCUAUGGCCCAAAAAAAGCCCAACCUGAAAAGGAUCAUAUCAUGAGUUAUUUUUAUUCAGCUAAAAAGUUCUUUAAUUCUUUUCUUUAUCAAUAAAUCUACACUUUUAGGCCUUUUAGUUUAAGAUAAUUUUCACUUUGAAUCAUGUAAUUUAUAUUUUAGAAAAUUUUAGACAUGCAUUUUGUGUACUAUUGUAAUUUUGAGUUGCUAAUCUCAUUAGAAUUGACGAUGAAAUAUGAUAUUGCAGUACAAACAUGUUUCAUAUGUUAAAUUUGAAGACAAAUGCUUUCCAAAUCAAUUCGAGAAAGGAUUUUGAGCAUUUGAACUAAAUAUCGUUUUUAUGGCACGUUUUUCAAAAUCAACGCACUUAAAAUCUCAACAAAGUACAAUAUAAGUAACAAAAAUGAUCCUUCCAUUUUCAAUCCUCAAACAAAAAACUUAGGAAUCGAUUUUUAUCAAUUUUCAUUUCUGCGUACCAAACAUAGUGUGUUUUUAAGUUUCGAGACAAAAAUGAGAUAAGAGCAAUUUUAAGUAUGGAUAGGAAUACACGUUUGUGUUACUUGUGGUAUUUUUGGGGUCGGAAGUGAGUGAGACGUAGGGCAUGUCGCAUGCUUAAUAAUCCUCGAUGUUUUGAGCCCCAUGCAGGGGUAGGGGCACGUGGUUGUCACAUUAAAAAAAAUUUAUGUUUGGUAAAGAUUCAAUUUCAGUUUUUUUUCACAAUUUUUGGUGAAAAAAAAGCCAAAAACAAGAAGCUGCAAAAUCCAGCUUUAAAAAACCGGCUUUUUUCACAUCUGUUUUACAUAAAAGUUUACCAAACACAAUAAUACUGUUUUUUUUUUCAAAAGCAUUUUUAUAAAAAAGUUUACCAAACCCUCUACAGCUUUAUUUCACAGCCGCUUAUUCUUACAGCACAGCAGAAACAGUUUUUUUUCAAAGCAGAGCAAUACCAAACUAGUCAUAAGUGUGGAAUUUUUGGUGAUGAUCCGAGCAAUCAGUGCCAAAGACAUAAACAAGACAAUGAUCAGGUCCUAUCGUCCUCAACACAAAUAAUGCAUUUCUGGCUGCAGGGAAUAAGAACAAUAAUUGCAUGGUGGUGGGCAUCACCACAUAAUUGCAAGGGAGAAGUUAGCCACCUUUUCAAUCCAAUAUUCUUGUCUUACUUUUUCGGUUAUCUUUUUUUGAUGAUACAAGUUGAUUAAAAUCAUCACUUUUUGGAUCAUCCUUAACAACCAAAUUAUGAAUCUUUUAACGCACAAUUAACAUUGUAAAACAUGGUUGUCUAUGAUUAGAUGAAUGUUAGAUGACUAAAAAAUUUCGGAUUUGGUUGAUUUUGACAAGUUGAUCUUUAAAGAGUGAUCAUCGUGCAACAUUACGGAUUGAGAAAUAGAGCCGAGAAUCUAGAACGACAAGGUUCAAACGAGAUGGUUGCUCCUCUAAUUGCAAUAUUUGAUAUUUCUGUCCAUUUUCCUGAUAGGCAACUCAAUCAGUGUAAGGCGAACGUAAACUCAAGUACUUAAAAAGCAAUUAUUCGCUCCUGUCGCAGUAGGUUUGUGUCAAAAACUGUCGCAGGCAAUUAGAUUCAUGCAUAAAUGAUGAGCUCAUAAACAAUAUUUUGUUUCUGUUGGGCAACUUUUUACUAACUAGAAGCAACAGUUACAGGAAGGUGAACCUCUCCUAACCAGAAAAACAAAAUGAUCCAUUUGAUUAGACUCGCUCGGACUAAACAAAAUCAUCCGUUUCAUCCUAGGACUUUCGAAGGUUCUUUGUCGGAAGAACUGUAACGCUGUCAGUUGGUUCUUCAGGAAAAGCGUCCAGCAACUCAAUUCGCCAUGGGUGAACCACUGCUCCAACACCUCUCAACCCCGAAGAGGCACUGCAUCCAUAUUAAAGCCCUGAAAUUGAGGAGCCUCCGGUGGAAAAUGGAUGAGGCUAUAUGGAGAGAGGAGAAUGGCGAGCAUGAAAACGGUCACACCACAAUAGCCAUCACAGAGUGGAGAAGAAGGGCAAGGUAGCGAGGAGUGUGAUCAUGUAGAACAUUAUUCCUUUCACUACAAAGAUACCAAUUGAUGAAUCGGAACCAACAAAGCUCCUGCCCUGACAAGACAUGCCGCAGCUGCUUCCAUAAAUCCAUACCAGCACCUCAACACCUUUGGGAAGUGCAUCAGUAAAAGCCGUCGUCUCCUACUUGUCCAAACCAUACUGCAUGCCAACGGUUCAGAACUUACCCCACAUCUGAAGCAUGAGGCUGAGUUCCCCACCCAGUGCUUGGAAACAGAAUGCAGGAACGCAGAAGGGCAUGUCAUAAACAAAAUAAUCAAAUCCUUGUACCUUGGAACUUCCCAUUUACAAGAGUAUCAUAUGUAUUGUCAUCUGGAACAAGGCCUUUGUCAAGCAUUUCAUCAUGCAACCUAAAAGCCUCUUGCAAAUUACCCUCCUUGAAGUUUCCAGCAAUCAGAGUAUUAUAAAUGAACACUAGGAGUCAUACCCCGCCUAUCCAUGUCUUCCAAGUUCUUGCGUGCACUCUCUAGCUGUCCUUUGUUAUGAAGGGCAUUUAUCAGAACCGUAUAUGUGUUUGUAUCAGGUAUAAUUCCCUUCUGAAGCAUCUCUGAGUAGAGAUCUGUAGCAGAUUGUAACUCACCUUCUCUUAGCAAUCCAUCGAUUAACGUAGUGUAUGCCUUCAAAUCACAAGGAAUACCGUCUCUAAUCAUCUUGUUGUGCAUGUCAAGGGCUGCUUCCAUGUUAUUUAAAUUCCGGAAGCCAGAUAUCAUGCUACUGUAAACAACUACAUUUGGAGAUAAACCAACUUCAAGGAGUUCUGAGAAAAGUUCAUGGGCAGUUCUCAUGUCUCGUCUUUUGCAAAACCCAUCAAUGAGAGCAGAAUAUGCAGUAACAUCCACUUCGAUGCCCUUGUUUUUCAUCUCAUUCCACAUUUUCAAAGCCAUAUCAAUUUGAUUGCUUUUGCAAAACCCAUUAAUAAUGCUGGUGUAAGUGACAACAUUGGGGGAGACUUCACCUUCACACAUUUCUCUGUACACAGCCAGUGCAGAAUUAAUGUCACCCUCCUUGAUAUACCCAUCGAUAAUGCUAUUGUAACUAAUACAUCCAGGAACAAAACCCCUUGCAACAAUUUUCUUUAGCAUCUCACUUGCCUCAGACGUACGACCAGCUCUGCACAAGCCAUCAAUGACAAUGCCAACUGUGAAGCCUGUGGGAGAAAUCUUGGCAGCCACCAUAUCAUCAAAGACAUCAAAGGCACGCUCUACAUCACUGUUCUUGAAGUAGCCAUUUAUCAAGAUAGAAUAAGUCACAUCAUUUGGUUUCAAAUCCCUUUUAAGCAUCUCCACGAAUACAUCAUGCGCAUGCUCCAUAUUCCCUAUUCUGCAAUACCCAUGUAUCUUGCUAUUGUAGGAUACAACAUUAGGUACCACACCUUUAGACAUCAUUUUAUCCCAUAAACUACAAGCUUCACUUACUUUACCCUUCCCACAAAGCCAUGAUAAGAUAUUAUUAUACGAGAAAACAUUAGCAACACCACACUCAACGGCCUCAUCAAAAAACUUAGAAGCAUCUUCAAAUGACCGAUAUUUCAAAAAUCCUCGUAUCAAAUAAUUUACAAUGAAGACAUCAGGCAAAAUAUUCAUAUGUUUCAUUUGCUUGUAAAGCUCAUACGCCUUUUCCAUGUUCCCAUUCUUACAGCAGUAUUCUAUAAGAAUUGCAUAUGUAACCCUGUUUGGAGUAAGUCCAUCCUCUAUAAUCGUAUUGAACAAAGCCAAAGCACUCUCCAAAUUCCCUUGCACACAAUAACCCUUCAUCAAGCUUGUAGCAACAACCAAAUUAAUUGGGUUCCCACAACUUACCAUUCCAUCCUUAAUCCUCGUGGCUUCAACCAUAUUCCUCUGCUUUACACAAGCUGCGAUGACACUACUAAAUGUGACCAUGGAAGGAACCCAACCCAUUUUUCUCAUUUCAUUCAACAACUCCAGAGCCAAACACGAAUUGGGCUUCUUACAAAAAGCCUCAAUGGCAACACUAUAGGAUGCUGCAUCAAGUUCUACCCCUCUUGCCCUCGCCUCUCUAAAGUACUCCUCUGCCUCAUCCGGCUUCCCCUGCUUCAAACAACCACGCAUCAUCACGUGUAGAGUGACACGAUCACCUCCAAAUCCUCUCAAAGCCAUUUUAUCACACACCUCUCGUGCUUCCCCAAUCAUAUUUCUCCUAACCAAUUCUGUUAAAAGAAUAUUCACAUACGUAACACAAGGAUACAUCUCAUGCUCUAGCAUUCUAUUAAAGCAAUCAAUCGCACAUUCGAUUCGAUUGGCUCUAACAUAACUGUUCAAUAAAUAGCCAAAAACCUGAGAUUCUAGUUCAAAAUCAAACCUUUUGGCGCAGUCCACCAAGUGAUCGACAAAUACUCCUGGAACCGGGCCCGAAUCACCGGAAACGUACUGGUUAAGCAACAUCUUAGCACGCUCGUGAGUAUUCGGAGAGCCCAUCAAAAUGUGAAGCAACACACAGACAGCAUCGACACCUCUGACAAGGCCUCGCUCCCUCUCAGCCCAUUUGAAGUAUUUAAUUGCCGAAUAUGGCUUACUUUUGUGGCUAAGAAGAGUGCUAAUCACACUGGUUUGUGUUAAUUCGGAGUCUUGUGAAAUUGGGGCGGCGAACUCGCCCUGAUUGGGGUCUGAUGCAACUGGGUUUUCGUGAAAUUCGAUUUCUAAAGUGGGUUUCUCUGGAAAAUCAGAUUUUGGAGCGAUUUCCUCUGGAAAACCUGAGCUCGGAUUGGGAUUCUCGGAAAAUGGUGGCGAUUCUGAACGGGGUUUGGAAGAGAGGAAUUUAGGGUUUAAGAAAGGAAGGCGACGUAGUGGAGGAAGUGGUGAGGAAUUGAGGGGCUUCAUUGUUUUAGGGUUUUUGCUGCAGAAGAAGAAAUAGCAGAAACCCUAAUGGAGAUUAAAGGUUUCGGCUCGGCGGCGAGAGUGAUGAAGUGAGGAAGGGGACGACAACAGAAGCUGCGGCGCGAGCUUUGGCCAUUUUACGAUUUACCCCUUUGAGUUAAAAUUCAAAAGCCAAAUACAUAUCAAGGAUUUUAAUUUUUUUUUUUGGGCAAAUCAGAAAAAUGGUGCUUGCUUUAUAAAAACAUUACCACUUGAUUAUUUGUAUGUGUGUGAAUGUGUUAGGUUGGAUUUUCGGAAGCUGGGAGUUGAAUACCACAUGCAUAUGGUGGGCAAAUUAUGUGACAUAAAAAUACUACUAUAUUCGAUGGGAAAUAAUUAAAACUUGGUGUUAAUGGACGGAAACACUAACUCGACGGUCUUAUUUAAUUCACAUUUGCAUUGCUUCUUGACUCAUCUAUUUUGUUUACCAAAUAAUAGAGUGUUUCUUCUUAUUCAGCGCUUUUAAGUUCAUUUUGUAAGAGACUUGUAGCUCAAGUGGUUAAGAGUAUCGAAUUUAAAACUCAUUUUUUUUAUAGAAGAGAAAAUCAAACCUCGAGAGUGUGCAGAGGCAAAUGCUUUAAACCGCUACUCCUACAAGCCUGCUGCACUAGUAGUCUAUUUUUAAGAUUAAAUUUGCUACUCCGUAUAGCUUCUUUUACCAACCGAGACAUCAGUUGAAUACGAUAAGUAUCGACAGUGUACUUAGUUCAAGAACUUGAAUCCAUGAGGCCAAAGACACGAGAUUUUGCCACAUCUUCGGAAUAUAUCCCUGUAUGAGUGUCUCACUCGUCACGUAAUUUGGCUAUGCGAAAAAGACUAGAGAUCCAUCUCCAAUGAACCUAAAAGCAAUAACAAACCAGAUGUACACUAAUUUUUUUUUAUCCGAGAACUUGAUUAACUGUUCUGUAUCGGUCUUCAAUGACCAUGUUCUAAAACAAUUAGCAAUUCACGACGGUACGAAGAACUUAAAGAGUCCUGGCCUACAUCAUCGAUGAAGAAAUUUUUAAUCCCAAUAGCCUACUCGACGAGAAAAUAGGUUGCUAAGAAUUUACAUUUGAAAUUAAUAGUUCAAUUUCCUGAAUGGAUGGUAAAUCAAGCCUCAUCAGUCAUCAACAUCGCUUCCACCAAUCUGAGCUUCGAGAGCAAUCGAGUAGUUGCUUCCAUCAGGACCGAGAAUCUGAAAUCUGCUAAAGAACAAAGAAAAUCACUCUAAAAACUUUUAAUGCAGCAACCACAGACACCAAUUUGGUUUUACCUCUCAAGGAUAAACUUUCCUUCCUUGUACUUCUGGGAUUUCUCAUGUGCAGCCUCCUGAAAUUGAUAACCAAAAUAUGAGUUUCAUACAGCCAUCAGCGGUGAAAGUACUGUAAAUAUCCACACAAAAAACAUAGUUUUGGAGAAAAUAUCUUCUUACAUAUUUCCACCCCACAUUUGAGCCACAUGAAACACAAAAUAUGUCAGCUACAGUAUGCAAUCCUGUUAUCAUGAUCCGCUCUUCUUGCUCUCCAAGUGUGACAUUUACACUGCCAUUGGGGAAACAAAAGGUUAAUUCAGCAUUCAUGUGUAUAAGCUGCAGUUGGUGUGAGUUAUGCAUAAGCCGCCUUCAUAGGAUUCAAGUGAACGAAAAUGCUUUUUUGAGACAAAGACAUUAUGCUGUCAUCGAUUCAUUAUUCUCUUUCUUUUUCCACCCUCAAAGUUAAGCUUUCAAAUUUAUCAACAUAAAUGAAUCUUCUGGCCAAUGUCAAACCAUGUUUGGUUUGCUGCUAUAAGUCAUUCUGUAUCGGUGGACAAGAAAAAAUACGUGCACAUGGAAUGAGCAAGUUUUUUGUCACAAGUGAGACCAAAAUAACUUGCACACCCAUGACCCUAAAAGUACAUAAGCAUGCAUCAGCAUAGCUAUGGGUGAAUCAAUUUCAAAUUUUCAAGAGUAAAAUAGUACUGCACUUACACUUUAUCGAAAAGAUAAGCCUUUCCAUGCCUGCAGUGAAAAGACUGGAACAAAAACAAAAGCAAAUCACAGGGUUAGAAUGUCACUAAUCAAUCCUGAUAUCAAACAUAUAACAUCAUAAAAGAGGGAUUAAUGUACAUAAGCAUCAAGCAAGAAGUGGGAAGAUAUGAUCGAAAAAGACAAGCCAAGAAAAACCUUGCUGCUCUCAGAUGGGUAAUGUAAUCAGGACAGUAUAAAGAUAGCUUUUUUGAGAAGAGGACAGUAUAAAGAUAGCUUUGCGGCAUAAGUUUUACACCGAUACAAUAUUUACAGGGAUAUUCAAGCUACUUACAAUUAACCAGAAUUUAAGAGGUGUUAUAGUGCGCAAAUAAAUAAUUAAAGAGCUACCAAACUGCAUCGCUUUUGUUUCCAUAUAGUUGACGUUCAAACCAACAAUAACGCAAGUAAGCCGGACAACAUUUUGGCCUAUAAUUAGAGUCUUAGAGAACAGAGACGCAAGUUCCCAUCUAAUCUUGCAGCCAAAUUUAACUAUUAAACCAGGAAAGUGUAAAGUAGAUAUCUUUGACCUAAUCUUAGCAGGAAUUAAGUACCUAAUUCUUCUCCAGCAAGUAAAGCAUUAAUCUGUGCUCCAGCAAGUAAAGCCAUAAUCUGUGUUUCUAGAAUUGCAUGAUUAAAUCCAAUACCAUCAUAGAGGCUUUACAGAUAAAGGUUCUAAAUUUUGAGCAUUUUGUAAUGAGCCAUAAACACAAUUAGGAAAUGAAACGCGCAAGCCAUUUCACAAGAAGCCAAAGCUGAUUGUAAUGAGCCAUAAACACAAUUAGGAAAUGAAACCCUGCACCACUAAUAAAAGAAGGAACCGAGAAACAACCCAAUGUUUAAGCUUCCAAUGUCAACCACUUUGAACAUGAACGAUCGCAUUGCACUACGGUAUAACGGUACCACAACUCCUCAAUAUCACAAACAAAACACUCCAAAAAAAAAAAAAAAAAAAACCUAAAACCAACAAUGUACAUAUCACAACUCCUCAACAUCCAACGAUUAGACCCACACAAAUUACAUUCAUACGCCUAAUACCGAUCAAUCUCUCUUCGAAAAUCGCCACACAUUUACAUAUCACAACAAUGCAUCCCAAUUUCACAAAGUUCAUGAAUGUCUAGGUAGAGUGCAUUAUGCAAAUAAACAGUAACAAUCCAUAACAAACAGAAUUACGGAGAAGGCGAUUUCGGACCUUAGAGAUUACGUCGUCCACAAGACCGAGAUGGGUUCUGCAGUGCUUGCAGCUAUACAUGUUUUCCUCAAGAGUGGUCACAAACAGCCUUCCCAUUUUCUCACGUACAAUUCAACUUUCUUGAUUUCUUGAUUUUCUUUCCCUGCAAAAACAACAAGAUCGGCCUCCAUGUUAGAAAUUCAAGCAUUCCAAACGAAACCCAGAAAUUAUCUCGACGAAAAUUUGAGAAAAAUCAAUGUGACUAAAACCUCAAAAUUUCAGGGAAAAAUAACGAAAAAAAGAAAGAAGAAAUGGUGUACAAUGCAGGCAUGUAUUUCCAAUAACCGUGUAAUAUGAAGGACAAGAAGAAGAACAGAACGACGACGUACAAAUGGGUUUUUGUGUGAUCUUUGCCGGUAGUUACAGAGGGAGCUGAACAGAAACGAAAGCUUUCAUUGAGAUUUGAGAAGAAGAGAAGUGAUAGCUUUUAAACAGAGAAAGUGCUUUUCCGAGUGUAAAUAUAUAAUAAGACAAUUAACUUUUUUCAUUAUCUCAUUUUUAUUUCUUUUAUCUUUUUUAAGUAAAAUAAUUUGUCUUUAAAUUAUAGAAAUGUAAUUUAAAAAAAAAAAUUAGAAUGAAUCUGAUAACUUCAAUGAAAAAAAUGUAGAUUUUAAAGAAAAGAUUAAUACCAGGAAAAUCUAUGUGUUGGGUGGGUUUUCGAAGGUCAUGUUUUGGUAUGUUGGGUUGUUUAUCGCUAAUCUCUCAUCCCUCGUUAGAGUUAGCAAAAUAAAUUAUACGUAUUUUUUUAAACAGACGAUAUUAUUUACACUGGACGGUAAAAAGGUGGGUUUAGCCUCACAAUAGCUACCAAUAGUGCUGUUCAAAUUCGUUUAUAUUUAAAAGUUAGUAUCAUUCUAUCACUUAGUACUACGGUCUGGUGGUACUUCUCUUUACUUGAAAGUGAAAGGUCUUAUGUUCGAAUCUCGUGGAUAGCGAAUUCGAUACCAAAUUAGGCUGUCCAUUGUGUGGCUUUGCCAAACUUCCCCUCCCCUUAAUGUAAAAAUAUCGAUGUACUCAAACAAAAAAAAGUUAGUAUCCUUCUUUAAUUUGAUAUGUUAAUCUAGAAACUGUUAAUUAAUAGUCUUUGCAUCACUAUCGAAUAAUGUUAAAUUCUCGGAUUAAGCAUUAAAUUCUCUAAGAAGAAUGAAUUUUCAUUUCUCUAUUGUGUGAACCGAUGACUCAUAGGAUUAAAAAGACAAUAUAUUUCAUUAUUAUUCUUUGUACAAACGAGAUUCAAACUCAAGCGUUAGGAGAUCACUCCGCUCGCUAACGUGACUACGUUCAUAUGCAUCACGUUAUUAUUAUUAUUUUUCUGAAAUAAAUAAAGUUUGCACAUGUUUAAAACUUUUCAAAAGAAAAAAGAGGAAGAAUUAUCAUGGCCUAUUGUUUGGUAAAACAACUCGUCGCCAAUAGGAAAAGGCGACGGUAGAAAGGGGUUGGAGAAAGAGUGCGAGGAGGAAAAAGCCAUUGUUUAGACCAUCUCCAAUCCUUGGGCUAAAAACCAAAUUUUUUAGCCCGGAAAAUUUAGCUUGUAGCCCAGAAACAUAUUUUCUGCUUCAACCCUUCUACCCUAAAAUUUUAGCCCGGAAUUAUUAAAGAAUAAAAUUAGCCUAAAAUUUUUUCUUAAAUCAAUUUUAAAAAAAUAAAUAAAUAUGUAGAUUAUUGUAAAUUAAUUUUAUGAACAUUUUAAUCUAAAAAAAUUUAAAUUCCGAUAAACAUUUUGCAUUUAGCCCGGGGGGAAAGCUGGGGGGUAUUUGGCCCAGAAAUAGCAUUUGGCAUUUAGCCUAAAAUUUUAGCAUGGGUUGAAGAGUGUUUGGGAGGUAAUUUGGCUUUUAACCCAGGGUUAGAGAUGGUCUUAGCGAGACAUGCCAUGAAACCCAAUGAGACUCUGAUUUGGCUGGAGAACGUAGAGAAGAUACAAUUCACCAAAAUCCCUUUCCCAAGAAGGUGCCAAAGGACACGAAAGAAACGUUUCACUUGGUGUGACUAGACCGAGGCAGAAAAAGCCAACCCAAUCCAACUAGACAUGGUUCUCAAGAGUCUAACGCCUAAACAUCUAGGCGGGCUUUAGGCGGGCGUAGGCGAUUAUUUUAAUUGUAAUUAAAUAUAUUACAUAGCAUAUAAAAAUAUUUAUUUAUACUUAAAAAAACAUAUAAUUGUCUCGCAAUACAUAAAAUGUAAAGUAGAGAUUAUCUAUUUUUUAUCUAUGUAAGAGUUGCAACAUAGGCGGCCUACGCCCAUUCUUAGAUUUUAAAUGCAUAAAGAUUAAUCCUGAUGGUGACAACCGCCUAGCGCCUAGGUGAGGCCUAAGCGGGGCUUUUUAUUUAGAAUGCUAGACAUGCAACUUUUUUCUUUCCCCUUUGUUUUCCUCUUUUGACAAGAAAAUCUAUACCAUCACCAGUUUUAUGCAGCCAUGUGUUUACUUUUGUUAUCACGCGACUAUUCACGCUGUGAUGAGAGAUAGAUACGUAAUUGCUCUUAGAACUUGGUGAUCCCACAUCAUAUAACGUACCUUAAUUCUUGAAGUGGUUUAAAGAGCUCUUGGUCACCUUUCCCUUACAAGUAGAUUUUUAGGGGCAAGUUUCUACUCUUAGUAAUUGGUACCAGAGCUAGUUUCACCACGCAACUGGAUCCAACUCCAGGGAAGGGACAAGCCGCCUCUACGAAGGGCUACCGCUAGGUCAGGGUACAAAGCAAAACUUCCCCAGCCUCUAAAUGAAAUCAAACCAGUUGACAAAAAACUAAGUUUUUCUUGAAACUAAGUUUUUGUUGAAUCAAUAAUCUAGAGACUGUUAAAUUGACCAGUGGACGAGAUAUAGCACAAGAAAAUAACUUGAUAGAGAACGAAACAAGAGCUAAGACAAAGGAACUUGAUGAGCUGAUGGCUAAACCUCGAGGAGGGCCGGAAGUUCAAACGACCUUACUUGAUCUUCCUUGACUAAUAAUAUUCCAAUAAAAGGCUGCUGCCAUGGCAAAUGGUCAAAAUAUAAGAACUCCAGAAAGAAAAAAGUAUAUGUUCUCCCGUUCAAAAGUGGGGAUCAGCAAGUGUGUCCAACUAUGACGAUGAAAUCGUGUCUUGCGGUGUUAUUCUCUCAACAGCACCCAUUCUCUGAGGAGGCCACACAAUGUGGGUAACCCUUCCUUGAACUAAACCCAGAGGAAUCUGCCAACAACAGCUUGUUUAACUUAGCCAAAGUGUCCAAAAAGUAGAAGAAAGCCAACAUGUUCAUAGGUAACUUCUGAAAGAAAUUCCUAAAAUAUGUCAAGCACUACACUUAGCAUUACAAAAACAUCUAGCAUAACCUCGGGUUGCAAACUUCUUCCAAAAUGAUAAGUCUUGUGCUAAUGCCAAACUAAUUAUAUAUACAGCAAUUCAAAUUUAUCGUGUCCUGAAAUAACAUACUGUCUCAUUUAAGCGAUUUCCAUCCUACUCCGCAUUUCAAAAAAUUUUAGAGUAUGCAUAAACAAGCAGAGUGAUUUGCCAUAAAUAUACAGAAGUAAGUUCAGAUACCUAGUCAGAGAAUGGUUUCCACAUCUUUAGGCACCAAAUCAAUAUAAUUAAGGCCACGAUGAUAAAUUAUACUAUCGUUAAACUAAUUGUUUUUAGUGCACAAACUUAGCAGUAAGGGGAACUUACUGGUCCAAACGACUUUGAAUCCAAGCUAGAAGAUGAAUUGUCUCCCUCAACCCAACAAUGUCCUUCUGGAAUUUUCACCACGUCAUAGGAACGACGCGUUCCAAUCCACUCACCAGGUAAGGCAGUUAUUCUCUUUAUGUGACUCUCCUUGUGGUUACUUGGGGAGCUGCAAAAUGUUCCAACAAGUCUAGUUUCUUAUUACAAUUAACCAGACAGGCAGACACAAAUGGUAUUCGAGCAGCAUUGGGGGCAAAAAUUACCGGAAAACUACCACGUCACCAUGUGAAAACUUGUAGCUUUGAAGACACCGUUUCUCCACCAAAACAUAGUCAUCUGCAACCAAAUCACAAUCAGAGCACUAAAUAAAGCAUCACAUUGCACAGCACAACAAUCUUAACAAGAUAUCUUUCAAUAUACCAACCAAUUGGCAAGCCCAUCAAAGAAGUAGUUCCAGGGUUUAACGUAGGCGACAUAGAGGAACCGCGCACCGGAGCAACACUCGCAAAUCGGUCUGAAACAUAUAAGCCUAUGAUCCCACAUGUGAAAAACUUGUUGCCGAAAUUCCACAAACCACUCCGAGUUCCCAUGGUCAAUCUUUUUCCGUAAAUAUUCACAUUUCAUGUGCAAAAUGCAACCAUCUGUAACAUUAUCAUCAAAUUUACCAAACAUAAAAGACAGUUCAUAACUAACGCAAAAGAUUUAUACAAGCAAAAACAGUAUCAGGUCUCUCAGAGGCAAACAAUCAAACACCUGGUGAGCCCAAUGGACGAGAGGGAAAGGAGAAGGUUACCAUUAGGAAUGUUUCAAAUUAGCUGUCGAAGCAGCUUCCUUCGCCGGCGGGAGUCUUCGUUAAUGGAGAUGAGGCGGGAGGAGGUAGGUCGUGUACUGCCGCCGUCGUGGACUCGUGAUUUGGAGGAGAAGCAAAGUCUGGACUAUUUUUCGGAUUUUGAGCUAACAGAUGCUUUUUGCUCAAGGGAUUUGAAUUUUACCGGAUUUGGGCCGUUUGAAGUUGCAAAAGUGGGAAUUCUAAGCCCAAUCCAAUCGAAGAGUUAAGACUACCGAAGGAGGGGAGUUGAAUUUAUACCGGUUGCAGUGGUAAAUACUCUUUGUGAUUUUUGCUACAAGACCUUGUAGAACUCUAUAUUGUUUUUACGCGAAAAAAAUGACUCCAAUUAAGUUGAUUAUUGUAGUUUCGAUCUUUUUUUUUUAAGAAAAACGACAUUUUAUAAGGAGUGAGAUUCUUAUUCGUCGCCAAAUUAAUAAGUUGUGUUAUUAUGGUUGAAUCUCGAACUUGAUAUGCUAUGUUUUCUUUUCUUCAAUUGGGUCCUUAGGGUUUUGAAAUUUUCAAUUUUCAAUUAGAUAAUUGUAAUUAGAUUUUAUUCACCCACAAGAACAUCUUAAAUAGUCGAUCAAGGCUAAAAGAAAAUUGGUGAAUGCAAUAUGUUUAUUUUCAAUCAAGUUUCUAAAGUGAAAAAAAGGUCAACUUUUUCUGCCUUAAAAAGGGAUUAGCUGAUGACUUCAUGACUUCAACACGUGAGUCCAUCAUAUCGAAGGUCGGGAAGACUCAUAAAGGUAUUUCAACCUUCCCUAACCACCAUCAUGUGAUUCAUCAAUGCCAUAAUUGAAUUCAGAACGUGUCAUAUAAAAUACGGGCCUAGAAUUCAUCCCCAACCACUGAGUCAUCUCGUGGUGGUUAAAAAAUAUACUUAUUAACUCGAAAUAAAUUGUUUUACGUCUAAAGCAAGCAUCGUAAUAUAUCAACCAUGUAGUCAUUUAGCAAGUAGGAAAAGCUCACAUGCCAUUGCAUACACUAAUCCUUUGAUCCCAUCACAAUCUUUACAAGCUUAAGCAGUACAUAUCAUGAUUCAGAUAAUUAAUCAUGGUCUACUGAUUAAAAAACCAAACAUGAUAUGCACAUAAAGAUACUUCUCUAAGAAGAGAAGGCGUCAAUAAUGGUGGUGUGGAGCGGGUCACUCAAAUGGGUAGCCCAGUUGUUAAGUGGUCCCUUCCCGGUGACGGCGGCUUGCACGGCAAACCCCAGAAACGCAACCAUGGCGAGGCGGGCGUGCUUGAUUUCGGCCAGCUGAAGAGUGGCCUUCUUUUCCGGGUCAGCAGCAAGGCCCAACGGGUCGAAGAACUUGCCACCCGGGUACAACCUCUUUUCCGGGUCGAGCUCGGCGUUCCUCUGGAACUCGAUGUAGCCAAUCACUAGAACUUCGAUCCAGAUCAACGUGGUUAGUGAGAAAGGGAGUGGUUGACCCAAGUAGGACGACCCUUCGAUGAGCUCCACCUGUACAAAUUGGUCAACAUAAUUAGUGUUGACUGUGAGGCGAAAAGACAAAAAAAUACACUUCAUGCAAGCAUAGUUCUUGCAAUCUUUCUUAAAAGAGAGUUAGUCAAGUGGUGAGUUGGAGCGCAGCGUCUAGGCAGGAGUUUGGGUAGAUUAAGCAAAUUUAAGUAAAUUUAUUAUAUAUUUUUUAAAUAAAUGUUUAAUUAUACCGAAAAAUACAUAAUUUUAUUGAGAUACUAAACUGCAAAUUAGGCGGGUAUGUACGGAUGCCUAAGCAGGUCUAGGUGUUAUUUUUUAAUUUUCAUGUUUUAACUGGAGAGGUAACCAACCAUCUAACGUCUAGGCGACGCUAGCGGAAAUUUUAGAACAGUGAGUUCAUGUAAUUUGUUCGCUCAUUCAAUGUUACUCUGAAUCUUUUCGUUAUUUAAGUGAUGGUGAGGAGUGACAAUCAAAUUAUGAACUUUGUUACGAGGGAGAAUAUAGUCAAUUUCAUUUGGCACCAAAUAAAAACAUGCAAAUAAGUUAUGUACCUUUCCGGCGUCUUGCCAUGUGAUCCCGGUGACGGACUCGACAGUGAGAGCACCGAGCGUGGCGAGCAUGGCCCACCUUCCAUGAAUCAGCUCGCACUCCCUAAACCUCUGCAGCCCAAACACCUCCGAGUAAGGCUGAAACGGCGUCGACUGGACGUCCGCGGUUUCGGUUCGGGUCCCAAUAAUGUCACCCGCCAAGUUCUUGGCCAAAUUCUGGUCCAACCCGUCGUAGUCGUACUGCAAAUACUCCGCGGGUUUGCCCAAACCGAACGGGUCGAACCCGUAGUCGCCCACCAAGCUCCCGUCCAGCCAUUCAGGAGCCUUGGCGCCCGGGUACCAGAGCGGGCGGUCUGUUGUGAAAGUGGGUUUUGUUUUCUUGGGCUUUUUGGUGCCGAAUCCGAAACGGGCCUGGACCCGUCCCGAGUUCGAGUAGGCGUCGGUCGGAAGGCGUGUCCCGAUGAAUGAGGAUGCAGCGGCGGCAGCAGCUGCGGUUGUUGCCAUGGUUGUGUGCUAAGGUGCGACGGGGGUGGAGGUGGGAUCGAGAUUGCAAUGUAUGUUUUAAGUGAAUUUGAUUG